rnacentral:lncRNA from 1 species
CCUUCUCUUCAUGGUCAUCUUAUGGGCAUUCUGAUUAUGAUGUAGUGGAAUGGGCUUUGACGUUUUUUUCUCGAAAUACCUAGAUGGAAGUAGACUGUAUGUAGUAAGUAGAGAGGGUCUUGCCUUGUUUGAUCUUGUGUUGGUUCUUGUUACUGGCCUGNNNNNNNNNNNNNNNNNNNNNNNNNNNNNNNNNNNNNNNNNNNNNNNNNNNNNNNNNNNNNNNNNNNNNNNNNNNNNNNNNNNNNNNNNNNNNNNNNNNNNNNNNNNNNNNNNNNNNNNNNNNNNNNNNNNNNNNNNNNNNNNNNNNNNNNNNNNNNNNNNNNNNNNNNNNNNNNNNNNNNNNNNNNNNNNNNNNNNNNNNNNNNNNNNNNNNNNNNNNNNNNNNNNNNNNNNNNNNNNNNNNNNNNNNNNNNNNNNNNNNNNNNNNNNNNNNNNCCUGGGCCAUAUGUGGUCGGAGAAUGAUGUAGUCGAAGUGAUCAAAGAAAUCCCCCCAGAAAAAAAGAGAACAAUGUAAUCAGACCAUUUUUGGGAAGCUAUUUUCCAAACCAAAUGUCAACUUCCAUGCUUUUCUUCAAAUUAUGAAGAAAGCAUGGAGAACAGAAUAGGUGAUAUGCACACAAAAGGAACCAGGUUUUUUCUCAUUCGUUUUUCAAUCGGAGGAAGACAAUGAGAGAGUUAUGAAAUCUGGGCCCUGGUCUUUUGCUAAUAAUCUAUUAGUACUUAAACAAUGUAAACUUGACAUUCUAGAGCACUGUUAUAAUUAUUCUCAAAGUGCUUUUUGGGUGCAUAUGAGAGGGAUACCCCCUGGGUGGAUACUAGAAGAAGUGUUUACUGAUCUAGCAAGAAAGGUAGGCAGAGUUCUAGAAAUUCAGGUGGACUUUAAGGGAAACGAACUACAUAAAAGUGGAAAAGUAAAAGUGGAAGUGGACUUAUCAGCUCUACUAAAAUCGAGGGCUAUUCUGGAUAUUGGAAACAAGAAGCUAUGGGUGGAGUUUAAAUAUGAACGGCUGCCGCACAAUUGCUAUUCGUGUGGAAGAAUUGGUCAUUAUGCUACUAAUUGCGAAGAAAUCCUGUAUGGGCAAACAGCAUGGGCUGAAAACAAAGCUGGAAAAUAUGGACGAUGACUUAAGGCAAAAGUGUAAGACCACAGCCCCCACUGGGAAGCAAUCUAUGGCAAACUAGAAGAAGAAAUUACUGUGGAAGAAACAACACUAGAAAUUCCUCCUAUAACCUACUAAAUGGACCUAGUGGCCAGAGAUGAAAUCGACAACUUGGCAUCCCCAAAUCGCAACAAGAAAAGGGCUGAAAACUUAAAUGUGCAGGAGGCACCAAAAGAACCAGCAGACACAACUAUGAAGAUUACAGAUCAUAGCAAAUAGAUUAUGUGCUUCAAAGCUAAUAGGCCGAUCCUCUCAAAAGUUGGGAAAUGCAGCAAAAAAAGUAUGAAGGUGUAGAGGGCGAAAAAAUAGAAAUGCAUAAUAGAACAAACUCCCAUGUUGAUUGAUGAGAUGGAGCUCUUGGAGACCCUUAUCCAGUUGAUCAAAGAUGGUAAUGAAUGGGCUAUGAUGACUAGCCCUAAUAAGCCACCGGCGACGAUAUGAAAAUCAUAAGCUGGAAUUGUUAGGGGCUGGGCAAUCUCCUAACAUUCCAGGAGCUAAGAGCUCUAGUAGCUCUUGAAAGGCCCAACCUGGUCUUCUUGAUGGAAACAAAGAACAAAGCAACGAUGGUGGAGGUGUUAAAAGGUGACUCAACUUCCAAAAUCUAUUCCUAGAAAAUCCGGAAGGAAUUGCGAGAGGUUUAGCAAUUUUGUGGAGUGAGGAAGUGGUGUUAAAGGUAAAUGACAGCUCUAAAGAAUUUAUUGAUUUGGAGUGCAGAGAUCCAGAUAGUGGCUAACAAAUGAGGAUAACUUUUCUCCAUACAUCGAUGAACUUCAGGGAGAGACUAAAGCUAUGGCAAAAGUUGAAGGAUUUUCAAUUAUCAAAUCAUUUACCGUGGAUAUGCAUGGGAGAUUUUAAUGAAAUUUUAUAUAUUUGGGAGAAGGUGGGGAAAAGAGAAGCUGAUAAUCAUAGAAUAGCAGCGUUUCAAGAUUUAUUAAAUGAGUGUUCCCUAAUAGAUAUGAACAGCAAAGGCUGUGCUUACACUUGGGCAAACAACCGGGAAGGGGAGGCCCUUAUUAAAAAAAGAUUAGAUAGAGUCUUAUGCACACUGGACUGGAGAAUUACCUUUCCCGUAGCUGAAGUACAGGCUCUACCAGUAAUUGACUUGGACCACAGCCCUCUUCUCCUGGUAUUGCACCCUAAAAGUAAGAAAAGGAAGAGGGAAUUCAGAUUUGAAGCAUACUGGUUAGAAGAUCAAGAGUGUGGAGAGAUUAUCAAGAGAACUUGGAACAAAACGCCAUUAAGCCAGAUAAGUUUCUCUAUGAAAGUCAAUGAUAUUUCUACGGAGCUUGUUAAGUGGAGCAAAGAAAAAUUCACCAACGCACGACGUCAUAUCAAGGAGCUAAACAAAGAAUUAAUAGAGAUGACCAACAAGAAUUUUGAAAAUUCCAGCAGGAAUGAAGCAUAGAAUAUUAUCGACAAGAUAGACAAACUAUGAAAACAAGAGGAAAAUCUUUGGGGGAUGAGAGCACGCAUCAAUUGGCUGCAAUGGGGAGAUAGGAAUACCAAGUUCUUCCAUGCCACAACUGUACAAAGAAGACAAAGGAAUAGAAUUACAACGCUGCAAAUGGAAUAUCAAAGCUGGUGUAGGGAUCCGGCGGCACUCAAAAAACACAUAGGGUUUUUCUAUUGAAACUUAUAUAAAUCGGUGGGUCCUAGGAACUAUCAACCAAUCCUAAACUAGUGUCCCAGUCCAGUAAGUGAGGAAAUAAAUGAAAAUCUAAUGGCAAAUAUUACCCUUGAAGAGGUGAAAGACAUGGUUUCCUAACUGGGCUUUUUAAAGGUCCCUGGGCCCGACGGUGUAAAUGGGCUUUUUUUAUCAACAAUCUUGGGAGGAUAUUAAGCUGGAUUUGUUUCAACUAGUGCAGAAUUUCUUUGAAACAGGUAUCAUCGACCCCCUCCUCAACAAAACACACAUUUCCUUGCUACCAAAAGUAAAAAACCCAGAAAAUAUAGGCCAAUUCAGACCUAUUAGUUUGUGCAAUGACAACUGCAAAAUCAUCUCAAAAGUUAUGGCAAACAGACUAAAGAUUUGGCUUCCAAAGAUCAUAGAGCUUGAACAUAAUGCCUUUGUACAAGGGAGGCAAAUACAAGAUAAUAUUUUCAUAAUUCAUGAAGUCUUGCAUCAAUUGAGAAUAACAAAAAGGAAGAAAAAGUUUCAGGCGAUAUUGAAACUCGAUAUGCAAAAAGCCUAUGACAGAAUCAAAUCGAACUUUUUGAGGGAUUGUAUGCUGAAAAUGGGUUUUUAUGAGCGGUGGGUAUCUCUAAUCAUGCAACGUGUUUCGAUGGUGUCCCUAAGUGUGAAGAUAAAUGGGGAGCCUACUCCAUAUUUCACCCCUUCAAGAGGAAUUAGACAAGGUGACCCUCUUUCCCUAUAUUUAUUUAUCCUAGUAGCAAAUGUUUUGACUAGGAUGAUGAACCAAGCCUUAAAGAAUAGAAGCAUUAAAGGGAUAAAGCUAAACAGGUUCUGCCCUACACUGUCUCAUUAACUCUUUGCAGAUGAUGCCAUAUUUUUCUUGAACGGGACUAUAGUAGAAUGCCAAAACUUAGCAAAUAUUCUCAACCAGUACUGUUUUGCAUCGGGCCAAGCCAUUAAUCUAAACAAAUCAGGGGUAUGUUUCAGCGGCACUUGUCCGUUAUUUCUGAAAAGAAACUUAGCACAAGAACUUAGAGUCCCAAUAAUAGAAAAAAUAGGGAAAUAUCUUGGAAUACCAACAGAAUGGGAUCACUCAAAGAAGGAGAUGUUUGCAUGGAUUCUAGCAAGAAUAAACUUGAAGCUAGAGGGAUGGAAAGAAAAAUUACUAUCCAAAGUAGGUAAAGAACUGAUAAAGAGCGCUGUACAAACCCUCUCUCAUUAUGCGAUGUCAGUCUUUAAAUUGCCUAUCUCCAUUUGCAAAACCAUAGAAAAAGAAUUGCUUCAUUUCAGUGGCAGAAAAGCGAUUCAAAAGGGGUCUGCAUUGGAAAAAAUGGGAAACAUUAAAAANNNNNNNNNNNNNNNNNNNNNNNNNNNNNNNNNNNNNNNNNNNNNNNNNNNNNNNNNNNNNNNNNNNNNNNNNNNNNNNNNNNNNNNNNNNNNNNNNNNNNNNGUGAAGUAGAAUUUUGAAGGCAUUUAUUUUCCAAACGGAGACUUGUGGAAGGUAAGAAAAGGGCAACGACCGUCUUAGGGAUAGCAAAGCAUUUUAACAGGGAGAUAAGCCAUAGAAUUAGAGGUUAAAUGGUCAGUUGGGGAUGGCCAAUCUAUUAACAUACAAGAAGACAAAUGGCUAAAGUCUGGAGUGCUUGGAGGCCCAGCUAACCAAAAUGAACCAAUUGUGGUGGCAGAACUUAUCAAUGAAGACUCGCGGGUAUGGAAGGAAAGUUUAAUCCUAAAUAUUUUUGAAGAACAAAUAGCAAAUGAGAUACUUGCAAUACCCAUUAGCCUAUCCUCGAAGGAUGAUUAUCUAGUAUGGAUAGGUAAUAAAUCAGGGACAUACACUGUGAAGAGUGGGUACAAUAGGGCCUAUUCUAACGCCACAAGAACAGAACAAAAUAGAGCAACAUGUUCUUACAAGCCUCCAAGAUCCCUCUGGACAAGAAUUUGAAGUCUAUCUAUUCCCCUGAAAAUGAGACCUUUCCUAUGGAGCCUUCGCCAAAACGCCUUACCAACAAGGGAGAAUCUGCAUGAAAGGAAAAUGCUACCCAACCCCUAUUGUCCGCUUUGCUCUACACAUGGAAACAACAGAACACCUAUUUCUAUUUUGCAAAUGGACGAAAAAAAUUUGGGCAGAUCCACAAAUCAACAUUGAGAUAGCUAGUAUAAGCACCUAGAGGGGGGUGAAUAGGUGCACAAACAAUUUCUCGAGCUACGGAAGCAAUUCUAGGCAAACGAUAGAAAAGAAAAUGCGAUCAAAGCGAAGUAAAUGUUAGGCAAGAGAGAAAUGAACACAAGAUUUAUAGUGGUUCGGCUUAUUCCAAGCCUACGUCCACUCUUCCGCACUGAUAGCCCACCGGUUGGAUUUCACUAUGAACAAAAGAGAAGUUACAGCACAGCUUUUCCUUGAUUUCACAGUGUAGAAGUUCUACCACAUUUCCUCAAGGUUUCUCACGAAUAUAGACUCUCUUUUGUUUACACGAUUUUGCUCAAUAAAUGAAUUGACUAAGAACAAGGAGCUUCAGACUUUGGAAUUCUUCUAUUGUGCACUCCCUCGAACAACUGGAACGCCUUCCUUAUAUACUCCUUCAUGCCAUCAUACUCGUUGGCACUUACCAAAGAAAUUCCUCCAAUCUACCCGUUGGAUGGAAUCAAUUAGGAAGAUCAUUCGAGCUAUUAAAGGAACAUGUCGAUAGUCCAUCAAUCAUGUUUGCCCAUACAAUCAGGAUCUCGGUUUCCAUAAGUAGAUACUUCCAAGUAUACUUUGCCACUCAUCAGAUCCUUAAUCUUCGAAUCAAUUAUGAUCAAAUAAAGAAUUCCAUUGUGUCAUAUCCAGCCAAGAGAUCUUCUCCAGUCGAUAAGGCCACAUCCGUNNNNNNNNNNNNNNNNNNNNNNNNNNNNNNNNNNNNNNNNNNNNNNNNNNNNNNNNNNNNNNNNNNNNNNNNNNNNNNNNNNNNNNNNNNNNNNNNNNNNNNNNNNNNNNNNNNNNNNNNNNNNNNNNNNNNNNNNNNNNNNNNNNNNNNNNNNNNNNNNNNNNNNNNNNNNNNNNNNNNNNNNNNNNNNNNNNNNNNNNNNNNNNNNNNNNNNNNNNNNNNNNNNNNNNNNNNNAAAACUUUGACCUGCAAAACAUUUCUUAAACACAUAUACAUAUCUUAUAGAGAUAAAUGACUAAAUGAAUAACGCUAGAAUCUGCAACCACAGAAAAUAGGUUAGUCUAGUAUACAAUAAAGCCAUCCAUAAGAUAUCAAUAGUAGUUAAUAAUAAGCAGUCAAAUCCAAAUCCAAAUUUAGUCCACAUCUAGACACAUGACUCAAAAGUCAAGUCAAAACAAACCACAAACCAAACAAGCCAAAAGUUCGACAAAGUUCGACAAAUUUGAAUUCAAAGUUUUUCAAGUCUCACAACUCUCCCCCUUUUUGUCAGAAUUAAAAAAAUGAGAUGAAAAUGAAGUCAAGGAUUCUUGGGAACACGAACAAGCUGGAAAUCUCCCAUCGACUGAACGAUACUUUCCAACCUUUUUAAGUCUUCCUUCAGCUGAGCAACAUCCUCACUCUUAGCAUUAGCCUGAAUCUGAAGAGAAAUGGCUUGGAUUUGAUCAUUUAAUGAACCCGAAGAGACUUGUCCUGCAUUUUGCAAGUUCUGAACUUCACAUCCCAAUGCAUAUAUCUGACCUUGCAUCUCCAAGAGAAUAUCCAUCACUCUGCGAAAGUCUGCUGAAUUGUCGGUCUGCGUACUGGCGUUAGCACGAUCUGAUGGAGUAAAUGCAGACGAUGGUAUAUCAGCAUAAUCACGCAGAUUUGGCGAAGAAACCUCAUGACCUUCCUCAGGAAACUGAGAGGCAUAAAUAUCCUCUGGAUCUGCUGGGGAUUGACUGACUCCCUCACUGGUUGCAGGAUUUGAAGUCAUUCCUCUUUUCUCUUGGUCUCCCCUUGUGUUCAUGCCNNNNNNNNNNNNNNNNNNNNNNNNNNNNNNNNNNNNNNNNNNNNNNNNNNNNNNNNNNNNNNNNNNNNNNNNNNNNNNNNNNNNNNNNNNNNNNNNNNNNNNNNNNNNNNNNNNNNNNNNNNNNNNNNNNNNNNNNNNNNNNNNNNNNNNNNNNNNNNNNNNNNNNNNNNNNNNNNNNNNNNNNNNNNNNNNNNNNNNNNNNNNNNNNNNNNNNNNNNNNNNNNNNNNNNNNNNNNNNNNNNNNNNNNNNNNNNNNNNNNNNNNNNNNNNNNNNNNNNNNNNNNNNNNNNNNNNNNNNNNNNNNNNNNNNNNNNNNNNNNNNNNNNNNNNNNNNNNNNNNNNNNNNNNNNNNNNNNNNNNNNNNNNNNNNNNNNNNNNNNNNNNNNNNNNNNNNNNNNNNNNNNNNNNNNNNNNNNNNNNNNNNNNNNNNNNNNNNNNNNNNNNNNNNNNNNNNNNNNNNNNNNNNNNNNNNNNNNNNNNNNNNNNNNNNNNNNNNNNNNNNNNNNNNNNNNNNNNNNNNNNNNNNNNNNNNNNNNNNNNNNNNNNNNNNNNNNNNNNNNNNNNNNNNNNNNNNNNNNNNNNNNNNNNNNNNNNNNNNNNNNNNNNNNNNNNNNNNNNNNNNNNNNNNNNNNNNNNNNNNNNNNNNNNNNNNNNNNNNNNNNNNNNNNNNNNNNNNNNNNNNNNNNNNNNNNNNNNNNNNNNNNNNNNNNNNNNNNNNNNNNNNNNNNNNNNNNNNNNNNNNNNNNNCUACUCACACCAACCUUUGAUCCAUUGAUAUUUUCCUCUCUCAACUCCUAACACAUCUGCCAGCAUAUCCAUAUCCACAACAAAGUCUUGAUCUUUGAUACUGAAGGAGAAUCUAUUCGCAUCCAAGAAACUAAGAUUUGAAUAGAAAUAUGCAGUUAGUUGAGGAUAGGCCUCUGUGGUGUCAGAACAGAAUUUCUCAAGUUGAAGAUGACCGAAAUUUUCCCUUAAGUUCACAUUUACAGCAUCCAGAAAGUCAAAAUCCACACUUCUAGGGUUUAUCACCCCAUGCUUCAGCAAUUUUGAGUAUAGAUCCUUCUGUUCCUUCGAUCUAAACAACUCUCCCCUUUUUUUUCCUCAAUUUUCCGCCGCAAUUCCCAUUCUCGGCUGAAAUUCGCUGUAUAAUUUGUCAUCAUCAUUUCCAUCCACCAGAUUAGAUCCCCAAUCACGAGGGUCACUUGGGAUAUUCGCAAGGGAUUCUUCUGCCACCCCCUUACGAGCAAUUCCCAAACUUUCCAUUUUUCGCAAAAAGAUAUAUUCAUUUCCAUAUUCUUUGUCCUUAAGAAAAUCAUCCACAUAGUUUAAUGGAGUACUAGUUCAUUUUAAAGCACGAUACAACUUACAAAUAAAAGAGGGCCUUUGACCUCUUACAGGAUCUACAUCUUCAAUGAUUUCUUCAUUUUGAUGAUCAACAUCUUGAGGACUAGAUGAAGGAGAAUGACGCUGUUGAGAAUGUUGUGGGCUCUGCUGCUAAUUUGGAGACACUUCUUCUUCAGUGAGAUCGAAGUGCGUAGGCCCCUCACUCAUUCGCCGUGGUCCCCUGCUUGCGAUCCUCGAAGACUUUCUUAAAAACAACAUCUUUCUUAGUCUUUGAAAGAUUCCUUGCUUGACUUUCCCAAGAAAGAUGACAAAUUUUUCAAAGAUUAAACAAGAGAAGAAAAUAGGAUUGGAAGAUCGGUGCUUUUUAGGGUUUUGGAGUCAAGCGAAGAGAAACCAACUGUAUAUAAGACAAUCGAAAGAAGGGGAUACCAAUCGUUCUAAUGGAAAGUGAAAAGAUACCUUUAAAAAAAUAACUGCAUUUUUUGAAAAAUGGUCAUUUCAAAAUAACUUCUUUAUCUAAAGGAAACGAUGCAAUAAUCUCGUCAAUUAAAGAUAGCGGUUGAGAUAACAAUAAUCAACACGGUUGAUGAACGUACCUUUUCAAGAUGAGAUUAGAGAGAGAAUAACUUAUAGUCAAAGUCUUGCAGUCAAAGUCUUAUAUGUCUGAGUCUGAGAGUCUCUAGACUUUAACUUCUUCGAACCUCAAAAUGUUGAGUCUAGAACGGAUAAUUUUAAAUUGAUUUUUCUCCAAAGGCUUUGUAAAUAUAUCCGCCAGUUGGUUCUUUGAAUCAACAAACUGAAUCGUAAUUUCUCCAUUUUGAACAUGAUCUCUAAUGAAGUGAUGUCGAAUCUCUAUAUGCUUUGCUCUUAAGUGAAGAAUUGGAUUUUUGGUAAGAUUGAUAGUGCUGGUGUUGUCACAUUUAAUCUCCGUGCAUGAAUCUUCAAUUCCAAAGUCUCUUAGCUGUUGUUUUAUCCACAGAAUUUGUGAACAGCAACUUUCAAAAGCUACAUAUUCUGCUUCUGCUGUAGAAAGAGCUACUGUACUUUGCUUUCUUGAAAACCAAGACAUUGUCCUGCCUCCAAGUAGUUGACAUGUACCUGAGGUGCUCUUUCUAUCAACUCUGCAUCUGGCUAAGUCUGCGUCUGAGUACCCAAGAAGAGUAAAGUCUCCCCUUUUUGGAUACCAGAGACCGAAGCUUGAAGUUGAUGCAAUAUAUUUGAUAAUAUGCUUUGCAGCAUUAAAAUGUGAUUCUUUAGGGUCUGCUUGAAAUCUGGCACAAAUGCAAACACUAAACAAAAUGUCAAGUCUAUAAGCAGUAAGAUAAAGAAGUGAACCGAUGAUACUCCUGUAUAACUUUUGGUCGACUUUCUUUCCUCCUUCAUCUUUAUCUAUCUUCACGGAGCUUGACAUUGGUAUAUCAGCCUUUUUGCAAUUGUCCAGUCCAAACUUCUUCACAAUAUCAUUAGCAUAUUUUUCUUGAUGAAUAAAAGUUCCUUCCUUCAAUUGUUUCACUUGAAGUCCAAGGAAAAAGGUUAACUCACCCAUCAUGCUCAUUUCAAAUUCAUCCUACAUAGUCUUAGAGAAUUUCUUACAUAGACUUUCAUUAGAGGAUCCAAAAAUAAUAUCAUCGACAUAUAUUUGAACAAGUAGAAAACUCUUGCUUUCUCUUUUAAUAAAAAGAGUAGUGUCUACUUUACCUUUAACAAAUCCAUUUUCAAUUAAAAACUUACUAAUGUGUCGUACCAAGCUCGAGGAGCUUGUUUCAAGCCGUAUAAAGCCUUUUUGAGUCUAAAAACUGAGUUUGGUUUCCUUGGAACUUCAAACCCAGGUGGUUAUUCCACAUAGACUUCCUCUUGGAUGAAUCCAUUUAAGAAGGCACUUUUGACAUCCAUUUGGAAUAACCUGAAAUUCUUAUAACAAGCAAAAACAAGUAAUAAUCGAAUUGAUUCUAACCUUGCUACUGGUGCGUAAGUCUUAUCAUAGUCUAUCCCUUCUUCUUAUGUGUAUCCCUUGGCCACGAGUCUUGCCUUGUUUCUUAUGACUUUUCCUUUCUUGUUCAUCUUGUUCUUGAAAACCCAUUUAGCUCCAAUAACAGACUUACCAUUUGGUUUAGGAGUCAAUUCCCAUACAUCAUUAAUACUGAAUUGCCUGAGCUCUUCUUGCAUAGCUUCAAUCCAGCUUUCAUAAGAUAAAGCUUAUUCUAUGCUUUUGGGUUCUAUUUCAGAAACAAGAGCCACAGCACUAGACUCUUCGCGCCUUUUGGAUCUUGUGCGAAUUCCUUCAUUGAUGUCGCCAAUAAUAAGAUCUUUGGGAUGACUGGACUUAUGUUUCCAGUUGCUAGUUAAUUUGUCAGAUUGAUGGUCACUUCCUUCACUUGAAUCUUCAACAGUCACUUGUUGCUGGUCCUUCAAAGUCUGAGUUGUUUUAGACUUUGUAGAUUCUAGAGCAGGUUCAGAUUCUUCAAGAUGAGUCUAAAUGGAUUCAUUUUGCAUAGAGUCUUGAAAUUUAACAUUCAUUGAUUCUUCCACUAUUUGAGUCUUCUUGUUGUAGACUCUAUACACUUUGCUUGAGAUUGAAUAUCCAAGGAAAAUGCCUUCAUCUGACUUUUCUUCAAACUUACCAACUCGAUCAUUUGCACUUUUCAGUAUAAAACAUUUGCAUCCAAAUACAUAAAAAUAUGAAACAAUAGGCUUCUUUUCUAUGAAUAGUUCAUAGGGGGUUUUUUCCAGAAUAGGCCUUAGAAAAACUCUAUUUAUAAUGUAACAUGCUGUAGAAACUACUUCAGCCCAAAAACGUGAAGAGAUGUUACUUUCAAUUAAAAGAGUUCUAGCCAUUUCUUGAAGAGAUCUAUUAUUUCUUUUCACAACUCCAUUCUGCUCUGGAGUAUAUGGAGAGGAGAAUACAUGUUGAAAACUAGAUUCAUCAUAGAAUUUUGUAAAAUCAUGAUUUUCAAAUUCACCUCUAUGAUCUGUUCUUAUACUCGAGAUAACAUAUUCUUUUUCAUUUUGAACCUUUUUAGCAAACUUUUCAAAGUAAGAGAAAGUUUUAGACUUACUUGCCAAGAAAUAUACCCAAGUAAAUCGUGAGUAAUCAUCCACAAUUACUAGGCAGUAUUUCUUACCUCCAAUGUUUUGUGUUCUGGUUGGUCCAAAAAGAUCCAUAUGCAGAAGCUGCAGUACACGGUUAGUGGAAACUUGAUUUAUUGGUUUAAAGGAAUUUCUUACCUGUUUUCCCAAUAUACAUGGUGUACAUAGAUUAUACUUUUGGUAUGAUAAAUUGGGUAGACCACGAACAAGCUUCUUUGCUGAGAUUUUGGCUAUUUCCUUCAUGUUGACAUGCCCAAGCUUUCUGUGCCAUAAGUUUGCUUCGUCUUGGAUUGAGAUUAAACAUUGUGAUUCAUCUAGUUUCACAUCCAAGAGGUAGAUAUUUCCAUGUCUUUGAUCCAUGAAUGACUGAGUAGAAUCUUUACUAAUUCCAGAACAUAUUCCCUCUUGAAAGUUGAUUUUGAAACCAGUAUCACAUAGCUGACUAAUAUUGAGCAAAUUGUAAUUGAGCCAUUCUACUAAGGAAACAUUGCUGAUUGUGAGAUUUCCAAUCUUUACAGUUCCAAAUCCCACAAUUUUUCCUUUGCCGUUUCCUCCAAAAGAGACUUUUCCACCAUUUACUUGAACAAUCUUUAUGAAGUAAUUUGAGUCUCCUGUCAUGUGUCUUGAGCAUCCACUAUCUAGAUACCAUUUUACCUUUUUCUUGAUAGUGACAUGCAUUUAAAAAAGAAACUCAAACCUUCUUUGGUACCCAUAUUUUCUUGGGUCCAUUGGUGUUAGUUUGAUAUACGGUUUUUGCCCAUUCCUUUUUAACAAGUUUCCAAAUCAUGGGACAUUCUUUUACAAAAUGAUCUGCACUAUUGCACUUUGAGCAUCUGAGAGCAUUGUGACCAACUGGUUUUACAAAGUUCCUUUUAAAAUGAUUUUUGUAAGCAUCUCUUGUUGGUCUUUGUUUGAUUCUUUCCUUCACUUUAGGAAAAUCAAUUAAAGGAAUGGUUUCAGCAGUCAUUCCCAAACCAGAUUUAUUGAAAUAAGAUCUUUGAACAGAGAGAAUUUUUUCCAGUUUCUCAGAUCCUAUAGAAAAUCUUUUGGAAAUAUUUGAGAUAUCACAUUUCAAGAAUGCAUUUUCUUUUAAAAGAUUGUCUUCACUUUCUUUAAGAGAAGAAGCAUUCUUGUCUAAACAUUUCACUUUUUCUUUCAAAAUAUUUUCCUGUUGUUUUAGAGCAGAAUUUUCCUUCUUGAGUUCGGAAAUUCUUUUAAGAGAAGUCUUAAGACUAAAACACAAUUCAUCAAUAUACUUUGAAACCUUAAUAGGGAUUUUGAAGUUACUUACCUCAAAUUCGCUUUCUGAGUCUAAAUCUGUCUCGGAAUUUGAAUCUGAAUCCGAUUGAGCCAUCAGACAUAUAUUGGCAUAUUCAUCAUCACUUUCUUCACACUCUGUAUCACUCCAGGUUUCAGCUUUAAGAGCUUUUCGAUUUUUUUUUCAGUUUUUCCUUUCUUCUUUCUCAGAAGAGGACAGUUGGGUCUGAUGUGUCCCUUUUUCUUGCAUUCAAAGCAGACUACAUCUUUGUUUGAUUCAUCAUCCUCAACAGACUUAGUCUGUUGCUUUUGAAAACUUUGUUUCUUUGGAUUGAAUCUUCUUCCUUUUUUGUUCAGCUUUCUUAAUCUUCUUAUCAUGAGAGCAAGUUCCUCAUCAUCCAUAUCGUCUUCAGAAUUUGUAACAUCAAAAAUCAUCAUUAGAUUUUAAUGCAAUGGAUUUCUUACCUUUAGGGUCUUCGUCUUCAUUGAUUCAUUCCACUUCAUAAAACUAAAGAGUCCCAACUAACUCAUCAACCAAAUAGUGGCAUGAUUCUUUGGGUCUCUCUGAUUGAGGUCUUUAUGUGAUUCCAAUCCUUGGAGAGUCCACGCAGCAGCUUGUUUACUUUCAUGGGAUCAGAAAUUAGUUGACCUUGGUUUUCAAGACCAUUCACGAUUUCUGUAAAGCGACUGAACAUAUCCGUUAUAGAUUCUCCUAGUUUCAUUUUGAAGACUUCAUAUUGACCGAGGAGAAUGUUGAUUCUAGUCUCUUUUACUCGAUCGGUUCAUUCAUAGGUAAUAUGUAAUCUAUCCCAGACUCCUUUAGCUGUAACACAAUAAGAUAUUCUAUUAUAUUCAGUAGGGGAUAAAGCACAAUAUAAAGAAUAAAUUGCUUUUGCAUCAAGAGCUUGUCUCUUGACUUUCUCCUCCUAAGUUAUUUCGCUAGACUCAACAACAUUUUUUCCUCUUUCUGAGAUAGAUGCAGCUUUAGGAAUGAUUCCUUGUUCUACAACGUCCCAUUCCAGAGGAUCCUUUGAUCUUAGGAAUGCUUUUAUUUUGUUCUUCGAUAGGUUGUAAUCAUUUCCAUCAAAGUAAGGUGGUCUGGUAUUGUUUUGCCUUUCUACCAGUCCUGGAGUCAACAUACUAGCCAUGGAUCUUAACUCUGAAAUAAAACACUUCAACAAAAGUGAGUACACAGGCUCUAAUACCAAUUGAGAUAGCUAGUAUAAGCACCUAGAGGGGGGGUGAAUAAGUGCACAAACAAUUUCUCGAGAUAUGGAAGCGAUUCUAGGCAAACGAUAGGAAGGAAAAUGCGAUCACAGCGAAGUAAAGGUUAGGGAAGAGAGAAAUGAACACAAGAUUUAUAGUGGUACGGCUUAUUCCAAGCCUACGUCCACUCUUCCGCACUAACAGCCCAUCGGCUGGAUUUCACUAUGAACAAAAGAGAAAUUACAGUACAGCUUUUCCUUGAUUCCACAGUGUAGAAGUUCUACCACACUUCCUCAAGGUUUCUCACGAAUAUAGACUCUCUUUUGUUUACACGAUUUUGCUCAAUAAAUGAAUUGACUAAGAACAAGGAGCUUCAGACUUUGGAAUUCUUCUAUCGUGCACUCCCUUGAACAACUGGAACACGUUCCUUAUAUACUCCUUCAUGCCAUCAUACCCAUUGGCACUUACCAAAGGAAUUCCUCCAAUCUACCUGUUGGACGGAAUCAAUUAGGAAGAUCAUUCGAGCUAUUAAAGGAACAUGUCGAUAGCCCAUCAAUCCUGUUCGCCCAUACAAUCAGGAUCUCGGUUUCCAUAAAUAGAACCUUCCAAGUAUACUUUGCCACUCAUCAUAUCCUUAAUCUUCGAAUCAAUUAUGAUCAAAUAAAGAAUUCCGUUGUGUCAUAUCCAACCAAGAGAUCUUCUCCAGUCGAUAAGGCCACAUCCUUAAUGAAACAUCCAGUUUUGGAUAACCUUUCUUCAACGGAUUAGAAACUGUCAAUGAGGAUAGACUUUGAGUCUUGAGUCUAGCUCUUCGGAGGUCUUCAGACUUUAAACAGCAGAGUCUGCAAGCCUUCAGACUAGACUGAUGGAAACGUUUUGUCAACUUCAAAACACUUCAAGAGGAUUUCUCCAACAAACAUCAUUAGAAACCCAAGCAACAUAACAAGGUGUGAUCAAUGGCUAACGGAAGUGUUCGAAAGAAGUGACAUCUCACCUGAAAGAGAACUAGUUGCUGCUGUAUUGUGGAAUAUCUGGAAGACCCGAAACAAUUUCAUUUUUCGAGCAAAGCGUCCCCAACCAAUUGAUCUUGUAGAUCUCGCAAUAGCACAACAAAAAAAUUUCAGUAGAUGGCAGAAUCAAAAAGGGCAAAAACCCACAACUCGAAGCCUACCGAUUAGAUGGACGCCGUCGGACAGAGACGAGAUGAAGCUAAACGUCAACGCCUCAUGGACUCCAGGCGAUUUCCUAGGUUCAGUAGCGGGAAUUGGGCGAGAUCCGUCGGGUCUCGUGGUUGAGGGCUUCGCAGUGCAGAUACGGGCGUCUUCUCCUCAACAAGCAGAAGCCUUAUCUUUGCUGCAUGGUUUCAUGUACUAGAGAGGAAGAGAAGCCGUGCAUGUAGGCAUAGGAACUGGUCAAAGUUGCAGAUGGGUGCUCGAAAGUGACAAUUCAACUUUGGUGGAAGCUGUGAUGGGUCAGGCCGAAACAUCGUGGGACUUGAAGGAAAUUGUGGAACCGUGCAAAGAAGAAUUAUGCCUUUUCAAAUCAGCAAGGGUAGAAUAUUGUCCUUGCGAGGCAAACCGAGCGGCAUAUUGGCUAGCUAACUCUCACCGAACCAAAAAUCUCCCUGUAAAUUGGGUGACUUUUACUCCUCUCUCCCUUUCGGAAAUUCUAUGUUUAGAGUUUUACCCAUAGUUGCCUUGUAAGGCUCACUUAUUUUUAUGAAUGAAUGCAAUAUCUAUUUUCGACCCAAAAAAAAUUAUAAAUUCCCAAUCCUUCAAAGAGAACGUGCUGAAAUAUUUGGCUCGAAGGAUUUACAUCAAUCAUUUUCAAUUCCCCAUUCUAUACUGAUCAAUCAUUUUUUUAUCACCUCAACUCUAAAUUUCUAAUCCUUCAAUGAGAACGUGCGAAAGCCAGAAGAAUUUCAUUAUAAACCACAUAAGUACAUUUACGCGAUUAAAAUCGAGAGAUAUUUACUAACUGAGCUUCUGUAAGCUAGAAAUUACGAGAACCCUUUUUUAAUUAUCUUCAUACGUGUGCUUUCUAGCGUUUAUGCUCCAAAAAAUGAGAUCCAAUUUCUUUUCAGGAAGGCAUACAUAGAUAAGUAUUUCUCUCCUCCGUGAGAGCUUCUCCAUUAUCCUUACUCCUCAAACGGGCUCUCUAUAUUAUCAUGAGUCAUUUCCAUGUGCUUUCUAUUUUAGUUGACUAGUCCCCUCGCCAUUGUUCCAUCCCAUUAGUAUUCCUAUCACUACACAUUGCCCCUAACAACCAUUCGACGAUAUUUCUGAGUCGAUUCUCUGCUGACCCAUUUCUUUUUUUCUCCUUACAGGAUGGCUGCAGAGGUUCCAUUUAACAUCCCAAGCAUCUCUGCCAGACGAUCUUCUGGGGGGAUCAAAUUGGACUUGGAGCAAGUUGAUGAUAAGGAUGCUGAGAUGGUUUUGAAUGGAAGGAUUUUGUCGGAGGAGGAAUGCUCGAGUCAAGCUGCAUAGCUAAUGUUUUAAGGAAUGCCUAGGCUGGUAUUGGUGAGAUUCCCAUAACCCCUCAAAUUCAUAGGACAUAAGGAAUGGAGGCAUUCCAGCCCAAACAUACUCCCAUCCUCGCCUCAGCAUAGAUCGUGCCAAAAUGAAAAUUGAAGUAACAUGCCUGCCCACGCAGGACUAGGACGCUGGUGGUGGGCCGAUGCUGGACCAAUGCUUUUGGCAGCGGUGGUGCUCCACGAUAUAUCGGCCUCCGUUCAUUCCAAUAGCGGGUGCGGUUCAAUCUGGAUUGCGGAUUGCUUCUUCAGGCCCCAGGCAAUGCCAAAAAAUGGCUUCGUUAAUCGACGGAGCGGACCUCCCACGGCCAUGACUAUGAAGUUCGCCAGCCUCAUGAGAUCGCAGAUCUCCGUCGGAGUGAAUCAACACAGGUUGCGACGUCCAUGGCCCUGGUUCAUGACCAUAGCUGAAAUUAAAUGAGCGGAAACAACAGCUUCCAUUCCUAUUCUUACAAAAACAGGUCCGGUAUGAAAAUUUAAUGUAAGAACACACGUUUGAUAUGUCAUUUUUAUAUAUUCUUACACCUCGGUCUCUUUAUAUACUAUUCGUGUUUAUUAAAAAACGAUUACAUAAUCCUUUUAGAAUAAUCAUCUUAAUGAAUGGGAAAUUACUGAAGUAUAGAUAUUUGUUUCAGUUGAAAUUACUGAAGUUUUCCAAAAACGAAUAGAUAGUUUUCCAAAAAACAAUGUGGGAAAUUACUGAAGUAUGGCUUUCACUUAUGCAAAAAAUCUUCUUCUUUUUUUAAUUGUUCUGUGAAGGCUGUAUUUCUUGUAAUUUUGCAAGUAAGGGGAUUGCAGUGUUGUAAGAGAUGGUUGAGUCUGUAAGUUGAAGGCCGGAACACUAUAAAUUUAUCUUACAAUAUCAUCCAUCUCUUCACCUUUUUUAUUAUCCAUAUAUAUAUAUAAACUACUGCAUCUAUAUAACUAUGUUUCUUUUGCAAAAGCUAAUUUUCUCCCUUUUAUGAGAUGUUAUAAUUCUUUUAAAAUUCACCCUUCUUGAGUUUUACAUUAGUAGUCAUCUCAAGAGUAGAGGAUUAUGUUAGUUUUGUUUUUGUCGUUGGAGUAAUCUAUUUUAUCCAUACUAACAAGAAUUGUAUACUGAUACAAAAAACAAAAAAAGAUUAAUACUACAAAAAACUCAAAAUUGAUAUAUUUAUAACAAAUUUAUUCCAAUUUUUUUUAUUAUUAAAAAUCCUAAAUUGGUACAAUGACAAUAAAUUUAUCCUCCAUUAAUUUUCAUUAAAUUGAAUUAAUAUCAUGAAAAAACAAAAAUUGGUACGCCUUUAUAACAAAUAGAGAAUAAGACCCCACAUUAAUACACCAAUAAAUUGUUAUAUGUCAUUUAACUUAUUAAUUUGAUGAUAAAGUUUAAUAAAAACUCAUAGAAGAUGAAUUUGUCACAGAUGUAAUAGUUGAAGGUCUUUGGCAAUCAAAAUUUUAAUUUGAGAUAAAUUUAUAAUAAGCGUAUCAAUUUUUGUGGUAUUAAUCCAAAACUAUUUCCUUUUCUUUUUGAAAACAAGAGAACUAUUUACCGACCAAAAGAAAACUAUAUAAGAAACCUGACGUUAAGGGUGAAAAGAAAAGCCCAUGUGAUUUGUUUUUUUCUUUUUUUGGUCGGAAAAAGCCAUAUGAUUAAAAAAACUCAAGAAGGAAACGAGACCAAAAGCUUCAGAUGGGAGUCCAUUUCUGAUUCUUAGUCGUCAUUCGAGUUCGCGUGUAUUGUCUUGCGGAAUCGCUUUGCCACCAUCGACCUCGUACCGAGCUAGAAGACCCUUUGACUUCAAUCGUAAUUUGUCGAAGACGAGGCAUAUUCUCUUCGAUCACGAGCUUUCCGAUUUCUUUGUUGACUGCGAAUUGUUCGUUCUUGGUUCGGUUCUUCGAUACCCAGAAAUCGUUCGAUCGAUAUUUGAUCAAAAGCAACAAAUUUUUCAUCUGGGUAUGCUUAAAAGAUUGGCUUUGAUUGCUUUCGUUGCGGUGGUAGGUGAGUCUGUGCUCGCGGUACAUUUUCGUGCUUGAUUCUUGAGAAAUUUGCCCGGAUAUGAGAGGGGAGUGAUUUAGGAGUGGUGAGAAUGCACGACUUAUAUACCCAAAUGUUCGCUGGGUAUGCUUGAAAGAUUGGCUUUGAGUGCUUUCGUUAUGGUGGUAGGCGGGUCUGUGCUCGCGGUACAGUUUCGUGCUUGAUUCUUGAGUAAUUUGCCCAGAUAUGAGAGGGAAGUGAUUUGGGAAUGGCGAGAAUGCGCAAGAUAUAUACCCAAAUGUUAGACAGCAUAAGGCAUGAUUUUCUUUUUUCUUUGAGCUUUUUGAUAUAUUGGUUCACCGUUCAAUUUUUCAGUUGAAUUUGGUGGAAAUCAGAUUUCCUGUAGCAGACUUAAUUCGGGAGGAUAUAUUGAAAUGCAGGUAUUACUGAUUACCUACGGCUACCAGCUCUUUGUUCCGCUGUUUACACACGAUGGGGAGUGAAGUCUAUUGUUUUCAAAAUUAUGCACCCAGAAUCAGAUCAUUCUUGAAAAGAAAAAUUCUUAUGGUGAAAUUUACGCUACGUUAUCAUAUUUAUGUACUGAGUAAGUCAUUUUGCAAUGCCGGUUAUCUCAUGAAGCAGCAGAUUUGAUCUCCUGCAAUUAUAUACAUGGAGGAAUUGCUUUCUGCUUUUUUCUUUAUGACCCCAGGUUGGUUGUGGAUCCUAAUGUCGAUGUGUGCUUGUAUUUGUAGACAUCGAGGGCAAGGCCAUUCAAGGAAUACAAAGAGGUGCAGCGAGAGAAGGGAGCUGAUCCAGACAUUCAGUUGGUUUGCAAUGACUCAAACAUAUUUAAGUGGACUGCUCUUAUCAAGGUGAGAUUGAAUGGCUGAUGGAGGUAAUUGUCAAGAAAAUGGUGCUGUUGCUCAUAUAAAAGAUAUGGUGAUUCUCUCUUUCAUUAGGGACCAUCGGAGACUCCUUUUGAGGGUGGUGUUUUCCAGCUCGCAUUUGCUAUACCUGAGCAGUAUCCACUGCAGCCACCUCAAGUUCGUUUCCUGACUAAGAUAUUUCUCCCCAAUGUGCACUUCAAGGUAUAAUUUGUUUGUAUAGGAAUGCUUAUUGAUGAUAACUUAGUUGGAACUAGUUGCAGUGCAUGUGAAUAGGUCAAAGGGUGAACUGAUUUACUGUGUUGUUUGGCGAUCAAUGUUUCUUCUCAUCAAUAUCUAUUAUGUUCAGAAUCAGAAACUUGAAAGAGUUGCUAGUUUUAGGGUGUUGAUUUAUCUGGCACUUAAAAAAUAGAUAGAGGUGCAGAAGCUGAGAAUUGGAGACUUCUUUGACACUUUGUCAGGAAACAAUCUUGACCUGUAUUUUUCCAAAUUCUGUUUCCAGAGAAUCUCUGCAUGAAUAGAUUUUCUGAUAACUACUAGCUUGGGAAAAUCAACAGAGAUACCUGAUGCAUAAGUAUGAGAUGCUGUAAGUGUUUGUUUGACUAAUAGAUUGACAUUUUAAUUUACUUUAUACAGACAGGGGAGAUAUGCCUUGAUAUUCUGAAGAAUGCAUGGAGUCCUGCCUGGACACUUCAGUCUGUUUGCAGGGCUAUAAUAGCUCUCAUGGCCCACCCUGAUCCUGACAGCCCACUAAAUUGCGAUUCAGGUAUCAAUGAGUUUUUUUUUUUUAAAAAGAUAUAACAUCUGUAUCUAAAAACUCAUUAUUCUUUCAUUAGUACAUAAACCUCAACCAGAAAUUUCCUUACCUAAAGUCUUUGUAACGCCUAUUAUCUAAGUGGCCUGGUGUUUAAUAUUUGUUGCUUGCACCUCUUGCAAGGAGUGCAUACUCGUAUGCUUGCAUGUUCACUGUUUCGUGAUAAAAUGUGGCACUGUCACUUCCUUAAUAAUAUCUAGUUGAAUGUUGUCUCACUUACAUUUAAACUAUGCAGAGUCAGGGCCAAGAGCCUAAAGUUGGUAGAGUCACCUUUCUUGGUAUAAAAAUCUUGAUUCGGGGUUUCCUCCACCUUCCCACCUUGUGAAUACCACAACAAGAACAAGAAGCCAUUGCACUUUAUGGAGUAAUAUUUCCUCCCCUCAGCCAAAAAGAGAAAAAUGAAAUUCCCUCUAUACCGCCUGGUUACAGGAAAAGAGCAAAACUUUAUAGUGUAGUUCAUAUGAGAACAAUCAUACUCCAUCCUCCUUGAUAUUGACAUAGACUAGUUGUAUCAGUGCCAAAGAGGAGUGCCCUUGACAUCUUGCGGGGAUUCUUGAUAGGCUGCUUUUAGAAUGAGGUGCAAGAGUGUCUUUGAUUGAACUUUUCUGGAAAUAACAAGGGUAAGACCUUUGUAAUCGUUUGACAAGUAUUGAGAGAGAGCGUGAGAUUUCAGUGGGAAUCUUUCAUGCUCCUUUUCCACAUUUUGUUUCCUAAUCCUAUCUCAAACGAUACUUCAUAUCAAAUCUUUAUUUCCAAUAGUCAGUUUGUUGGAUCAGAUAUAGAGGACAGUAGUGCUGCGACAAGUGAUAAUAGUUGGAUGUCUUUGCCUCGAUUGAGUAUUCACAUAAACACAUUCUGUCGUUCUGUCAAUUACGCAUGAGAUUCUGGGGAUUAGAUGAAUUAGGUAUGAUAUGAUGCUUCGAUUUCAACUCAAACUCUAUCUGUUAAGAACCUUGAGAGCUAUUCAUCUUAAUCAUUCAUGCAGUCAAGCAUUCUCAGGGUUUGUUGAUUGCCUUCUGGUGGGCCAAUAUAUUAUAUGGCAUAAAAGAGAUAAUUUCAACAAUGAAGUGAUAGAGAAUGGUAAUAAAGAACAAAUGCUUGUACUUGUUCAAUGUAACAGUUGAUGGUUAUUUUUUCCUAAUGUCCUGCCUGUAAUGGUCGUAGUGUAUUAGAAGAGAGAUCAUGUUUUCCUGAGGUAAUCCUUCAGAUGAGAAUGUGGAGCCCCUGGGCAGGACUGCCUGCUCUGCAUGAAUCCACUGUUGUGUCGAUCAUGUUCUUCUACUGCUGUCCUUAAUACAACUCUUCACUCUGCUCGACCAUGUGUGGUGAGGCAAACCUCUCGUUUCCUUUUAUUUCUCUCUAGGCAGCUCUCUUGCUCAUGUUGCUGCUGAGCUCUUGGAAUCAUCUUUGAUGGGAAUUAGGCUCCUUGAAAGGCUAACUGUGAGAUAUCUUGUCUGAUCACUCAUGGGAGGAAAUAAAAGAUUAAAUAAAAGAAGCUCUCACUCAACUGACAGGAAUUGUUCACAGCCAGUGAAAGGAUGAAUUUUGGUGCAGCUAAGAAGAUGAGAAUUAUAAAUAAAGCACAAUUGCAGAGACUAUCAACAGUUGAUCUUCCUGAAUUUGAAUGAAAUUUAAAAGAAAAAUUCCCUUGGGGGUUGCCAAACUUGAAGGAGGUUCUUAGUUAACAUUAUUUUCUUUAUGUCGGGUUCGGUUGAAGUGAGUUUAUAUCCCCACCUCUCUCUCUCUCUCUCUCUCUCUCUCUCUCUCCAGGGUAAUUCCAUAACUCAGGUGUGGAACUUCUUCCUAGUAGUCAUUAGAAAUGCACAUGCUAAAUCUCAUAAGAAGGGAUGGCUUAUUAGUUCCAAAUUGAUCUUGUAAUCCAGGGAUGAAUCACUUCUACGUCAAGGAUUAGCUUAGAAUGAUGAUUUGCAGUGUGUACUUGCCAAGCAUGAAGUCAUUGCUUCUGGAAGUUCAGUUCAGGCUGAGAAAACCUCGCUGGGACCUUCUGGCACCAUGACAGAUGUCAAAGGUCCUCUACUUGAUAUUGUAGAUAACAGCACAAAGCCUGAUGAAAGGUAACUGUUUCAUUAGUCAUGAUUGCAAUAUAUAAACCCCAAAUACUUGUUCUGUGGCAAAUUAUGACGUUCAGCUGAAGUCUGUGAACUGAGCAGUGCUACUCUUAUGAUAAUUUGAUAUGGAUAUUUUUUGCUAAUUUUCUGCUGUUUGGUAAAACUUGGUGGAUAUUUAUACAUUGAGGCUCCGUUUGUUUCAUAAAAAAAUGACUGGUUUGGAAAAUUUUUGCUGAAAAUGACCAUUUAUAUUGCUUAUAGAAAGGAACGAACGAAAAAUAUUUUCAUCGUCCACAAAAAUGUUUAUACACAAAUUGUUGUCGACAAUGAGAACAUUUUCUGUUGACUAAUUAUUUUAAGCAAAAGCUAUAUGAUGAAAAUGUUUUCCAAAUCAUGUAUUUUCCGCAAAACAAACGUAGUGGAAAUUUAUCAUCUGUCUUUGAUCCUCUGGUUGUCAAGACCUUGUCUGGUGCAACUUUUGCACAGCAGAUUUGGCUGUGAAAAUGUGUGUCUGCAGCUUUUAUGAGCUGUUUGUCAAAUUCUUUACUGCUGCAGUGCCCUCAAANNNNNNNNNNNNNNNNNNNNNNNNNNNNNNNNNNNNNNNNNNNNNNNNNNNNNNNNNNNNNNNNNNNNNNNNNNNNNNNNNNNNNNNNNNNNNNNNNNNNNNNNNNNNNNNNNNNNNNNNNNNNNNNNNNNNNNNNNNNNNNNNNGCUUUACCAGGCAGAUCCUUAGUAGUACUAUUGAUGUGAUUUAGGUCUUGAGAGAAGAAGAAAGGAGAGAGGAAGAAAUGUACCAAUGCAUCUUGUACAUGUGCUCAUUAUAUACAUGCAAGUACAAAAUGAUUGAAGCAUGCUGCACUAAACAUUUAUCUUGUGGCUUAAAUUGAUCUAAGAUCUCAAAUAUUUGCUCUUGAAACUUUGUGUCUAAAAAGGCUGAUUAAACUUUGGGAGAUUGCUGUCCAACAUUGUGCAUUCAGUUCUUGAGUUCCGAGUGUUUCUAUGUCUCCCAAUUUGCUCAUAGGAUCGCUAGGGAUCAUACUUAAAAAGCUAGUCUAGAUUGACAAGAGAGCAGCCAUUUUUUUGGGUUAAACACCUGCUGUCUCUCUCCACUUAUUACUUGAGAUUUACACAAAGAUCGGUUCUGUUAGUGUUAUACAGCAAGAAAUUUAUUUGAUACAGGAUAAGCAUGAGUAUACAUAAGAAUUCGGAUUUACUAUAAUAGAAUGUAAAAUGAAGUUAUCACAACUUCACAAAAAUUCUAUUCUAACGGAAAAGAUUUACGUGGUAGAAUAAGACCAUUUAAAUUACAGACUUUGUAAAAAUAUUAUAUUUAAUAAUUGAAUUUUGUUAUAUUUUUGUGCUAUCUUAUGAAAGUGAUGCAAGCCUAGGGGAGGCUUUUUCAAACAAUAGGAUCGGGAGAGUGACUCGCGCACAAGAAACGGGACGAACAGUAAUUUCAGCACUGCGCAAGCUCAGGAGAAUAGUCGUAUCUUUGUCGAUACAAAUCGGAUCAACCUGAUUCCAAAGCCAAAUGAACAAAAACUUCUGGAUCUACAAUUUCUGUGUUUUGGGUUUUUUGAAAUAAGCACUGUAGGAUAGUCGAAAUUGGGUUGGAAGUAACGAACAGAACAGGAAAAGAUAGGAACUUCGUUGGUUGCUCUUCUAGGCCUCCAAGGAAGUUGAAAGGGACACCGAUUCUUCUAGAUCGAUGACUGCAACUCUUCAAGGAUGCAGAUUUCAAAAGCUCCGACUCUUCAAGGACGGAGUGAAAAAUCUUCUAGGUUUUCAAGGGGAUGAACUCUACAAGGUUCACGAUACUUGCUUCAAAGCAAAGUUUUUCAUUCAUCAAAAGCUAUCUGUCUUCUACAAGAAAUUGGGCUUAUAUCAUCAAAGAAAUAAAGAUAGAGCAUUGAAAACUAGGAGAAAUAAAGGAGCAUUGAAAUUAGGAGAUAUAGUAAAGGGCAUGGAAACUAUAAACUAGUAAAAGCGUCACGCGAGCUUCCAAGGUGUCUUUCAAGCUUCCGGGAUGGACUCAAGAUGUCAUUAUGGCUUCUCGGUUUCGUCGAGCUUUAAUGCGGGCCGAUCUUCUUGGUCGAGAGAGCCGGUCUUCAAUGUGGGCUGCAUCAGAAAGUUAAUAUGAAUAUUAUACUUAUUCUUGUGGAUGUGAUACUAUAUAAUCACCUAUUAACAUUGGCAUGUUAUAUCCUUAAUAGACUAAUAAUAAGAUGCAAAAUAAGUUCCAAGUUCAGCAAACACCCAGGAGAGGGAAGUAAAACUGAAAAUCAUGUACAUAUGUGCAUUUUACCUGAAAGUACCAGUAAUUUACUAUUAGAGGAUAUUGAACACCAGUUUCUGGCCAGUUGAGCUAUAAGAAGUGGGAUUUUCUGCAGAUCAUCAUCAAGUGCCGGUACAGGGUCCAUCAUCAAGUGCCGGUACAGGGUCCAGCUAAACUUGAUCCAAAAACGGACCUUCUCAGUGGAGAGGACUACAGCUUUCCUAAGGCAGAGACUUCACUAGCACUAGUGCCUGUUGGACACCCACAGUCAACUGCAUCUCAGUCACGGCAGAAUGGACUUGUUCUUUUCGAUGUGUUUUCGGACAGUAACAACAAGCCCAAUACUAUCAAUACCCAGAGUGGCUAUCCAACUACACAAAGCAAUUCUUCUACUCCUCAAUUCCAACAGCAGCAGAAUCUGCAAGCUCCACAACUUGGGGUUUAUGCUAAUGGCAACAUGCCAAACAUGGGAUCGAACGAGCAUGAUCAAUCACCUUAUUCUCAAAGCUCUGUUCCUGUUUGGAAUGGCCAUAUUGCGCAGCAGCAACGGCCUCCCUCUCCUGUCUAUGGUGCACUUCUGCUUCUUCAUCAGUACUUGACAUUACUUUCUUAGUGAUGCGUAUUUUGUCGGUUGGCUUGUACUGUACAACCUUAUUUGGCAUGUACUAGGGGCAUGCUUGGUAUUCUUUUCCAGAUUACUGAGUUGCUAUGAGACUUAAGUCCUUUUGGCGAGCGUUGACCUCUUCUUUGUGGACAUAGCUGAACUCCUAACAAACAAUCUUACAAUCUGUUGAGCCUACGGUUUUGUGGUGUUUCGCAGGUGCUCAAACUAGUGAUUCGCUACCACCACCCCCUUGGGAAGCUCAGUCAGUGGAAAACAGUCGGGUGAUGGGCAGUCAGUACCCCCAACCAAUGCAAGGUUCAGAGGUGGUCGUCCUGCAUGCACAACCUGCACUGAGUGGAUUGCAUCUCCAGGCACCUUGUCCAAGGGAAUGAGCAAGCGAUGGACAUGUACUUGCAACCAGUUGCGGGUGGCCACAUGCCAUUGCUGAAUAGCCAGGUUGUUCCAAUAAACCAAAUGGUAGGACUUACCACCUCAGCCCAUCCAAGGAGGUCCUUAUAUGGGGAUGGUUCCUCUGCCAAUGCAAGUAGAUCAGAUGGCUUAUUUAUAUCCCCAGCAAAUGUAUGGCAGCCAGGUGGCAGCCUACGGCUAUGGCCAACAAGGUGCUCAGUACCUUGAUCAGCGGAUGUAUGGGCUGUUGGUUAGAGAUGACAGUAGCCUCAGGAACUCUUCAUACCAGGUGUCCACUUCAUCGUACAUGCCACCCAUGAAGCCUUUGAAGCCAGAGGACAAGCUAUUCGGAGAUCUCGUUGAUAUGGCUAAAGUGAAAUCGUCUGCAAAAUCUACUCCAGGCAGAGCUGGUAGAAUGUAGCAGUAGUAUUUGCGAACCAUGUUUUGCUUGUUAAGUUGAUUUCUUUUGAUUUUCUUAUUUCAAAUUUUUCUAUUAUACAUAUUUGGCAGUUUCUUCUGUUUGUGGCCGUGUAUUGGCACUGCUUGUUUGAGAUCAUGUACAUUCUUUGUAAAGGGAAAGAAAAGGAAAUCUCCUCAACCUUUUAUCUCUUAUCAGGGCAGAACGGUUAAUAAGUGCACGUCAUUAAGUUGAUCUAAUUCUUAUAGAAUUUCGUAGUUAGAGUUGGUGCUAUAGAAGAUUUUUAUGAGAAUUAGAGUGCUGAGAGAAGAAUUUGUCAGAAUGAUACCAGGAUUUUCAAUCUAGCAUGAUUAUUGGCUUUUGAUUUUGAGCAUACCGUCAUCGCAAUGGUCUCUCUUAUCUCCAGAAGAUGUACUUGUCAAUGAAGGUUGGAUGAGUGAGUUUGUAUAGGUGUGUGUACGUUAGAGGAACUCUUCUUCAGCAGGGGAAACUAUGUCUUGCUGUUCUGAUCUCAUUUUCGUGAAAUGUAAAUUGCUUGGCUUUUGGUGGUGUUCAUAUUAUGCUAUACUUAGUAUCAUCGCUAUAUUUGUGGAAUGUUUUGGCCGAAAGUUAAUCUCCGUCGUUUUUCUUAGAUUUUAUGUAAUCUUGGAUUUAGCAAAUUCUCGGCAAAGUUUACGGUACAAGAGCUUUCCUGGGGUGACUGUCUAUUUUGUUUUUUUAAUUGCCCUAAAAAGGAACAGUGUUGUUUUCCAUCAAUGAUGCUUCAAACUUUCAUGAUUGUGGCUAGAUAGACCUCCUAGAUUGACCCCAGGACAUUCACUUCAAGAUGAGGGGUGAUUCUCCCAUGAUCAGAUCCGGGACUGACUUCAUUGCAGAGGUGACCCUUUCUUCUCGUUUUUGCUUUCACGACCAGGUACGAGGAGAAUGACUUCAUAGCGAUUCACGGGUACCAAGAUCCUGAGAGCGUUUGGAUGAGACCAUUGCGUAAAACGGAGUGAAGACGUUAAAGUACCUAAAGAUGCUCCGGCAACGGUGAUGCUUCCAGGGAAAUUCUCGCAUGCGCCCGAUAACGCAAAGCAUCGGAUUCGAUGAGUCUCGCAUGAGGCUCGCAUGCUCUAUGGUUCAUACGUGCAUCGGGUGUAUGAUGCAAAAAUGGCCCGUGAUGCGAAGACGAGAAACGAAAUACUUUACCCGUGAAGGAGAUAUAUUUUUUGGUCAGACCGACGUUUUUUUAAUCCAACGGGUUAGCCAAAUUUUAAGUAGGCAGGUGCCCAAAGAUGCAUGGUGACGACCAAUCAUUUAAUGAAAAUGACGUUAAAUAAAGAUCUAUUAUCAGGCUCAAUUACAAGUUUCACCAAUUGAGUCACAUGUAUAACAUAUUCAUACCUAAUGAUUUUCCGCAAAGUGGUGAUGAAAGGUUGUGUUUGAUUAAGAAACAUUUUAAAUUAAAAAUAAGUUGAAUGAUUUUCUUGUUUAUAAUUGAAAAACAAUAAUAAACAUAUUCAAAGGGCAUAUAGAGUGCUGCUAGGAUUCAAGUAUUUUUACCUUCGUUUAUUAUUUUUAUAUUUUUUCUAUGCCACAUUAUCCAUAUUUAUUUAACACCAUUUCUGGGGAGCAACAUUUUCAAUGUUUAAAUGCUCCUUAAACCUUUAUAUAUUUUAUUGUUCCAUGAUAACUUUCACUCAUAACUUAUACAUUUAAAAUAGAUUUCAAUUAGCUAGAGCUAACAAAAGUAGCAUAUUGAUAACACUGCCAAAUUACUCAAUUUUUAAUAAAAAAAAUAAUAACUUUACUUUUUAAUAGACGUAAGCAAAUACCAAUUACUAACAGACAAUUUUCAAAAACUCACCUUUUAUCAUAUGAUAUGAAUGGGAUCAUCAUGGAUAUAAUGAGAUGCAAUUGCCAUUGAAAUUGCACAAAAGUUUCAAAGGCUCUGAAACCUAAUUAUCAGUUUUGUGGCUAAGAAAGAAACUGUAAGAACAAUCAACAUCAUUUUUCUGAUUAUGCAAAGCAAAAGAAUAAAUAUAUAUCUCCCCUUUUAGAUUUGUGAGGAAUUCCCUUAUGAGGUUUUGCAAAAUGAUAAAUCGAUCAUAGGCUACUAAUAUGCUUAUUGUGGAAUCAACUUGUCAACUCACAAAUUAAUAUGUAGAUGGAGUAUGGAACAGGUACCUCUAGAGGUUGGUAGUGCUCUGCUUCCAUAGAAGGUGAAUAAGAUAGAAGACGUGAAGAGUAUCUAAGGCUAGAUGGGUGAACAAGCUGUAGAGGUUCCUUAAAGCUUGGAUGGACAAGUAGAAGUUAUUAGUUUUGUGGAACUAGAAGCCUGACAACAUGCUUGGAGGGACUUGUAUGUAGAAGGUGAACAGUCAAUUCAACGUGGAGGGUGAAAAGACUUCUUUUUUUUGGGGAUUAUGCAUCAAAUAGUGAAGCAUGUAGCUUUUCUAAUCUUAGUACUUAUACUUUUUUUUUUUGAAGCAAUUGACACUGAAUUUUUUAACAUUUAACAAUAGAAAUACUAAGGGAUCGAAUAAUAAUCAUUUUAUUUCUUUAUUAUUUUGUUCUUGAGGAUAUGUUUGGAAAAAAAUUCGUUUGGUAAUUUUUUUUUUAUUUCUACGACAAAUUUUUCACUCUGAAAGUCACAAAAAUGAGAAUUAAAAAUUUUCUAUUUGUCUAUUUUUGAAAUAAAAAUAAAAAUAAAAACUCUUAUUAUCGCUCGCCUUAGUUGUUGCUCGCUGGCCACUACCUAGAAAUUUUGAGGCUUAUUGAAUGAAUUUCUAUUUCGAAAACCGAAACUAUGUUGCUAUCAAAUAUCAAAUGCGUAUCUCUACUAAAAAACUCAUCUAAGGAAUAUAAAUUGAAAAAUCUAUUUCCACAUAGAAAUUGUUUUCAAGAAGAGAAGAAUUAGCAUUCGCGCCCUUAGUUCGAAAUCAUCGAUUAUUUUUAAUGUCCAUUAGAUGAAUUACCAAAUUACUUUAGAACCAAAAGCCAUCAUUAUUUUGAUUUUUGUAAGCCUUGUUUACCGGAGAAUAAACAUCAAAGUAAUCAAGUCCUCCUUUUUUACGAUACUUUUUAGCCACCAAUCCUGUCUUAUGUAUAGUUCUAUUGUUAGGAGGAAGAUUAGUUGAUGACCCUGUAUUAUUUCGCUUGAUAGAUUUUAUCUUAUCAUCCGUUGCCAUUUUCCACAUAUGCGCGUCCGGUCUAGAAUUUGUUUGGAAAAAGAUUCUUUAGAAAGAGAAAGAUAUUGUUCAAUUAUAACUUGUUUUCCUUCAUCUAAAGAAACAAUUUCUUUUCCUAAUAUUCGUCUAUAUCGAGACUAUUAAACAGGGCGGGCUUAAACUAAGAUUUCAAGUAAGCUUUUACAUGAUUUUCUUAUGUUUGGAAAAAAAGAAGUACUCAUCGACAUAAUGAGAUCCAUAUGUUCAAAAAAUCCUCCACUUCUUCCUAAAUUCAGAAGAACAGAAAAAACGAAUAAAAAAAUCCUCAAGUAAAGAAAGCCAUGACCUUAAAAAAUAAAAAGGCAUGUACAAGAAAUCGUCCACUUCAAAACCUAAAGAGCUUGAGUAAUGUCAUCUACCCCGACUACGAUGAUACCAAAAUAAGUUCAGAUCUUUUCACAAGCUGAAGUUCAUUAGUCUUACAGGGUAGGAUGGGUUCCAAUCUAAAGCUGAAACUAGUAUUGGCAAAGGCAUAAUGUACUCCAAAAUCCUAGACGUUACAUCAUUUACUUGAGGAGACUCACGAGCAGGGCCGGAGCCAAUUCCUUAUGACACCUUGGUUGGUCUCAUUUCUCAAUAAAAUUGCCAAUUCAAAGGCCGAAAUCGAGAAUCAAGCUAGUGUUGAUCAAUCUGGAAAUUUUUGAGAUCGUGAACUAAAUCAAUUCUCCUUGAAAUCGGCUUGGAAUAGAGCUGAUUGAGCCAGUUCCAAUUUUACCUGAACCUUUGCUCACCCCUAGUGUGGAAGGCACUUUAGCAAAUUAGCAUUAUAAAAUAAGCUUCUUGCUUCAUAAUGACUAUAUUUGAGAACACACCUCAAGGAUGAAAAUUAUAAAAAAAGCUUCUUACCUCUGAAAAAAAAAAAAACAUUUGAAAUGAUAUUUUCCAGAGACAUGGAGAAUAGAUGCAUAUUUUUUUCAAAUGCAUUAUGUUUGUUAUUUAUACAUCACAAAUAUAUGAUCACUCAUUCUACUCUUAUGGUUUUUGCUUUGUCAGGGUUCGUACUUUUGUCACUCUUUCGGUUGGUCUUUUUGCUUGAUCUCAGUGGUUCCGAAAUUAGAAUUCUAGAAAUUGUAGGGAUGUUGAGCUAGUGGCAGUUUGGUAAUGUGGAGGGAGAGUCAUUGAUCGAGAGUUUAAAUGAGCUGGAGGUUGAUUUUAAGUGCGAUUUGGGUUCGCUGUUCGGACUCGAGCGGCAUCAUCAGAAAAUCAAAGUGAGGGGACCAGUCAGCAGAUGAUACCUGAUAUCGGCAUUUUAUUUACUUUGAAACAAUCGACCAGCUUGAAAUUUAAUUUGAUUAUUUAAAGAAGCUGCAUUUAUUCUCCUGUUUCAAUUGCUCGACUCAUUCCCAAAUCAACUACUGAAUUAGCUUUCCUCGCUCGAAGUCGGCCUAACCAAUAACCAUCCAUUCGUCAUCAAUGUCAGAUACCCUGUAGCCUUUCUUCCCUUCACAAGCCAAGGGCAAGAUUAAACUAUUUACUCCCCUCCGUCCAUAAGACCGAUGAUCUUUUGCUCCCUAGAGGCAAAAGUAAGAGUUAUAUUAAACCGAUCCAUCUAAUCAAAGAUAGAUUACACUUCAUAAAGUCUUUGAGAGCUAGAAGGUAAUUUAUGCAAAUCGUUAGGUGUUCUCGGCAAAGUGCCGAUUGGACAUUAUCCAUGGGGAGGGUGGAUGCAUUUGGUGAAUUUGAGGUAUAUUGAGAUCCGACAGGAUUGAGAUUUGCAAGCUGUUUCUCAAAUUGGACGGCGAUUGAAAUGAAUUUAGAUGUUGGUUUGGCAUCGGAAGCUCAAAAUUAAUGGCCAUUAGAUGAUUGGGCAUGUAAAUCAUUUUACUUUCGGUUAACAUACCCGUGGAUAGAGGUGUUAAAAUGGGUCAUAAACCCACUUAUGACCCAUUUAAAUCUUAAAUGGGUCAUAAAUGGGUCACUUGUUUAAUACAAAAGAUAGUUAAAUGGGUUUCACAAUUAAAUGUUUAAGAUAGGUGGGUCUUAAGUAGGUUUUUAAAUGGGUUGGGUUGAAAACUCAUCUUUAACAAAAACAUUAUAAUUCCUCCCUUCUUUCUUUAACUUUAUAAAAAUCUAAAUUAUAAUUUUUUUAUUUUUAUUUUCUCUUUUCUUUUUCUUCCUUUUUUUUUUCUUUCUCCUUCCUCCUUCUAGUCGCCGGCACGGCGACGGCUGGCGACCGGCCAGGCGAGCCUCGAGCUCGCCGGCGUUGGGCGAGGUUUGAGCCUCGCCAGUUCUGGCGAGGGGCGAGCUCGAGCUCGCCGGAUCUGGCGAGACGAAGGGCGGCAUCGGGCGAGGCUCGAGCCUCGCCGAUCUAGCGAGCCUCGAGCUCGCCUGUGGCCGGUCGCCGGCUGUCGUCGUGGCCGGCGGCCGGCCAAAGAAGAAGAAGAGGGAAAAGAAAAAAGAGAAAAAGAAAAAGAAAAUUAUAUUUUAAAAAUAAAAUAAAAAUAAUUAAAAUUUUAAUUUAAAAAAAAUAAUUAAAUUUCGAUUUUUUAAAUAGUUAUUUUAAAAUUUAUAAAAAUUUUCCAUUAAAUUUAUAUUGUAUAAAACUAUUUUAGCAAUACAAUUUAAAAAAAAAUAAUAUAUAUAUAUAAAAGCUUAGAAGUAUUUUAAUAAUAUAAUCUUUAAAAAAAAACAUAGGAAUAAGUUUUUCUAAAUUUUUUAAAUAUGAAAAUAUUUUAUUAAUAUGAGUUGGGUCGGGUCGGGUAUGGGUUGGGUAUGGGUCAGGUCGGGUUUGGGUCGAAAAAUUUACAUUAAACAUAAAUGGGUCAUAAAUGGGUUAAUGGGUUAAUUUGGAUUGGACCAUUAAUGACCCGACCCAAACCCGACUCGACCCACCCGUUUAAUGGCUCUACUCGUGGAUUGUGCUAGAGUUGUUUCAGUAUCGUCUCUACCUUCUUUUAUUUUAUUAAAUUUGUAUACCACAAUGCCUUAAUAUGUCCCUAAUACAUAGCCACAUUCUCUCGCCUGAUAAUUUAAUUUUUUCGGUAAUUAAGAUUUAAUGUGGCAAUGAAGCCCAAGCAAGUGAAAACUUCAUUCGACCGAUAUCUCAGUAAAAUGGAAAAAUUAUCUAGAAAGUCCUAAAUUUAUCGUGCUUUUACCCAUUCAGUUAUAAAUAAUUUUGUAAAUUUAGUUAUAAACCUUUUCAUUUUUUAUCAAUUGAGUUCAUCCGAUUAAUUUUGACUGGAAGUCACUAAUGUGAAACUGGUAAUACCACAUAUGACGGUUGGCUCUAUCAUGGACAAUAUAUAUCAUAUUUUCAUUUUUUUUGAUUUUUUUUCUUUCUUUUUCUUUUCAUUGGAGGUUAGGUUGGUUGGCCUUGUCAUAUUUGGCUUGGGUGAAGUUGACUCUCGCCUAGGUGAGGACUAGCCCUAUGAGGGUCGACUCUUGCCUAGGUGAGGACAAGCCCUAUGAGGGUCAACCUCACUUGGCUGUGCCUCACCUGUGGUGGGCAAGGCCAACUUGCUUAGCCAUGGUCAAUGCUGGCCAUAGCCACUGCCAAAACAAAGUAAAAUGGAAAAAAAGAAGAAGAAAUAAAUCAAAAAUAAAUUGCAAAGUAUUAUUAAAAAUUGUCUAUAUCAGCACUGGUUAUUUGGCCAGCAUUGCAACAACGUCAACGAAUUCUAAUCAAAAUUGGUUGGAUGGACUUAAUUGACAAAUUGUGAAAAUGUUUAGGAUUGAAUUUGCAAAAGUGGAACAAGGUUAGAAUUUUUUGGACAAUUUUAGUAAAAACUAGGAAUAUCCCGAAUAAGGGCCUAAAAUGCUUCUAUUUUCUCCAAUAAGGGCUUAAAAUAAAUUUUGUUUCAAAUAAAAAUCUGAAGUGGCCGGAUGCCUCUUAAAGAGUAACAAAAGUGUGUGAAGGGAGGCUCAAGCUAAGAUUUUGCUCGUGAGCACAAUGGUAUAAGCCUGCCUAAUUAUGAGACUAAUUGGUCGAAUAGAGACGAAAGUUGACCAUAGUGAUAUGGGAGUCCCAUGUGGAAGGGCUCUCACUUAACAGAUCAAAGGUAUGUUGAUGAUAACAGACUGAUGACUCCCAAGAGCUCUUAUUGAUGGAGUUGUUUGGCACCUUGAUGUUGACUCAUCACAUCUUGGAGGUGGAAAGGUUCCCAAGAGUUUGGUUGUUCACCGAUCAAAGUAGAAGAAAAUAAACUGCCAUUUGCCUAGGUAAGAGUCUUAGUAAGAGAUAGAAAAGGAAUAGUUGCCUUUUGCAAAGGAGAAGCUGCUUGAUCAAGAGGCAGAAGAGCCGCAUAACUUGAUUCACAUUUUCUUCUUGAUUAGAGGGGUGUAGUAGCACUGGAAGAGAGGUACAUCAGUUUCAAAAAAAUGCCUAAUCUCUCAGACUGAAGGACAUUUUCAUCUUUUAUUUUUAAUUUUUUUUCAAAGAAAAAUUUCAAAUAAGAAUUCGAAGUGGAGCCAUAUUCUCAAAAGAGGGUUAAAGUGGAUACUGUCUUAAAUAAGGACUUCAAGUGGCCAAUUUAGUUUCAAAUUGAGCCUGACUUCAUUUACUGGCCAAAUCUUGUUGUUGACACCUAAAUUUUGGCUACCCAUUUAGUUAUUUAUCGCGUUAAACAUUAGGGGUUAAUUUUAUCCUUGAAAAAAAAUAGUUAAUUGCGUGACAUAUAGAUUUAGGUGCAUUUGCAUUUAUUUAUUGGGCUGGUGACAGAUGGGUUCAAGUUGAUGGUGCAGAACUUUAAUUUGAUGAAUUGGCCUAAGCCCGUUGUUCUCUAAUGACCGACAAUUGAUUUAUUUGAUAUUUUUAGAAAAGAUUCGUAAUAUCCUUCCAAUAUUCGAUAAACAUUUCAUAUAUUUAUGCGAUAUAUACAUUAAGUGAAAUAUUUCGCAGGAGAUUGGAAGAUUUCAGAGGAAAUAUCAAAAUAAUCAAACUAGGAUAUAUGGAACGAUAUUUUUUUUUGCCUCAAAAUGAGAGAAAUUGCAUGGUCAUUAAAGAUUUCGUGCGGAAAUUUUCUUUCCCUAAUAAGAUCAUACUAUAAAAUGCCGCUUGAUCGAGUAAAAAGGGGGGCCACGCAAAAUUGAAAACACGGCCACAUUGAGGGGGAUCUCACAAUACACAGACACACGUGAGGUAAGAGAGAAGGGUCGCGCCUUGCCAUCAUCACGCCCACACCGGUGACGCCGCCGCUGCCCCUUGACGACAACCCCAUUGCAAACGUGCCUUGACACGUCUCAGCAUCGGACGCUAGAGUUGCAGCCCUCUUUGCCGCUGUCUAUGUUGACGUGUCGGUUACUCGGCGAGCAUUCCACGACGUUCCAAGUUUCAUCAAGUCAAAGGGAGAGAAUUUGUAAAGAGAAUCCAAGCAGAAAAGACACCAACACAAGCAGCACACUCCGAAUGCCUACACGAUUCCCUUGAAAAUUCUGGGCUAAAUUUAAGACCAUAUUCUGUCCACACAACAGCAGGAGGACGUGCAUAGACUUGUGGAGAAUUUCACUAAAGCAUCUCAAUCCAAUUGGUGGCAAAAUUGGAGAAAAUUUGGGGAGUGAUGUGCUGAAGCGGUGGAUAUCGUCUUCUCUUGCAUGGUCUUUGUGGAAAGUCCCUUGGCGAAGAAGCCAACGCUCGCACAAAAAGAAAGGACGCCACAGUUGAGAUACACGACUAAAACUGAGAAACGCGCUUGAGAAAUCGAGAAAAAAGGUGGAUCGUGAGAGACUCCAUCGACGACAGUGAUCUUUUUUCGGUGUUGGGAUCGUGUUCGUGAAGGCCACCCAACAUCAAUUAAUUUGCUGUUCUUGUUGCUUUGCCACGCCAAUUCCCUGACACCUCCACCGUCCACGAAUCAAGGCAGUCCACGGCAGGGGGAAUUCCUGUUGACUUGUUCGGUCAAUUGCCAAGGAUCCCAGCGGCACCGCAGCUGCUUGACGACUCGGCCACUCACGGUCACCUCCAGAGAUUUCCCAGAGAAAUUGUCCGCAUCGGAAGCCUUGACAAAGUGGUCAUUGAUCAGCCCCCUCGUCGUGCUUAGUUCACCGACCCAUUAGCCACGAAUUGCUAUCCAUGAGUCCCGCCAGCACCACCGAGCUCAGAGCCAUCACCACCGCAAUUUGUGUGAUUUGUUGUCCAUCUAAGUUUGGAAACAGUAUCCGAGCGAUAUUGCAAUUUAGGUAAUAAUUUUCAUCAAAUUGAUCUUCAUAUAUUUUUAUUGUCUAAUUUACAAAAUCGCUAUCUCGUACAAAUCUUUAAAUGAUGAUAUCGUAUCCACAAAUAUCAAGCAUAUUUUCAAAUUAGGGAUUGAUCCCUAAUUUCACAACGUGCAUAUAAUUGAUAGUUCGAUUUUCGUGCCCGAAAUCUAAUUCACAAUCACACGGAAAAAUUGCCAAUUCGAUAUUACGCUUGAGAUACGAUUCGUGAUUUUAUUUAAAAAAUUGGCAAAUUCGAUCUCAUGCGCGAGAUAUGAUUCAUCAAUUUUGUUCUCAAAAUUAAAUGGACAUGGAUGAUAUUUUGCUGGAUUUGUUGCCGUGCUGUUCUUGAUGCCUUUAUUUGUUUGCUCCCAUAAAAGGAAAAAAAAAACAUUUGAGUUAGAUUAGAUGCAUGUUAGGAUGUUACUUAUUUUAGGGUUAUUUUGCAUGUCUAGAAUAGGAAAUUUAUAUAUUUCGAAUUUCUUAAAUAAAAAAUACCAAAAACAUAAAUUUAGGAUGUUAGACUUUCGUUUAUUAAUUAAAAUUGCGUGUUAAUUAUUUGCCAACUUUAAAUUUCGAAUUUUAUAUAAAAAAACACAAAAAUAAUUUUAGAAUAGAAUCGCAUGUCUCAUUUUAAGUUUAGGUCAAUUUUUAGAUGGAUGCGUCUUAGAUUAGAGAUUGCUAGGUUAAGAUAAUGUCAUAUUUUAAAUUAGGAUUUAGUCUAACAUAAUCCUUAAUUUGAGUUGGAUAGAGCCUUAAUCUAGUUAGGUCAUUUUUGCAUUUUUCUUAAUUUCAAAUUUCAUGAAAAAUAGAAAAAUAAAAAUUGUCUUAGAGUAGAUUCAUUUCAUUCUCUAGGAUAGAUUACAUUUUUUUAGGAAUUGAAAUAUCGAUUGCACGUCGUAUAGAAUUAGAAUAAUUUAAAUUAGAAAUUACAUGUCAUUAAAAUUAGAUUAUUUAGAUCGCAUUUAAUCAUUGCAUUUCUUUAUGAAUUACUUUAGUCAUGACGUAUAGUUAGGUCAUGUUGCCAUGUCGCAUGCAUCACAUGAUUUUUAUUAAAUAAAGUGAAAACAAAAAAGAAAUUACAUGUUAAUUAGAAAUCAUAUCUAGGAUUCUUGAUGUGAAUUCUGGUCUAACAACGCAGAUGCUUUCGUUGUUAUGAGGUGAGUCCUGCAAUUUAUUUACUGCUUGGGUGUUAAAUUGGUGGUUUGCGCACCAUGAUCGCCUCACAUGUUAGGGAAAUAGAUUUAAAAUCAAUUUAAGAUGCUUGUCAAACAUUUUUUAAAAAUAAAAGAGAAAGACACCAAAAGAGGCGUUAGAUUUCUCUAACGUAAUCAAGUCCCUGUAACUUACCUCGUAACCAAAAUCUCUGGUUCGUAGGAAUAAAGUAAAACGUCAAAAAUAGAUUAGUGGCGACUCUUAAUUUAAAAAUCAUCUGCAUGUUAAGAAUUUGAACGCGAAUUAGUAUGGGUUUGGGAGAGUCCGAGUUAAGUCUAGGCUUAAUAAUCCAUUAGCCAAACCUUAGGUGGUUUAUUCGAAAAUUUGGUCGCGACACUUGUCCAUGUCCGAGGGCAUUCUCAUCCAAGUACAUUUGUUUCUUUAUUUUUCUUUUCUUUCUCUCUCUGUUUUAUGUUUUCAUUUCAUUUUUUUUCCUUUCUCUACGCCAUCAUCUUCUGUGAUUUCAAGUAUAAACACGCUGGCAAAAAAUUUUCUAGCUGUCUCUCGCCCAGCUCCAAAACCCCGCUUCCUGUUUCCUCGCUACGCAGCCAAAACUUCCUAACACUCUCAAAAGAUUAAUCGGCGAUAUUCAACAACCGUAUACAAAAAAUUUCACAACCCUAUACAACUUAUGACCCGACACAAAACUGUUUGUCGCCCCCUAAAAACUUUUCCACAGGAAUCAUAUGUUGAUUCAACUACUCUCUGUUUUAGGGAACACGGGAACUGUGUUGUGCAGCACAGUCGUCCCUGGAAAGACCAUCACCCGGUGAUUUCUUCUUAAUUGUUUCAACUGCAAAAGAAAUGAAUGCAUGAGACCGAGCGUUUUAAAUCUGCCGCUCAAGAGGGGAUAGAUGAAUGCACGUUCACAAACCUCCUCUGGGGUCAUCUUGCCAAAACCAAAUCGGUUCGUCCAUAUCGAUUCUGCUUCCUCUGCAGCAGGAAGCACGAGAUUCUUGACAUUGAGAGAUGAAGAAGCUUCCUCUGGGUUGAACUAAGAGACGCCUUGCUAAUGGUUUGCGUAGGGGUGUCAAAAAAACCCAACCUGACUCGACCCCGACCUUGACCCGAACACGAAACAAGUUGAGUACAUGUUUCAGGUAACAGACAUAAAGGGGUGCAUGACAACCCAAAAUUUAUGUUCCAAAAAUAGUUUUUCUGUUCCAGACCUGUUUCUGGAAGAAAAAUUCGUUUGAUAAACCUAUUCGGUUUUUCUAUUUCUGGAAUAGAUUUAUAUUCAAGAAAUAAGUUUUGAAGAGAAAUCAGAAGCUAAAAUUUUCUACUUCUGAUUUCUGGAAGAGAAAUUAUAAUUUCUUUCACUAAACCAUAAUUUUGGUGAGUCCUCCCUCAUCUCCUCUACGUCUUUGCCUCCUCCUCUUCCUCCGCCUCUCCUCAUUUUAUUAAAAAUAAAAAUAAAAAUAUUCAUUUUAUUCAUUUAAAAAUAAAAAUAAAUUUAUUAAAAUAAAUAAAUUAUUUUUAUUUAUCAUUUUAUUUUUAUUUAAUUAAAAAAUUAUUAAUUUUAUUGAAAAUAAUUUAUUUAUGAUAAAUAAAAAUAAAUCAUUUUUAUUUGCCUUGAGUGUUUUGCCAAAUAAAAUUAUUUUUAUUUUUUAUUUUCAUUCAUUUUAAAAUAAAUUUAUUCGUAAAAUAAAAUAAAAUAGAAUAAAUAAAAUGAUAUUUUUAUUUUAUUUUUUAUGAUUUAUUUUAUUUUAUUUUAUUCAUUAUUUUUUUUGUUACUAAAUCAUUUUUAUUUUUAUUUUUUAUAUUAAAGGUCGUCGAUCGUCGCCGCUACCGUCCAAAAGGAAGAAAUUUUGAGUUGUUAUCAAACGAAUUUUUAUUUUUAGAAGUAGAAAUUUUGUAUCAUUAUCAAAUGGUUAUUUUUGCUUAGAAACUCUUCUAAAAAUAAAAAUAUAAAAAUCCAUUUCUGUUCUAAGAACUAUUCCUGAAACAUGGUUGUCAUGCGUGUCCAAAACAAGCGGAACACAUGUUUCGGGUCGGGUUCGGGUGUGGAACAGUGUUCGACCCGGAACACGUUAACAAGGAACAAACACAAACGGACGUAGCCGUGUUUUCGAAAACCCCUCCCCUUCGGCUUCUUCUCCGAGGACUGCGCUUAUCGUGGAUUCCGCCGCCCUCCGAUCGAGACGCCUCCGCCUCGCCGUUGCCGUCCAGGUCUCCAUCUCUCGUCUCAACGCCGGAACCCUAGCUGCCGGUACCAAUCCCUUCCCGCGGCAGGAUCGCCCGGUUCCUCAAGGCCGGCAAGUACGCCGAGCGCGUCGGCGCCGGGCCCCGGUCUACCUCUCCGCCGUCCUCGAGUAUCUCGCCGCCGAGGUACCUUUCCCGAUCCGUCUCUCGUUCCGGCUUUUUCGUUUCUUUUUGCCGAUCGGCUGUUAGAAGAAAAAAGAGAAAGGGGAAAUCACACUUUCCCUUCCAUCCGAAGCCUCCCGGUACGGCUGUUUGCACUUUCCUCUCCCACUUCGCUCGCUGCUUCGAACCUACUCAAGAUUCUCUCCGUCUCUGCGAUCCACCAAAAAUCCCCGACCCUCUUCGCAAUCAUCAAUGGUGGGUUGGUUUAUGUGCUUUUCCUUCCUUUUCAUCAUUCCAUUUUCCGCGCGUCCAUUCUUAUAUCAAUAGCUCGCGUUCUGGUUGUUGCUGGGUCUUCUUGAAUCUCGAUUCUUUUUGUGAUUCUUCUCGAGCUUUUGGGUCCGGGUCAGAUGCUGUUUCCUUUGGGGGUUCUGGAGCUGAGCGAUCUGGCUACGUGAUCGCAAAAUUUGGAUUUUUUCGAUCUCAUUUGGUUUGUUGUUUUAAUUGUUGUUGUUUCCCUUGCGUGUCUCUUUCAGGCUUUGCCGAAUCGUUGGCGAUAAGGGCACGGGUGGCCCUGGCCUUCCCAUUGCGAAAUGCUGCAUACCCAGAUGGACAAUUUCGACAAGCAGCCUACCCAGAUGGACAAUUUCGACAAGCUGGCCUUCGCAGUUCAUUCCCAGUAAGCCAAUUUGACUUUUUUCUAUAAAGAGGAAAAAGAGGAGAGAAAUUUCCAGGCUCUGCUAUUUUUUUUUUUUGGGGUUAAUUCUCGUUUCCCUUUUCUGGUCGUUGUUAUGUUUCUUGCGGUUGAAUUCUGUGUUUUCAAUUCAAUUUCGGAACUUGAUUUGAGAGCUGGGAUUUGUGGAUGUGAUUUCAUAGUUUUGGAGCUCUGAACGUGUUUCUGUGACUUCUCUAGGAUGAUGACUGUGUACUUUGGUAGUUUUUUUCUUGGGUGAUAACUUUUGAGGUUGUGACUUUGACUGGUUUUUUGCUGAACCUUUUGGUAUAUUUGUCUUCUCUGAUAUUGAAGUAGUUGGUUAUGUUCUCUCUAGGUUAGGUGUGAACUGAUAUUCUCGUUCUUUCUAUUGGUCACUAAUUUGCUAGCUUGGUGUUGCUUGUCCUAGCUUUUAGGUUUCAUAGCCUAAUUCAUGAAAAUUGAACCAUUUCGUCGUUUGGAGGACCUUUUAUUGUCUCUGCUCAUCCUUCUCUCAAUUCAAGAGGCUGUAUUUGAGUUAGGGCGAAAUUAUAUCCACGUGCUAAGUUUCCUACUUGUGGUCUUUGUUGUUGGCAUCAGUUGCUUCACAGGAAGUACAGUGGAAAUUUCAUUGUGAACCUUUUGGGUAAAUGGAAAGAAUCUGAGUACUCAGGUGGCCAAUCUGUCCCUGUUGGUGGUAUCGCCUACUAUAUCACCACUCCAUCAAGGUGAUUAUCUGUUCCUUUUAGAAAAAUGAUGUUCAGUCUGGCUUUGUUGAUUUGAAAACUCACCAGUUGACAUUUUGCUCUAUCCUCCUGCAGCUUGGCUGAUAUGGCAGCCAAUCCCUUCCAUGCGCUCUUCUAUCUUGUGUUUAUGUUGUCAGCUUGUGCACUGUUCUCCAAAACAUGGAUUGAAGUUUCUGGAUCCUCUGCUAAAGAUGUUGCCAGACAGCUCACGGUAUGAAGUGUGUGAAACUUUAUUUCUCUUGACAGAGUCUGCUAAUAAUUGAAUGAGAAACAACCUUAUGUUUCAAAUAAUGGGGUAUCAAGAGUUGCGUGCUUGCAUUUUGAGGCCACAAUUGUUUGGCUUUUAUGUACGUUUAGCUCGAGUGACCCUGGAUUUAUCAAGUUCAUUGGGAGCUUUACCUUUUCGACAAUCAUCUUUUACUAUCCCUAUUGUUUGUUGAGCUUUUAAAUCUCUGAUAAGCUGAUUUGCAUCUUCCACGUGUUUCUGUGUUUUGCUGGAGCCACCUACUUAUGACUUGUUCUUUGUCGUUUCUUUUGGUAAAUUCUAAUUGCUUUCAAAAUUGUCUGCCGGUCCUAAUCUGCACCUUUUGUCAUGCAGAUUUGCACAGUUCCAUCUUUUCCCUAACAUCUCUCUUUCCUUGUCAAUUUUAGGAACAACAAAUGGUGAUGCCAGGCCAUCGUGAGUCAAACUUACAGAAAGAGCUCAAUUGCUACAUUCCCACUGCUGCAGCAUUUGGAGGCAUGUGCAUCGGCGCACUGACUGUUUUGGCAAAUUUCAUGGGGGCAAUAGGCUCAGGGACCGGGAUUCUUCUCGCCGUCACCAUCAUUUAUCAGUACUUUGAUACCUUUGAGAAAGAAAAAGCAAGUGAACAAUGUGGAUUAGCAUGAAGCAGCUUCAUCACUGCAGUAUUAGGUUGGUAUGUUUCUUUGGAGUAUCUAGAGUGGAGCACGAUGUAGCUGGUCUUUCAUGAACUUAAGUUGAAUUCUGCAAUUCAGCACUUCAUUAAUGUGGCUAGUCGGGUAGGUGUUACUGGAAUAUACUGGUGUUACUGGAAUGAUACUUACUAUUGCAAAAUGUAAUUGUCUCUUCAUAAAUCAUGAGAAUCGAAAAGGAAUUUGCGGUGGUCUUAUGGAUGAGUUUGAUAAAAAAACUCAGUUUUCUUUUGGAUAUGGAACCUGCCCAACAGGUUGAAGUGCCAAAGCUUUAGGUUUCUUGGAAUUUUUUCUUCACUGCUCUUUGUUCUUCUACUUGGUGCUCUGCUAUUGAGUUUUUAUCAGUUAAAAAUACUUAGAUUGAUCACUCGCAAGAAUGGAUGUUAAAAUCAGGUUCUUAUAAUAACCUGUUCCCAUUAAAAAAAAAAAAAGCAAGAAACCCAUCAACCCGACCCAACCCGGAACACAUUAGAUGGUCUAAUGAGUUUCGGGUCGGUUCUAAUGUGUUCCGUGUCGGUUUGGGUUGGGUCACAAUGUGUGAUCCUUUGUGUUUCGGGUCGGGUCGGGUAACAACAAAAUCCCGACCCGACCCGACCCAUUGACACCCCUAGGUUUGCGUGCCAAUGGAUAGUGGGGUCGACUUAGUUGAGGAAGAAGAGUACUUUUACGAGGCAUUGCUUGAUAGUGACUAUUCUAUUAUGUAUGACUCUGAAAUGGUGGCAAAGGACCUCUCCACUUGGAAUAUAAGAACAGAGCUCUUUGGUUUCAUUUCUUUGAAUUGGAUGAGGUAGAGCGAAGAUUGGUGAAGGAUAAAUUGGGCAACUAAGCACUGUUUUUGAGUCAAAAUUAUCCCGCAUCCUUAUUGACUUCUAAAAUCCCAGGUUGUAGGAGAAACGACAUUUGAUAUCUUGAUGGUUUCACAGUGAAAGGGGGCACCAACAUGAAGAAGGGUUACGAAUUGUGCGGAUUCAACUUGAAAAGUAGAGCUACUCAACAUGUUAUUACACUUGUCUUACAUGUAGCUGAUCGCCGUUGCCCCUUUGGACGGGGCACUGGUUUAUUUCUUUAUCUGCAGGAGUUCACCGUUCUACUAAUCAUGUUGUUUAUGAUUGAUUGUUAGCAAAAAUAUAUUCAAAUAUCACUAUUGCAUGGUAAAGAAAACAAAUACAUGAAACAAAGAGAAAAAGAAAAAUAAACAAAAAAAAAAAAAAUAGUACGUGGACGAGAAUGCCCCUAAACGUGAAGAAGAUAUGGUUAAUUGGUGAAGCCAGGGCCUUAUUUGAGACUAAAUUGCCAACUUGAGGCCCUAAAAAACAAUGUCCACUUUAAACCUUCUUUUGAGAAUAUGGCUACAAUUCGAAUCCUUAUUUAAAAUUUUCUCCUUUUUUUUUUUCUCUAUUUAGUUAUUUUUCUUUCCUUUUUUCUAUUUUUUUUCUUUUUCUUUGACCCUUCCCGCCACCAUCCAUGGUGGAGGUCGCUGGAUUUGGGUGAGGGCCACCUCACCAAUGUUGGGUGAUGGCCGCCAUCGCCUAGGCUAACGCCAACAAGGGCUACCCUCACUAGGUUCGGCGAGGGUUGUCGAGGGUUGCAUUUGCCAAUGUUGGGCAAGGGUUAUUGUCGCUGGAUCUAGUAAGGAAUGCCCUCGCUGCCCUCGCCUGAGGUAGGCAACCUCCCUUGGCCAUCAAAAAGAAAAGAAAAAGAAAAGAAAAUAGAAAAAGAAAAAAAUAUAUAGUUACAAAAUUUUUGACCAAAGUACCACUUCUUCAUUGGCCGGAAUAGUCACCGGCUAGCCAAAGGAUCUCAUUUAAGACGAUUUGGGCCUUUAUUUGAGAUGAUUUGAUCAUUUCGGGCCUUAUUUAAGAAAACGAUAGUACUUCAAAUCCUUAUUUAGAAUUUAGAAUUUUCCUUGCAUCUUAAUUUCAUUACAACUCAUUUUUACUCCACCCUCGAGGGAUCCUCUACCCACGCCCAAGAAUUUAUGGUGUAAUGUCACCGGUGGUAUCUGUUAUUGACAGCUAACUGUUUUGCCCCAACAUCUCCUUCUCAUUUUAAAUUCGCCGGUAAAUCGGAAUCUAACCCCUAAGCAAACACUUCUAUAAUGUAUGCCUAGACUUCUCAUUUCUUUAGUUUUCAGAGACUAGGGUCACUUUUUACUUAAAAUAGGACGUCCGCAUGGAAUAUUAAAUUAGGCAAGAUCGCGAAUUUUUGUGAACCAGCCCAUUGUGUUGCUCCAGGUCACACCCACAAGCCCGUCUCACCCACCUUACGGGAAAUGGCAGUAUGUAUGCCAUACAAGGACCGCUCCAAGCAACGAGCGAAUGAAGACAUUCAUGGAAGGUCAGCACGACCAAGAUCAGUCGAGGUUAGGAAAUGUUUCAAUGAAUUGCAUAAUCCUCUCCGCAAUGAUGAAAAUAUGAUUCUUUAGGAUUAGAUCAGUAUCAAGCACACAUACAUACAUUAUGCAUAUAUCCGGCCUAGAUACAUCAUACAAUCAAGGGGAGGAGUGAACCUAGCAUGCUUCUAUGCAACUUUGGGUCUACAGGUUUACUCUUUUGAUAUUUGUUCAACUUCGUAGAAUGAGGCAAGGAUGUGUCCAUCCUCUUCUAAUUCUCUAUACCGAAUUUAUUUACAAGUUCCUAUGCAUAUUCUUGGCGAAUGAAGGUGCCAGCCUUGGUUUAAAUUCAUUUUGCGUAACCUCUGCAAAAUCCUUACCCAGAAUCUCAAUAACCUAGGUAUUCCUUAGUUCGAAAUAUUUUCAAAAUUCUUUAAAUCUUGAUUUGAUAAUUGUGAAAGUCAUGAUUUGGAUUAUAUUCAAAAUGUCUGCGAUACUUGUGAGUGCAUUUAUGCGAACCCCGAGCUAGCCUUGACAAUUGAAUGUUUUCCAUAGGCGAGACAUCACUCUGUCUCAAAAAUUUUGUGGAUGAUUUCAAGAAAAUGUCUUUGAAAUAUCACAUGUACCCUCAUGUAUAUAAUCACGUCAUUCAUUAGAAACGCCCGUGUUCGUGAUUGGCAAAUGCCCUUAGUAAUAAGUGACCUAUCCACGGUUCACUUUCUUGUUUGAUUAGUUGAGAAAUAAGGUUCAAAAGACCUGUAUGCAUAUUUUAUUCAAAUUCAUGCAUGUGACUUCUAGAUGUAUGUUAGGGCCGAUACAUGAUACCAAGGGUAGAUCUUGGGAAUGAUAUAGAACGUUUUGUUAGGGACUUAUAAGUAUUAUUGGCCAUACGAGAACACAAGUGAUCAAUAAUGGUUGUAAGUCAUAAAAUGAAUCGAGUAAGUGUUUUAGAGGGACUUACGCAUGAACUAUAAAGGCCUACCCGAGGAUCAAAUCGAAUUUGUGAAUUAAACUUCCUUUGAUUGAUUGACUUUGGCAUGAUGCUAUGCUUAUGGUUGUUUUGACAUGUAUACUUAUUUUUUUCUAUUGUAUGUGCCUAGUUACAAUCCUUAGACUAGAUAUUAGAUUAGGAUCUUGAAGAUGGAGGUGACAUGAAGAUGGUGAAAAAGUUGAUGUCUAAUCUGACUAUGCUUUUGUACUAUUUAUUCCCGACAUUUGUCUCAGAUUCUUGUUUUUGUAUAAAAGCCCGACGAGUUUUGAGAUUUUUCUUUAUUGUCCUUUAGUUUCGUUUCUCUUUCUUAGGACUGCAUUAUAGAUUUACUGCUUUCUUGGGUUAUUUACUUACUGUCUCGCAAUUUCAAUUCAAUUGAUUCAUUUAUUUUCCCAUUUUCUACAAUAAAGUAGCAUGUAAAUGCCCAACCACACAUGAUCGCCUAGUUUAGGAUAAACAAUCCUGAAAAAAUAAAGAAGAAAUGCAUGGACACCUUAGGUAAACAUAACAUGCUAUACGCGCCAACAUCCCUUCAUGGUCAUGCAAUUGCAACAUUUCCAAGUAGUGUCGCCAAGCCCAUUCAUUUUAAAAUGUGCAUGCGGAACGUAUUAUAAACCCUGGACACUGGACAAAAGCUCACGGGAUAGGAAAGCAGAAAACAAACCCAUUCAUAAUCAAACAUGCUAUAUUAACACUAGAGUUUACGUACACAAAAAAUGGUCAGAGUUUAUGUACACCAAAAAGGGUCAGCCUACAAAAAGAUCGGUUCACCAAAAAGAAGGAACAAUCCUAUAACCCUUAGCCGGACUUAUUCACUGAUCUCACUUCCGACUCGUUAACCUCUGGAGACGACGGGUCCUCCACUCUACCAUCAAGAGGGUCAGCUACGUCCUCCCCUAGGAUGGCCUCAAUCAUAACAUGUGGAAUAUCAAAACCACUAAGAGGACCGAUCCUGAAACCAUUGGCUCCAAAGCGGAACCAUGCCCUGUAUCGAUGAGGCACCCUGACAAACAAUGCCUCUUUGAUCCAGACAGUGGUCCUAAUAAGCCCGUAGAUCCAAUGACUCCCAAAAUCAGGAAAACUUUGCACCUGCUUGGUAAUCUGCACGGGAAGACCAUAACGCUCCGGGGCUAUCGCCAUCUACGGUCUUGAAAUAUUUGGCUCACAAUGGGGUGAGACAUUGUCUCAGCAAGUGCAUCCCCUAAACUCCUAUUAGAAAGGAAAUACGUCUAAGGGUGGCUUAGCCAUAUCACUUAUGAGACUUACCUUGCUUCAAGACUUUCCUGCAAAUUAGUACAAUUCAUAACACUUAAUCACAUGUAGUAAUAAGAACUUAACAACUGGAGCACAAUCACUUUCACAUAAUCAACAACACUCAACAUGCAUUCCAAUUGCUAUUCACUACCACACAUGAGCAUAGCCUACUCGCAAUUCAGCUAUCUACUGGCGUUUAGCCAUGCAUAAUCUUCCCACCUUAGAGCAUGACUUCGUCAUUACAUUGACAGCGUUCCUGAAGGAGCAUGCGCCUAGAAUCGACUGCGACCCGCAUCCGUUGAAUGGGGCAUCUCAUAUAGGGGCAAGUCUGACUCAACUACUCAGGACAAAUUCCUCUUAAUCAUCACACAAUAAAUUCAUAUUCGGCUUAGGAUACUUUGCAUUUUACUCAAGGCUUCUAAUUAAAUAGUGAUCCUGACCUAUUUUAUUCAUAUUAAAAACGCCCAAGAAAUUAUUCACGUGUGUGGGGGCAUGUUUCGAACUGGAAAACUAAUAUUUUAAGUUUUCAAACCCCACUAUUUAAUAUAAUAUUUAAAAUCCAAUUUCGGUGUCAAAACCCGACACGUGGGAUUUUAUGAAUAAAAUCCGCAUUUUUUCAAAUCAACACUCAAUUUGCAAUAUCCAACUAUCAAUUGCAUAAUCUGAAUACAUCACAGCGAUCAGCACGAAAUUUUGAUAAUUUUGAGGUGUCAGAAUAAUUUCUGGAAAAUAUUAAAUAAUUAAAUUUAUUCCGAAAAUUAAUUAAAUAAUAAUAUUUUGUUAAUUUAUAUAAUAUAUUUUAUUAUUAAUUAAAUAAAUUCGAAAUAUUUAAUUUAUAUAAAAUAAUCAAUUAAGGUCUAAAUAGAAUUAUACUAAUCUAAACAUCUACUUAGCCUUAAUUAAUUAUAUCAUAAACUAAUCACACCCCUUAAUCUAAUCCACACUUAACUAAACUAAUUAAUCCACCUACUCUUACUUAGCUUAGCCUAAACACCCAACUAAGCAGCAUUAAGCUUCUAAUCAAGGUUUAGAGGCUAAACUCACCGGAAUCGCUUUCCGAUGAGCUCACGGCGAAGACAAUGGCAAGGCGGUUGACAAACCUCCACGUGGCGGUACCAAGCGAGGACCGUAAGACACCUAAAACAGGCCUUGAAGAUCCGGCACUUGCUGGAACUCCAGCUGCUGCUCAAGAUUGAACUGAAGAGGAAGAUGGGUAGAACGGCGAGGAGGAAGACAGCUAGGGGCGACGGUGGCUCAGGCGGGUUGAGGAGGUGGCUCCGGCGGCCUUGGUGAUGGCGAGCAGCAACUGGCAACGUUGGACGAUGGCUUGGACGCACGGCUGUAGAGGAUGACGGCCAGGAAGCUCGGACGGAGGUGGAGCAGUGAGCUGGCAGGCGGAGCAACAUGCGCAGAAGGGCGGCGAUGGCGAGACCUCCAGUGGACGUGCGGGCGAGCGUCGAGCGAAGGGGGGAAGUUGCCGGUCAGUUGCUGCUCACCUUUUUCCUUGCCCCAACUGGUUCUCAAGGUUGAAGAUGAAGAUUGAUGGGAGAGCCCCACUUUUUGAGAGCCAAUGAGCUACUUCCACUUGUCAACACCCCCUCCAAAUUGGUCCCAUCAUGACCUCACAUGAUAUCACCGUCCACUCACCCCUAAUCUUCCUUAACAAGCUUUCAAUGGGUCCAAUUUGUCUCAUCCAUGAUGGCAUACGAAUUUAAAAAAAUUUGUACAUCAAAUUCCUUCCAUUCCAUUCAAUUCCCUUCCAAUUGAGCCAAAUUGAUGUCCAUAAAUUUAUCUAAUGUAACCACUCUUAAAUUCACAAUUUCCCUUGACCAUAGAACCAUCUUAGAUCCCAAAAGUGCGACAAAAAAUGGGCUUACCAAUUUUUCGAGCCAAAAUAACCAUACUUUGAUUUUUCGCCGAAAAACUAAAUUUACAGAAAAAUCCUCUGAAGAUGAGUCGACGUUCCCAACAUGAUUUGCGACAUGAUAGGACUUUGGUUUCAAAUUCAUGAUUAAUUUCAUUCUGGUGUGAUCCUAGCGUGUCCUAAUCUAUCGGGUAGCUUUUAGGAAUUUUUCAAGCAUUUGACCCGUGGUUGAUCAUUUUCAAGCCACAAAGUACAUCUUCGACACAUUGGCGACUCUCGGUUGUCGUGAAAAUCUCGAAGAUUCAAAUACAGACAUAUGGUACCAAAAUGACAGAAAAAUCGGUCUAGUGCCGAUCAACAAGUGUUGUGCGAUCUAGUGGCAUCACCCACACUUGAUCACAUGCCUUUGUUAAGUUGACUUAUCUCCGGUCUCUAAUUGAUUUUUAACUGUGCCGUAAUGGCUUUUACAGAUUAACUCGGUUGAGAAGUCGUUGCUUGGUCGAAUUCUCAAGUCUGAUGUGUUAAAAUCCCUUAACGGAUUUACUUGAUAGACUAGUUUCCUCGUGAGUGGCCAACUCAAAGAAAAGAACUAUAUGCGCAUAUAUGAAAUGCCCGACUCAUUCUAUUAAAAACGGAAUUGGAAAAUAAGGAUGUCACAACUCGGUACCGAAAGGGUGCUAAUAAAAAUAUUAGCGUAACCUAAGUCUCCGAACCUAGAAAUCUGGUUGCAAAAGAGUCAAAGGAACACUCCCGACCCUCGAUUGGGAAGUCCGACUCCCAAAAAUGAGGCUAGUGAUGACUCCCAACUUAUUUCUGGGUUGUCUUAUACAAUUAGACCAUAUAAAUCAAUUCGUCGUGAGAGGUAUAAACUAUAAGAAAAGGUUCACAAUUAUGAUUUAGCAUACUUGAGAUGGUGAAGCCGAUAAAGAUAAAGUGAUGCCAUCUUUGGUGGAGGAACAUCUUGAGAGGGCUAUCACAGUUGUUAAAAAUAGCCUUAAACUCACCUUUACAUCUAGAUUCCUUUCGACCUUAAAAUCGUCGGUUAGGACAUACCAGAUGUCAAGGUAGGAUUGUGACACUCCAUUAUCAUGCAAGAUACGAGCUUGGGAGAACUCACGAUGAAGAUUAAGUGAACUCAUACAAGGUUCGUUCAGGGGGUGAGGUAAUGACAUUCAUGUGAUUGAGAAUCGUGAAGGAACUUUCGUGGUCAAGUAUCCCUAAACUCGACAUUUCCCCUUUCUCUCCUUGUGGGAGGAUUGACGGUGAGAUCGGGUCGCGAUAGGCUUCGCAACUCCACUGGAGACCGGUUACUAGAUUAAGAGGACUUGAAACCGUUUAAAAAUGAUUGUUGUGUCUAACUAAUGUGUCUUAUGUAGGAUCGCUUGCGUGUUAAAGUCGCAUGGAAAAUGAGGUAAGUCGCUAACCACGUGUUAAAUGAUCUUGUAUGUGGGAGUUACAAAGGGUGGAGUAAGUGUAAACCAUUUGUCUUGCAGGUGGUGAAAGGAUGUAUGCGUGUAUGUUGGGUUAUAUUGAAGUGCUGGAUGAUUAAAAUUUAAACGUAUGUUUACGAGUUUUAGCACAACACCACACACAACCGCGGUCUAAAUCCCUAUCAUCCCAUUUAGGACUUUAGGAGGGUUUAUGGGUGGAACCCAUGAGUGAAUACUCAUGGUAAUCCAUUACUUACAUACACCUGUGUUGACACCUAAAUUUUGGCGACUUGUUUAGUCAUUUAUUGCAUUAAAAAAUUAGGGGUUAAUUUUAUCCCUGAAAAAAAAAAUUAAUUGCAUAAAAAUUUAGGUGCAUUUAUUUUGCAUUCUUUGCAUUUAUUUAUUGGACUGGCGACAAAUGGGUUUGAAUUAGUGGUUCUGAACUUUAAAUUGAUGAGUCGGGCUAAGGCCACGAAGAGAGCAAAUCGGCUUAAGCUCGUAUCAUCGGUGAGAUUUUACGAAUUUAACUUUGUGAGAUUUCAAUUAAAAAAUAAAUAUUAUGUUUGGAAAAACAAAUAUUGCAUUUUGAAAAAAAAUCUUUGUGGAUAUAGUUUUGAAAAAUUAAAAAAAUCCUAAUUCGUGGCCUAUAAAUAGGUUAAUUCGCUAGGGUUUAAGGGGGCACACAUUGAACAUACGGCCAAGAAAACACGCGUGAGAAAUCAAGAGGAAAGGGGGCGGAUCGUGAGAGCCAUGGGACUCCUUCGACGUCAGGGAUCUCCAUGCACGCCCACAGCUCUUUCUCGGUGAUGCUAUCGAGUUCGUUGAAGGACGCCUAACAUCAAUUGCCCGCUAUUUUCGUUGAUCUACCACGCCAGGUGUUCUGCUGUCGUCCUAUUGCAGUCCUCAGCUUCUCCAGCAAGCAUUCAGACCUUCAAACGUCAACCCAAUCUGCUGUCCCCGCUGCUCUGCCACACCGGGUGUUUCGUCGCCAUCCCACCGCUGUCCCGCUUGCCACUACGCUUUCCUCGUUCGAGCUGCAACGCCGCACCCCGCACUGGACUGAGAUGACGAGCCACUGUCCUAAUCUUCACCACCAUGACGUGGGUAGUUCCGACGAUGUGAACCUGUUGCUCCCUGCCGCGACGCCCUCGUUGCUUGACGUUAUGUGUAACUCGUGAUCUCCUGCCGUGAAAGCCUAGCAGUCCCUUAGGCAUUCCUACAGCGUUCUUCAAUCUAGAGUCCACAAAUUACAGCCGCUACAUUUGUUCUUUUCUUCUGCAGGUCUUCUCGGGGUACCCAAUAGAGACGUCCACGGGAUAAACCCGUAGAGAGAGAGAGAGCCGCGUGCUUUCACUUCUCUACUGCACCCAUUCACAAAGACCACACAUGAAGACAGAAGAGAGAAAUCAUGGGCAAAGAUUUUCCUAGUAAAAGAGGGUAGUCAACUUUUCAAUAGAAUUCGCGGGUCUAAUUUGAAUCACCUGCAGGUUUCUUUGGUCUUGCUGUGAAGUAAAAUAAUUCCUCACGCAUGAGUCCAUUGUCGGUGAACAUCCAUUGCCGCUUGCUUGUACAAACACCCCAUCGCGGCAAUCCUUCACCCAGAAGCACCAUUGCGCCGAAUCUCGCUCACCAUCCUUGAGUCGAUCCCAUUGAGUUCAAGUUUGGCAAUAUUACUUGCGAAAUUAAGUAAUUAUCUUAUCUAAAUUUGAUUUGGAUAUUUUGUUGCCUAAUAUAUGUCUAUUAGUAUCUAAAAUGCAUAUUUAUAAGUGAUAGACAUAUCUCCUAAUUAAAAUUGAUUGCCUAAUUCGCAACCGCACAUGGAUUUUUUAUUCCAUCUAUGAGGCUUUAGAUGGAAAAUUAAUCACGCGGGAAUAAAAUUGAUAUCUUGAUCUUUAAGGUUUAAGAUCAAUUUAUCGAUUUUAUUAGCGAAAUAAUCAAGUUGAUUUGAUAUCAUUUUUAGAUUUGAACGAUGGAUAAUAUAUUUGAUGACUAUGAAUGAUUUGGUGCUUAUUUUUUAAUUACUUUAUUUAUCCCAAAAAUACAAAAAAUUGCAUUUGCAUAUCAUGUAAGUUAGAAUGGAUUGCAUAGUUAGGUUUUUUAAUGCAUGUUUAGAUAGCAUCUAGAUUAGAUAAUAUUCCUUUGAAUAAAAUUGCAUGUUUCAUUUUAAGUUUAUGUUGAUUUUUUGUAGAUAGAUUGCAUUCUUUUUUAAUAAAAAAUAAAACAUGUCAUAUGCAUGUCAUAUAGAAUUAGGUUCAUGAAAUGCACAUCAUUUAGUGAUUAUUGCUAGGUUCAUUUAAUUAGAAAUUGCCCGUCAUUUUAGGUCAUUAAGUUAAUUUAGAUCGCACAUUUAAUUAUUGCAUUUCUUUAAUUUCGAAAAGGAGAAAAAAAACCAAAAAUGUCUUAGAAUAAAUUAAUUUUAUUCUCUAGGACAGAUUGUAUGCUUAUUAAGAAAACACAAAAAUAUCGCAUUUGCAUCAUAUAGUUUGGGUCAUAUUGCCAUGUCAUAUCAUUUUAUGUUAGAUUAGUAGCAUACAUACAUAAAGCAUGAUUCUCAUUAAUUAAUUGAAAACAAAAAGAAAUUGCGUAUUAAUUAGAAAUCAUAUCUAAAACCGUUAAUGUGAAUUCUGAUCUAAUAUUAUAGAUGUUUUCGUUGUUACAAGGCAAGUCCCGCAAUUUAUUCAUUGCUUUAUUGGUGUUAAAUUGGUGGUUUGCGUACCUGCAUGAUCAUUUCACAUGUUAGGAAAAAAAAUUUAAAAUCAAUCCAAGUUGUAUUAAAAACAUUUUUGAAAAUAAAAAAAAUGGUACCGAAAUGGCAUUAGAGAAAUCUAGUGUAUUCAAAUCCUCGUACCCAAAGUCUCUAGUUCAUAGGAGUAAAAUAAUCCUCAAAUUAUCUUACUUAGGUGUCUAAUCGACUUACCAUAAACUGAUUAGUGGUGACUUAUAUAUAAAAUCUAUUCGCAUGUUAAGAAAUUUGAACCUAAGUCGCGAAUUGGUAUGCGCUUGGGAGAGCCUGAGUUAAGUUCAGGCUUAAUAAUCCAUUAGCCUAAUUUUAGGUGGUACACCCAAAAAAUUUGGUCGCGACAACUCGCUCAUCCCAACCAAUAAAAAUAGCACUGAUUGAUGAUAGUAGUAGUGGAUAAAUUAUUUUAUUCAUCCCUUGAACCUUUAGUACCCUCACUUUAGGCAAACCUCACAGUUCAUGCGACAUGUGAUUUGUGAUUGCCAUGUGUCUAGUGAAUAAGACAUUGUUCCUUUCUUAUCAUUGUUAUAUUAUCUAUUUUUCCGUACUUUAAUCACACGCUUUAUAUUUCAAAGAUGAUAUGUUUUAAUCAUGAAUGCCCUUUUAGGUUUAGGUUUAGAUGGGUAAGCCUGAAUUGGACAUCAUCCCUGUGUUGAGCAAUCUCAAGACUAUAUGGGAGAAUCUCGAACCAAGAUAGGAAAAGCGUAUAGGUUUCCUCCCAACCUUGCUAAAGGUCGAACCUCAUAUUGCGAUGGUGAAGGCAUUGGCUCAUUUUCGUAAUCCCAUGGCCUCCACCUUCAUGUUUAAUCGAUAUGAAGUAACCCCCACAACUGAGGAGUUUUGGAAAGCCAUUGGGUUAGGCAAAGCUUUCUUAGGUUUCAUUACUUCUCCUAUUAGUCAAGAUCCAAUCUCUCUCCUAAGUCAAUUUAUCAAUAUCUUUACCAACAAAAUAAAGGCCAUUCUUAAAGGAAAUUCGAAUUCCAUGCCCUAUACAUUCCUUGAACAACACCUUAUUAGCCUAAAGCCUAAAUCUGGACACCAAAUUCCUCGCAUUUUCCUUCUCAUAUUCUUCGACUUUGUGGUGUUCCCAUGACCCGAAAAAUAAUGGAUCCUUUAAUCACUCAAAUUAUCAAUCGGGUUUGCGCUUUUAGGUGCUUUACAUACAUGAUGCUUGACUAAACUUUCGUGUCUCUUAAUUGUUUCAAAGCAAAUGACUGAGGAACUCUUAGAGCCCCAUUAGGACUUUUCCAAAUUUGGCUCUUUUCCAAAAAUUAAUUUGGAUCUUCUUAAAGGAAAUUCGAAUUUCAUGCCCUAUACAUGCCCUAUAAAUUCCUUGAACAACACCUUAUUUACCAAUUUAAUUUUUUUGAUCAAAUUUGAUUGGAAAUUGCUAGCAUAUAUAAUUUUUAUAAUUUUCGGUAGAAGAAUAAGUGAAGGCGGUUCGUUUCCUUGGCAAUUUUUCUUGUAUGAUGAUAUGUCUCGUUCGGAGUUUUUUGCCUACAAACUUUGGGUGCAUCAUUGAUAGAGAGUACAAAUGAGACACGGUCCUUAUUCUCCCAAGAUUUGAAAAGUCAAGUAAGUACUAAGUGUAUGCAAUGAGAGAUCACAUAGAAGUGAUUAGUUCUCGGGUGAUUCGGUUCCCAUCUUGAAAUCAAGAAUCAGAUCAAAAGGAUCGAUUCCUUGUUUCUAAAAUCAAGAACCAAACCAAUGCCCCUGGAAUUGGAUCGACUAAUCUAGUUCAGCUCCCGGGUGGGUCAUGGAACUAGUGGCAUGUUCAGAUUUUUUUUUUUUUUUGUCAUUAAUGUUCAAGAUGAAAUUGAAGAUGUUCUUGAUAACCAAGAUGUUUCUGCGAUUAGUGAAUGAGGUGUAACAUUGUAGGUUUCACAUAAUUUUUUUUCCAAUUAGUGGCAAAAUUUGGUUAGAAUGAGCAAUUGAUGUUGUGUUUUGAUUUAUUCUUGUCAACUUACUCACAUGCGUGAGUGAAAUGGGAGUCAUGCAACUCAUGUGUGUUUGCGUGCGUGAAGUCUGAAAUUUGAGAUAGAUUAGGGGGUUUUUUUUUUUUUUAUACAGAUUAUAAGGAAAUACAAAAUUUAAAAAAAUCAGUCCGGCCCGAGUGGGUGGUUCCACACUUGAAACUAGAAUUGGACCAAAUUCAUUGGUUCCAAUUUUAUAGAAUUGAGAACCAGACUAGUGUCCCCAGGAACUGCCAAAAACCGGCCGAUCCGGUCCUGUCCAAGCGGUUCCUUUUGCUCACCCAUGAUCACAACUCUAAAGUAGAAGAAUGCCAAAGAAGAAAAAUCAUUAAGAGCAGACUGCUUUGAGCUGGUGAUUGGUGAUGGGGUUUAUACUCCUAGGUAAGAAAUUUCUGUUGCAUUCUGGAAAAGAAUAAUGCGUAUCUUCAGAGUGAUUAAUCAACUAGUUUCAAAGAGGUAAAAAAUAAACAUUUUCCAUUGUCAUGCUACGAAAAAUAAGAUUUUUAGAUAAGAUUUCAUUAUAUACUUUUACAUUAAGACAAGAUACGUCAAACAUAGGUUUGUUUUUUUUAUUUUGUAUCUUGGUUGUUGGCCUAGGAUUUCUAAUUAAAAAUAUGGAUUGUGGUCGAUACGUAUUUAUGGAGAAAUGUCAUUCCAAGGAAUUUAUUUUUCCUUCCACAAUUUUGAGGAAAACACCAUCUUGCUACCUCGUGUUAACAAAGAAAAACGCAAUCAUUAUUACCAAAAGUCAUUUUGGAGAAACCGGGCAAAUCGAAUUAGGAGCAAAAUAGUGUCUCAUAUUGGACCUUAGCGUAAAUGUGACUUACAACACGUGUGUCAUACACCUUAAUUUACUUUAUUUAAUGCUUCAUUCGUUUCACAGAAAACAUUUCUCAAGAAAAUAUUUUCUUCAUUUCCUGACAUUCGAUUCACUUAGAUAAAUGAAGCAACAGGAGUUGUCCACAUAAGACUUGUCUUAGUGAGCUUCAUAUUGUGGAAUUUUUUGCUUCGGAAGACUUCGUUGAUUGGCUCGACAUAAGAAUAUUGCGGAGAAUCGAAAGGUGAAGCUUGUGUCCAAGAUGUAUGAAAUGCAUGCUUCGAUUUGGUGGGAAAAUCUAACUUGUCGAAGAACUCCUGAAGGAAGGUGAAUCGUAACAUUGGAUAAAAUGAAGGUGCUCAAAAAGAAGCAUUUCCCAGAAACUUAUCAGCAAGAUGCCUUCGAUAAAUUCCACAAUACGAAGCAAGAGGAGUUGUCCGGAGAAGAAACCACCAAAUUUGAGCAUUUCAUGUUACGAUGCGAUGUGGUGGAGGCAGAGGAGCAAACUAUAGCUGGUAUUUUAGGGGUCUUCGUUUGAAAAUUGCCGAUGUUGUCCGAUUACAACCUUAUUGGACUUUUAAUUAGGGCUUCAAAUUAUCAAUGAAGGUGCAAAAGCAACUUAAGGAGAAAAGAGAGUUUGAAUCAGGAGCCUUUGUCGGGAUCGAAGGAAGCUGUUGAACAAAGGAGGAGCAUCUAAAACCAAUUAGCCAAAUGAAGAUAACAAUAAAUCAAGACUGCUUGAAAUAUCAUGGAUUUGGUCGCAUCGCCUCGAGUGUCCUAAUAGAAAGAUCAUUUCUCUUGUGCAAGGUGAGCAACAGGGAGAGUCGCAACACAACCCUUUGCUCCAAGAAGAUUCAACACAACCCUUCGCAGCACAACCCUUUGCUCCGAGAAAAUUCAAGGAGCCGCGAAGAAAUCGUUUACAGAGAUCAAGGAGAAGCUCUUGUCAUUCAAAGGAGCUUGCAUGCUGCUCAUCUCGAGGAUGAUGAUUGGCUUUGCAAAAAGAUACUCCAUACAAGACUGCACUUCUCAUUUUAAAGUACGUGAUGUCAUACUUGAUAGUGGAUGUUGUGAGAACGUUGCGUCGACCACUAUGGGAGACAAGUUGCAUCUCAAGGCGGAGGAUCAUCCACAUCUUUACAAGCAUUUGUGGCUCAAGAAAGGGAGUGAGAUAAAAGUAAAUAACCGGCGUUUUAUUUCAUUCUCUAUUGGCAAAAGAUAUAAAGAUGAGAUUAUGUGUGAUGUAUAACACCUAUCCCUUUGUCAAAGACCGCGUCAAGAUUACAUUGGGCCCUUGCAAGACGGAGAGAGUUCCCAAGCCUCAUGGGAAAGGAACAAAUCUUCUUUCCAAGUCUUAAGUUUUCGUAAGCAUCGGAGGAUGCUUGUGAGGCUUACGCUUUUGUUAUAGUGGAAGAAAAUAAGCAAAAGAGGAGAUCCCAACCAUUUUACAGCCGUGGCUUGAGGAUUUCUGUGAAGUCAUGCCAAUGAAAUUCCAUCCAACCUUCCUCCUUUGAGAGAGAUUCAACAUCAUAUCGAUUUUGUGCUUGGUGCUUCUGUUCGAUCGAUUGAGCUCUGAGAAGCAUAAAGAACUUCAAAGGCAAGUUGAUAAACUCUUGGCCAAGGGAGCAAUACAAGAAAGCUCGAGUCCUUUUGCUGUCCCGGCACUUCCAGUUCCAAAGAAAAAUGGUUCUUGGCAAGUGUGCAUUGAUAAUAGAUCGGUGAACAACAUAACCAUCAAGUUUUUUAUUUUUUAUUUUUCCUUGCCUUGGUAUUUGCUUGAUCAACUUCAAAGAGCUUGUGUGUUUUUCCAAGAUCAAUCUUCAAUGAAGUAGGAGAUUAAAGGAUGACAGCUUUCAAAACUAAGAAUGGUCUUCUUAAAUGCAUGGUGAUGCCCUUUUGACGUUUCUAAUACUUUUAGUACUUUUAUGCAUCUUAUGAAUCAUGGUUUUAAACCUUUCAUUGGCUAGUUUGUCGUGUAUACUUUGAUGACAUCGUGAUUUAUAGCAUAGCAAGGCGCAAGUGGAGCUUUUGGAGUAUCAAAUUCUUCAAGUGCUACGGGAACAACGUUUGUAUGCCAACCUGAAGAAGUGUCACUUUUGCACAAGGAGCCCGGUGCUAUGUUGUCUCCAACGAUGGUGUUAGAGUAGAUCUUAGAAAGAUGGAGGCAAUAAAAAGUUGGCCAAUUCCUAGCUCGCUGAAUGAGAGAAAAGCUCAAGAAUGUUUUUGGCCUUUUUUAUUUUUCAAAUAUCGUCCGAAUGUUAUGUUACACAAAUAAGGCCAGUCACUCCAUUUGGACGUUGCAUCUGAACGUUAAUCACAUAGACCAAGCAACUAAACAGACAAAAAAAAGACGAGGAAAUACACACCCAAAAAAAAAAGGAAUAAUAGUACAAGGACCACCAUUGCCAUGACGUCUCAUCUUCCACUUUCAGUUUCGAAGGAUAUUUGGUUACUUACAUCUCUUGAUGCAUUGCUUCUGAGGAUGCCAUAACAUUCGUUUGAUCUCUCACCAAGCAAAUGCUCAGCUUCUUCAAGGUCACCGCUCCGAUUCGACCAUGGAUGCCUAUCCAUCAUCCUCAUCAGUCCGUCCAAUUCCAUUGCCACUUCCUUCAUGGUUGGCCGAUCUUCGCCUUUCACUCUCAGGCAUUGGUUUGCCAGCAUCGCAACUUCCUUAAUCUCUUCUGGGUUCCCAUUGUUCAGCACCAUCGGGUCGAUGAUUUCAAACAGCCUCUCGCUCUUUAUCGCAGAAGCAAAAUACAAGGACAAGUUCAUCUCUUUCUCAGCCCGCUCAAAGGAGAAGGCCCUCAGUCCAGUCAGCAACUCAGCCAACACGACCCCGAAGCUAUAGACAUCGCUCUUCUCAGUCAACUGGCUCGAGUGGAGGUACUCGGGGUCCAAGUACCCACGCGUGCCUUGAACCAGCGUGUUCAGCUGUGUGCCGUUGAGGGGGACUAGCCUGGAUGCUCCAAAAUCAGCGACCUUUGCGGUGUAGUUUUCAUCCAACAAUAUGUUUGUGCUCUUUAUGUCUCCGUGCAAAAUCUGAGUGGAUGCAUCGGAGUGCAAGUACGAGAGCGCACCUGCGGUCUCCCCUGCAAUGCGCAGACGAGCCCUCCGGGAUAAUGUGGACUCGUGGCCGCACUUGUGUAUGUGGUCAGAAAGGGUGCCAUUGGUCACAAACUCGUAGACUAAUAACGGGACCUCCGUCUCGAAGCAACAACCGAUUAGCUUAACCACAUUGCGGUGAUUAAUUUGGGAGAGGAUGAUCAGCUCGUUGAUGAAUUCUUUAACCUGACUUCGGGCCAAAAUCUUGGCCUUCUUGAUGGCGACAACCCUGUUGUCUACUAAGAUCCCUCGGUAUACAGUUCCCUGGCCUCCCUGGCCUAGGAUUCGGCUUUCAUGGUAGUGGUCCGUGGCCUUCUUGAGAUCUCGGUCGGUGAAUAUUCUCACAGAUUCAAUGGAGCCUUUGUGCUCAGAACGAAGUCUCUGCAACAGUUCGUGGCCCCCAUUUUCUUGGAAGAACUUCUCUCUCUGUCUCCUGAUUUUUCUUUCUCUAAGCCCCCAAUAUAACCAGGAAACGGCCAAAAGAACCAGCAGGAAGCUUGUGCUCACGCCUAGUAAAAGACAUUAUAUUCGGUGAACAAACACAUUAGUUGUCCAUCACACUACAUAUGUUCUCAUAACCAAGAAAAGAAAAGAAAAAAACAGAAUCGAAAUUUGCUUGACUCUUUCAUUUUCAUUACUCAAACAAUCUUGUGUUAAUUUACUUCUUUGUCCUAUUUUCUUAUUCUUCUCCAUCAACUUGAAGCUUUCAUUAAGAAAAACCUUGAUAAUAGCAAAAUAAACCUAAAUAUUUAAUUAUGCUGAGAGUAACUUAUGAUAACAGGAACGAUUCAAUGCAUCAAGUGGAUAAAACGUGCUUGAUUCUUUUUCAACAACAGAAGAGCAAGUGGUUGAUUUUGUUAAUAUCGAAUUGAAUAACUUGAGAUGACGACACAGGUAUAUAAUAUCAAUUUAAUCCAUGGACACAAUUAAUUCAAAGAGAAAGAUUUACAUCCGAAAAAUCUCAAUAACUAAUAGCAAAAGAUGGAACAAUGGCAUAAUAACAACAUUUAAAGAAGGUGAAUAAAUUACAAGAUAAAAGAAGCUUUUAUAUGAUGAAAAAGUUUGAGCAAUGUGUACGACUUACUGACCUAGCACGAUGUCCAUUGAGCGAAACCUCUUUGUAGGAGUACAACCGUUGCCAUCUUUUUUUCCAUCUCCUCGGGAUCCCUUCGGACAUGAACAAUUAUACGUUCCCGGCAAGUUUGUACAUAUUCCAACGCAGGGUUGUGAAAUCACGCAUUCAUUGAUAUCUGGAGGAAUAUAUUCCAAAUGGAAGAAGCAAUCCAACACCAUUUCAAUUGGAAGAAACUUGAAAAAGUAAAUAGAAUUCCAUGAUUUGGCAACACUUUCAAUUUUGAGAGGACACGUCAAGUUAAUUUGCUUUUUCUGAGAUUGUGAUACCUCACCACACUUUUUAAGUGAUAGGUCAUUAUCUCAAGAGCCUAAGCGUAACCGAGCAUUUGAUCUUUGUUUAGAAUAGAAGAUUUAAGAAUUAUCCAACAAAAUUGUGCCAUUACUAAUUAGAAUAAUACAUUACAUAGAAAAAAAUUCAAAAAUAAUUGUCUAUAAAUACAGAAUAAUGCUGGAUGUAUUAACAUCGGUAGGUGAAACUGAUUUACAAGCUAACUUUACCGAUUCAUAUUGAGGGUUCAGUAUGGACCGUUUAUAAACUCAAUUUCACUCGACUGAUUCAGUUUAUAAAACAAUUGUACGGACUAAACUUAAGAGAGAAGAAUGUCUAGCUAUAUCUGGAAUGAUAGCUGUGAAAGUUAACAGAUUAUUACUAAGCGCUUCAUAGGUCAUAUUAAAUUUCAAGCAAUGAAAAUUCGUGCAUCUGAAAGGAAAAAAAAAGGUAUGAUUGUGUUUAACGGCCUAGAUUGUUAUGAUUUUUAAGAUUAUAAAUGUUACGUGACUAAUAGGAGAAUCGUUUGAAACAUGUACCAUUCAUCAAGUCAAAAUUUGGUCCUCUGACUUGAAGUUUCUAAGAAUUUCUUUCUCUGGGUUUUUUAUGCAAUUGGAUCCAUUUAACAUGGUCGCCCUUAUGGAAAUAAUGAUCCACGAUUCUAUACAGGAGCACUCGUUCGGAUGUGAGGUGGGUCUAAUGAAAAGAAGGGAAAAGGUACCUUGACAACCGUUUUGGAGAUAGGGGUUCCCUUGAAAACCCUUCAAGCAGUGGCACUGGUAGCCAUUUCCAUUCUCAGCAUCUGUACAAUUGGAGUUCUCUCGGCACAUGUAGGUCGUUGUAUUCUUCUGUGCAUCAUCGCAUGUUUGAUUUGGAAUUAACCAAUCGACAACUAGAGGGACCAUAUCAAAUGGCGGCUCGCGCAGAUUGUCCGUAGAGAAGCUAAAGAAGCCGUCUUGGGCAACGAAAGCGUAUCCGCACGGAUUGAAAUCAGAGAUGCCGAGAUGAUUGUUGUAGCUAGCGACAGAGAUGUUGUAUCGGUAGGCGUCUCGAGGAAUGCUAGUCUCGCAGCAACCGAUGCCCGAGCACGACCCAUUAAUCACGUCCAAGUCGCUGUGGCAUGAGGACAAGCACCCCGUCACAUACGUGCUUCCGCUGAAGGUCGCGUACGUGUCGCAUCCCACGGCGAUAAAUUUGUUCUUGGCAGAAGAUAUGGGGAAUAUGGGAAGAGAGAAGUAAGGAUCAUUAUUGUUCAAGGAUGUUCCGGACGAAUCAUAACAAUCUUUGGCUACAAACAUCGUUACACUAAUCUCGUGACUCUCCAUAGAUAUAUCGAGUACUCGGAAAUAAGAAUCUUUACUGUACAUAUGAGGAGUGGGAGGAUCAGUCGAGUCGUUGCAAAACAUGAUGAAAGACUCUGAUUCUUCUUUGAAGUAGCAGUCGUUGCCGGCAUCAUUCAUCCCGAAUGGGUACGCGAAGGUGAGGUUGCCACAUCUGUUCGCGCAUCCGGGCUUUGUUGUUUGGACUACAUCCGCAGUAACUACUGAGAAUAGAGCCACCAAUGAGCACAACAGCAGCACAACUCUCAAGGGAAGUCUAUGGAGCAGCAUGGAUCCACCCAUAUUCUUCCCGAAAUGAGAUGAUAUUUUGCAACGAGAUGAUGAGCUUCAUAGCCCGAUGACAACCUUUAUAAGCGAUGAUGGAGCUUCUGGAAAGCUAAGUAGUAUAUGCAUUAUUCAUAGUCCCCACUAUAUUGACUGUCUUCACGGUGAUUACAUCAUUACUAAUCAAUCAUACGGUUUUGUCCACUCUCUAUGGCUCUUCACUAAAGAAGCCUUGACAAGCCUGUCGCGAUUCACGUUGUGGCGUCGCAAUCAUUCGUAGGAAUUUCCAAACUGACUUGCAAAUAAUAAAAGUCGUGAUUAGAUAGAUAUUUUUUUUCUUUUCAAUCUCAGAAUUAGUUUCGACGGGUGGUGCUCAUAAACUAUUGCAUGCACAUCUCUAAUGUAUGAACUCCUUAAAUAUUUGUACAAAUAUCAACACCGUAUUUAAAUCUUUAUGUACAGAGUAAAAUAUUUCAAUUUAUGCUAUGUACAAUAAAAAAAAAUAGGUACAUCGAUGGUAAGUACUAAAGAUUAGUUAGAUAAAGCAAGAAACUGUUGAUUCGGGUCAGUUCGAAUUUGAAUUUGAAAAUCAAAACAGCACUAGACAACCCAAAUAUAGAAGAUGAAUGAGAACGAAGUUUGCGGUGUUUAGAUAUGAUUUGCUAAGUAAAAGGACUUCAAGAGACCAAAAUUGAUUUUGAGAAUUUUCUCAGAUUCGCCUAUAAAGUUUCAAGUAAAUCCUAAAUCAAUGCGAUCAGUUUUCUUGGCAAUUUCUCACGCACGAGAGUAUGUCUCAUCAGGGUGCUUUCAUUAUCCUGCCAAGACUUGAAAAGUCAAGCAAGUAUGAAGCGUAUGCAAUGGGAGAUCACAACGCUAAAAUUCGUUAAAGGACUCAUUGCCCUCAAGGAAAACUUAAGAGGUUUUAUAAUACAAAAUUAUCAAGAAAAAAAUUCUAAACCUAUUAUACUNNNNNNNNNNNNNNNNNNNNNNNNNNNNNNNNNNNNNNNNNNNNNNNNNNNNNNNNNNNNNNNNNNNNNNNNNNNNNNNNNNNNNNNNNNNNNNNNNNNNNNNNNNNNNNNNNNNNNNNNNNNNNNNNNNNNNNNNNNNNNNNNNNNNNNNNNNNNNNNNNNNNNNNNNNNNNNNNNNNNNNNNNNNNNNNNNNNNNNNNNNNNNNNNNNNNNNNNNNNNNNNNNNNNNNNNNNNNNNNNNNNNNNNNNNNNNNCGAUAGGUCACAUCAGAAUUUGUUACUGCCUGCCAACUUUGAUUGCGUCAUUGAUAGAUGCAGGGUGCUUUCAUUACAUUUCCAAGACUUGAGAAGUCUAGCAAAUCAACAGUAAGCGUAUGCAGUGGGGGAGAGAUCACAACCCCAAAAAAGAGAAUGAGAAAGAAGAAAAAUCAACAAGAGCAGAGUGGUUUGAGCUGGGGAUUGUCUACAUGAAAUGUGUUUCAAGUUGGAUGGAUUUUAUAAUCUGAAAAUUUGUAUUUUCCUGUUUCUAGUCUGUAUAUAUGCAUUCUAAAACAGAGUAACCGGUAGCUUCAAAAUAAUUAAUCAACUAGCUUCAAAGAGAUAAAAUAUCAAAUUUUUUAAUUGUUGUGUUACAAAAUUAAGAUGUUGAAAUAAGAUUCCGUUAUGUACUUUUAAACUACGAAAAGAUACGUCGCAUGUGGAUAUCUUUUUCCUUUUUCUAGGCUAACAUUUCCAACUAAUAUGGAUUGUGAAGGGAACAUUGUCCAAAUAGUCCUAAACCAAUUUAGUCCUAAACUUUUCAAUUUUGCCAAUUGAGUCAUAAAAAUUUUCACAUUUUGCCAAUUCAAUUCUAAACAUUUUUCACUUUUUGGCUAAAAAUUACUAACGUGGACAACUGGUGCUAACGUGGCACUUUUUAAAUAAUUUUUUUUGAUGUUUUUUUUAAUGAUUUUUCUACUUUUUUUUUUUUUGGUUUUGGAUCUACUCGGCAAAGGUUGUCGGCCAACCCUCGCCAGCCACAAGUGAGGCCAACGAGCGAGAGCUGAUCAACCCCUACCAACUUCUGGGCGAGGCGCACAAGCCCUUGCCUAGAAUACGAGCUUGUGACACCCUNNNNNNNNNNNNNNNNNNNNNNNNNNNNNNNNNNNNNNNNNNNNNNNNNNNNNNNNNNNNNNNNNNNNNNNNNNNNNNNNNNNNNNNNNNNNNNNNNNNNNNNNNNNNNNNNNNNNNNNNNNNNNNNNNNNNNNNNNNNNNNNNNNNNNNNNNNNNNNNNNNNNNNNNNNNNNNNNNNNNNNNNNNNNNNNNNNNNNNNNNNNNNNNNNNNNNNNNNNNNNNNNNNNNNNNNNNNNNNNNNNNNNNNNNNNNNNNNNNNNNNNNNNNNNNNNNNNNNNNNNNNNNNNNNNNNNNNNNNNNNNNNNNNNNNNNNNNNNNNNNNNNNNNNNNNNNNNNNNNNNNNNNNNNNNNNNNNNNNNNNNNNNNNNNNNNNNNNNNNNNNNNNNNNNNNNNNNNNNNNNNNNNNNUUUGGAUAUUUUCCCAAUUGUGGUCGAUAUGCAUUUGUGGAGAAUUAUCAGCAUCAAGAAUUUAAUUUUUCUUUUCCUUUUUCUGGUCCAAUGACUGUAGUUAUUAGCUUAUUUUAAGCUGUGGAGUUAACAACGGCAGGUCCUGGAGACUUUCAUGAGACGAUUCCACUACAAAUCCUUGUGUGACGAAGUCUUUGUGCGGUGUGGUGCGAGUUUAAAUUUUCCAAAUGCACGAUUUAUUUGACAUAUAUUUCUUCAUUCUUUCGUCGUUGCUCAUCCGAAAAAACAGGCCAUUGUGGGCCAGAGACUGGUGCACAAUUGUCACAGAAGAGCUGCUCUUACUUUCCUAAUAAUCCGUGGGAAACAAUAAGUCUUGGUCUUCUCCUUUCCCAAUUGAUUUUUAUAGUAUGGUACAUUGGGGAUGUUACUUCUGCGCAGGGCAAAUUUUUUCUUUCGAGGCGUUGAUUCAUGCAAAAAGUGAAAGUUGAUAGCGAAAGGAGAAGACCUAACCUCUCUCUUUCAUCAAGAAAGAGACUUCUUGUUUAACUCUAUAUUUGAACAAUUCCAAAACUUAAUAAUGCACCUUAACUCUCAGUUGUCGGGCAGCAAUUAUCAAUGAAAAAGGCACACUAGUUCGUAAAUUUCAUCAGUUAAUUUACAGUAAUAUAUAAUUAUCUUCGGCAAUGUCUCUCUACAAAUCCUUAGAAUUCUUUGGAGAGACUAAUUGAAAAUCCCAACCGCCAACGUAAUUGGACAAUGCAUUGAGAGAUGAUGUGCAUCCAAACUCAAUAACAUAUUAAUGAGGGCUUUGACACUCUCCAUCAUAAGCAUCUACAAACUUUUCAAACGGGUUCUUUGCCAACUAAUAAGCUAAGUACCAUUGUCAAAUUUCCAAUAGAAAUCUAGCCGCAGGAAAUUUUUUCAACACUCACAAAUUGACACAUGAUGCCUACAUGGGCAGGUCGAAUUACUUCGAUAAUCUAAGUCUAUCAGUAAGAAAAUCGACAUUAUUUGGAGUCUUUCCUUGGGUAAUAGUAAAAAUGCAUCAGUUGAUAACAGAGCCUAAAUCUGGCUGGUCCAGCCGAUUUGAGAAGACAAGUGCAACAUCUCCAACAAGAAUUGGAGCAAUCUUGAUUGUUAAUGUCAUGCCCCGAACUCCGAGCGCACGCACAUCUCUCGGCGGUCGAUUAAAAAUUUGCGACGUCCCAAGACGCGUCACUAACCCAUUCUUUUUAUCUUUCAAUUAAGCAAAUACACCACCCAGUCAAAUUUGACCAAAAAUCACUAUAGUAUAUAAUUUUUAUAAUUUUUGGGAAAAGGCUAAGUGAAGGCGGUCGGUUUCCUUGGCAAUUUCUCAUGUGCAACAAUGUAUCUCGUCUGGAGUUAUUGCCCACCAACUUUGGGUGCAUCAUUGAUAGAGAGUAUAAAUGAGACAGGAUGCUUACUGCACCAAGACUUGAAAAGUUAAGCAAGUACUAAGCGUAUGCAAUGGGAGAUCACAGCUUGCACCAAGACUUGAAAAGUUAAGCAAGUACUAAGCGUAUGCAAUGGGAGAUCACAGCUUGCACCAAGACUUGAAAAGUUAAGCAAGUACUAAGCGUAUGCAAUGGGAGAUCACAGCUUGCACCAAGACUUGAAAAGUUAAGCAAGUACUAAGCGUAUGCAAUGGGACAUCACAGCUUGCACCAAGACUUGAAAAGUUAAGCAAGUACUAAGCGUAUGCAAUGGGAGAUCACAGCUUGCACCAAGACUUGAAAAGUUAAGCAAGUACUAAGCGUAUGCAAUGGGAGAUCACAACUAGAAGUGAUUGGUUCUCGGAUGAUUUGGUUCCCACCCCAAAAAUCGAGAAUUGGACCAAAAGGAUUCUAAAACCAUGAAUCGAACCAGUGCCCCUAAAACUGAACCGACCAAUCUAGUUCAGUUCCUACGUGGAUCAUGGAACUGGUGGCAUGUUCAUUUUUUUAUUUUUUUACUGUUAUUUGUCAUUAAAGUUCAAGACAAAUUGAAGAUGUUCUUGAUAACCAAGACAUUUCUACAAUCAGCCAAUUACGUGUAGCAUUGUAGGUUUCACAUAAUUUUUACAAUCAGCGAAUUGAAGAUGUUCUUGUCAUCUUACUCACAUGCAUGAGUGAAAUAGGAGUUGUGAGACUUGUGCUUGUCUGCAUGCGUGAGUGAAGUCCGAAAUAUGAGAUAGAUUAGGGUUUUUUUUACAAAUUAAAGGAAAUUAAAAAAAAAAAUUGGUCUAACCCAUGUGGGCAAUCCCAUGCCUGAAAUUGGGAAUCAGAUUGAAAUUCACUAGUUUCAAUUUUAUAGAAUUGAGAACUAGAUCAGUGCCCCCAAGAACUGCCCAAAAUUGGCUGAUCUAGUCCCAUUUAAGUGGCUCCUUUUGCUUACCCCUAGUCAUAACUCUAAAAUAGAAGAAUGCCGAAGAAAAAUCAUGAAGAGCAAACUGCUUUGAGCUGGCGAUUGGUGAUGGGGUUUACACUCCUAGGAGUGAAAUUUCUAUUGCAUUCUGGAAAAGAAUAACGCAUAUUUCAGAGUGAUUAAUCAACUAGUUUUAAAGAGGUAAAAACUAAACAUUUGCCAUUGCCGUGCUACGAAAAAUAAGAUUCUUAGAUAACAUUUCAUUCUAUACUUUUACAUUAAGAUAAGAUACGUUGAACGUAGGUUUGUUUUUUUUUUUUUUGUUUUUUGUUUGCCUAGGAUUUCUAAUUAAAAAUAUGGACUGUGGUGAUACGUAUUUGUGGAGAAUAAUCAUUCCAAGGAAUUUAUUUUUCCUUCCAUCUGGUAUCCGUGUUGUUAAUCUUUUGUUGCAUUUCCAUAAUUUUGAGGACACCAUCUUGCUGACAUCGUGGUAACGAAGAAAAACGCAAUCAUUAUUGCCAAAAGUCAUUUUGAAGAAACUAGGCUAAUCGAAUUAGGAGCAAAAUAGUGUCUCAUAUUGGACCUUAGUGUAAAUGUGACUUAAACUGGAAAAAGUAAAAAAAAAAAAAGUAUAUAAUCUAUUGUCAUGAUACCAAUUCAGCUCUUAACCUUUUAAAUAAUCAAUUCAAUUCUAAACAUUUUCAUAUUGAUACCAAUUUAGUCCAUCCGACCAAUUUAAGCUGAAAAUUGCCAAUGUGAACGCCAGCUGUGCUAUGUAGCAUGAUCGAUACUGGCGUGGAUAUUUUUAAUAAUAUUUUAAUAUUUUUUGAAUUUUUAAAAUCUUUUUUGCUUUUUCUUUUUUUGACCUCCCUUUUCUUUGCUUUUUCUUUUUGCUAGUGGCCAUUGCUAGCCACCGACCAUAGCCAUGGUCGGCGAGGGUUGGCCUUGGUUGGCCUCACCACCAUAGCCAUGGUUGGUGUGGCUGGCCUUGGUCGACCUCACCGACCACAAGCAAUGGUUGGCCUCGCUGGGUCGCCCUUGAGCGAGGGCAAGCACCGAUCGUCCUAGUGAGGCCCCCUCGCCAGAUCUAACGACCAACCAUCGCAUAGAGGGCGCGGCUAGUUGGGCCUCGCCAUCACCCACGUGGGGCUCACCAAGCCUCAUCCUCGCCCAAGCGAGCCUCGACGAGGCCGACCCUUACUUAGGCGAGGUGCAAUGAGGCCACCCUGGCCUAGGAGAUGGUCGGCCUCCUCAAAUCUAGCGAGGGGGCCUCACCUAGCCACACCUAGACGACCGACGCUCCCUCUUGACCACACCCUCGCCCAAAGAAAUUACCAUCGGAUAGUUGCAUACAUGUCGCAUUGCUAUGUAUACAAAGAAAUUACCACUAUGCAAGGCGCCUAUUUAAGCAAAAACAUACGUUCUUCAUUCAAAUUAUUUGAUGGCAAAUUGAAUAUUAGUAUUGUGUUGCUAAUUGGAGAGCUUACCUUGUACUCUAACGAUUAUACCACAUAUAAAUAGAUAAUGUUUCCUUUCGACAGAUUAGUUCUAGAAUAUAUAGAAUUAAUGAGUGUAAUAUCUUUUAACACACUGUCAUAAGGCUUUGUGGCACAACGUCAAUUAGAUAUAACAAAUGUGACUGUCCAUCAACAAAUUAACCUAGCCCGAACCAGUCAACCUACCUUAGCUAAAAACUAUUGAUUCAGGUUGGUUCCGUUUCGAUUUGAAAUCUGAAAAGAACAAAAUCUAACCAACCUAUAUAUAGCAGAAGAACAAAAUUUGCAGUGUCCAAAUCUACACAAUAGAAAACACAAUCCUCAAAUCAAAUUACAUUUUCCCGUUCAAAGUAAAACCACAGAUAUGGUCCGAGAUCUGAUCAUUGCUAACUAAAAGGACUUUGGGAGUCUGAAAUUGAUUUUCAGAAAUUUCUGAUGGUCGACUGAAAGUUCCAGGUAAAUGCCAAGUCAAUGGGGUCGGUUUCCUCGACAAUUUCUUAUGUAGCACAGUAGGUCGCAUCAGAAUUUGUUAUUGCCCACCAACUUUGACUGCGUCAUUGAUAGAUGCAGGGUGCUUUCAUUACAUUGCCAAGACUUGAGAAGUCUAGCAAAUCAACGGUAAGCGUAUGCAGUGGGGGAGAGAUCACAACCCCAAAACAAGAGAAAGAGAAAGAAGAAAAAUCAACAAGAGCAAAGUGGUUUGAGCUGGGGAUUGUCUGCAUGAAAUGUGUUUCAAGGUGGAUGGAUUUUAUAAUCUGAAAAUUUGUAUUUUCCUGUUUCUAGACUGUAUAUAUGCAUUCUAAAAAGGAGUAAUCAGUAGCUUCAAAAUAAUUAACCAACUAGCUUCAAAGAGGUAAAAUAUCAACUUUUUUAAUUGUCGUGUUACAAAAUUAAGAUGUUGAAAUAAGAUUCUGUUAUACACUUUUAAACUAAGAAACGAUACGUCGCAUGUGGAUUUUUUUUUCCUUUUUCUAGGCUAACAUUUCCAGCUAAUGUGGAUUGUGAAGGGAAAAUUGUCCAAAUAGUUCUAAACCUAUUGCACUUUUGUCAAUUUAGUUAUAAACUUUUCAAUUUUUCCAAUUGAAUUCUAAACAUUUUCACAUUUUGCCAAUUCAGUCAAAAACCUUUUCACUUCUUGCCAAUGGAGUCCAUUCAACCAAUUUUGGCCAAAAAUUACUGAUGUGGAUAACCGGCGUUGACAUGGCACUUUUUAAUAAUAUUUUAAAAUAUUUUUAUGGUUUUUUUACUCUCUUUUUUUUUGGAUCUAGUCGGCAAAGGUUGUCAGCCAACCCUCGCCAGCCACAAGUGUUCGUAAAAUUCUAAACGCAAAUGAAUGUGUCGAACAAGUAAUAUAAUGACAAGAAAAAGUAUCAUCCCUUGAAGAUUGAUGAUUAAUAAACUAAUUAAAUACUAAAAUAAAUUAAUUCUAAAAUUUAUCUAACAUAUCAAAAUAUAAUUUAGAAUAAAUUAAAAACAAAAUUUGAAUACUAAAUGCAGUAAAUCAAUAAGAUAAAUAUGUUAGAGUAUCUAAUUUUACCAUAACCACUAGAUAUGAAUUUCAGAUUGUUGUGGGUUCAAGAACGAUAUCAAACAUGUGAUAGCGGAAUUUCCUAAUCUAUUUAGCAAACCCACUCAGCUUAUUAAUCCACUAUAUCUCCAUGUGAAUUAAAAUAAACCUGAGUGCAUUAAAAACUAUGAAUAUUCCUUGGCUUACAGUGAGUCUUUUAGAUCACCUUAUCACCGAAAGUUACACAAAUAACGCAGUAUAUCUCUAUCCACAUUUAAUUCAUGGUUAUAUAUUAUAAUGAGCAAUUGCAUAUUAUCACUUCUCAGUCUCAAAUAUAUACAUCAGAUCAUUCAAGUGGUGGCCAGUCACUCAAAAGCAUUAAGCACAAUAAUAUAUAACUCACAUGAAUGAAAUCAAUUGCAAAACAUAAAAAUCAUGAAAUUCACAUCAUUCUAGCUAGGCUACAAUGUAGCCCUAGCAAAAGAAAACUAGAACAUAGUAGAACAAGAAAUAAAAAUAUAAAUUAAACUUAGCAUCUUGAAUCAAAGAACGAGAAUUCUGUCACCACUUUUGUCUUUUCUUCAAAAUACUUGAAAAAAUCUCAGAAUAAUAAAAAACGAUCGAACAAAAAGCCUAACUUCUCUCUCAAUGGCUCUCAAUGUUCUCCCAUUUUGAGGAUAUAUCCAAGCUCCAAGCAAUUGCGCAUAAAAUCAGGGAGUAGAUCAGAGGAUUCUGAUUUGAUAUCUAUCUUCCACUGCUUCUUGAUUUGAAUUUGUGAUUUUUUUGCCAUUCUUUUCCUUAUAUUCUCCCUAUCUCAUUAUUCUACAUAAACAAAGAAAAUUCAAAUAAUCAGAAGAAAAUCCAAAUAUUUUCUUAUAGAUAUCGCAUUAAUUGUUGCCUAAAAUAGGUAAAAUAACUCUAUUUUUAUAGAGUUAUCAAACUCUCAAACUUAACAUUUUGCUAGUCCUCGAGCAAAAUCAAGACAUAACACAUACUCAAGCUAACAACCUCCUCCAUGACAUCUUUUCAUAAUUGCUCAAAUUCGCAAUUCAAAGGAAAACACAAAUUUCAUCCAAACAUUGAAAUUGAUUUAUAAGUUAAGACCAGUUCUAACUAUGUGAUCCAAAUGUGUGUGUGAGAGUCUCAUCUUUUUUUCUUUUUUUUUGAAUUAUAUGCAAUCUAGAUAAAUUCACAUUGACAUGCAACCUCUAAAAAAUUCUCAAUAAUUAUGACCAAAUCUCAUAGGUUUGCUUAUCAUUCCUCUCUCCACUAAUGUAAAUUAAUUAUCCAACCAAGAAUCAAUAUGACUUUUCUCUAUUUGUAAUGUAAAUAUGAGCUAAAGAUGAGAUAACGGUAAUUUUAAGCUCAAAUCACCCAUCAACACGUUGAUUUCUAGGAUCUAAUUAGAGCCAAUGUCACUUCCAAUUUCAUUCCUUCAAGAUAAUUUUUCUACCAUCAUAUAUCAUUAUUCUUUUUUUUCCUUCUCUUUCUUUUUUUUUUAAAAUUUUUUUUAUGGUGGAGUUUCUCCCAAAGACCCUCCUAAUAUAACAUGAACAUUUCCAACACAAUAAGUAUUCAAAAGGCUCACUCAAUUAAAAGUUGGAUAAGGAACAUAAAAUCAAAUUUUCUUUUGACAAUACACCCCAAACAACCAUAGCAAUCACUUCUCCUUUUAUUUUUUACUUCUUUUUUUAUACUCCAUCCUUCCUCCCAAAUUUCUAUUAAGCUCAAAUAAUUUUUUAUCCAAAAAAAAAAAAAUCAACGUGUUCAUAGGGCAUGGGACAAUGAUAUAAUUUGAUAACUACUAGGUUAAAUUUAUAUGGGUGCCAAUGAAAAAUUGGGUAAUAAUUAAAGCUCAACGGGGUGACUGGGGAUAAAUAAACAGGUUAGCUUGAAAGGCUCAAUUGAUCCAAAAAUUGCCUAAAUCAUUUUUUCAGUUAGAUUUAGCUUAGGAUUUCGCCUCAAGAGAAAAUCAAACAAAUUCUAAAAUUUGGGUGAAAUUUAAGAAAAUCACAUACUUCACAUGAAAGUUCUCUAGAUUUACACAUAGGGAAAAAAAAAAAGGACUUUUGGGGCCCAAUAAGUGACCCCCAAAAUCACAAAUUAAAGUCAUUUCACCCUUUUUUCCCAACUUUGUAUGAUUGGUAAAAAUUCAUAACUAGAAAGCCAAUCCCAAUAAAAAAAUUACCCAAAAAAAUUUGUUUCCCCCCCCCCCCCCCCCCAAAAAAAAAACUUGAAUGAAGUAGUGUCUUCAAUGCGAAUAAUAGAAAUAGGAAGAAGAAAACUCCCAUGGUUGUAGGAUAACUUCAUAGAUGACCUUGAUGGUUAAACUCUUGAAAGGUGAUCCCUAAAAAUAUUAAUUUGGAUAAAAUAGACAAAAGUUAAUCUUGUUUUUUUGCAAAACAUAAACUUAACAAUAAAUAAAAAUAAAACAUAAUUAAAAUGCUUGGGUUGCCUCUCAAGAAUCGCUUGCUUUAUAGUUUUUAGCCAAACUAUCUCGGAUGUCGCUAUUCUAGAUAAUGAAGUUCAAUGGUGGUCUUAUGCUUGUUGUAACCACCUUCAAAGUAGGGUUUCAAAUGUUGACCGUUCACCCUGACUGUUCCCUUAGUGUCAUGCUCAACUUUAAUUGUUCCAUAUGGGAAUACCUGUGUAACUGUGAAAGGACCAGACCAUCGAGACUGCAACUUUCCUAGAAAAAAUUUAAGAUGAGAGUUAUAAAGUAAGACUUUUUGAUCAAUUUUAAAUGGCAAAAGAACGCUUUAAGUGCCAAAAAUUGGCACAAAGGGACACUUAACAACUUAGAAUUUUCACAGGCCUCAUUGCGAAAUUCCUCCAAUUCAUUCAGUUGCAAUAAUCUUUCUUCACCUGCAGAUUGCAUGUCAAAAUUUAGGAAUUUCAAUGCCCAAUAUGCUUUAUGCUCUAAUUCCAUUAGUAAAUGACAAACCUUCCCAAACACUAACCUAAAAGGAGACCUCCCAAUUGGAGUUUUAAACACUGUUCUAUAGGCCCAAAGUACAUCAUCAAGUUUUAUUGAUCAAUCUGUCACGCCCUGAUCCUCGGGCACGUGCACAUCCUUCUUGGUUGGUCGGUUCUAUAAUGCGAUAUCCUAGGACUAUGUAUCGCCGACCCUUUCAUUUUUAAGCACAUGCGAAAGCAGUUAUAAUCCCUAGACAAUAAAACGAUGGGAUAGAAAAGCAAGGCUAUAUUUUUCAUAUUGAAACUUAUAACCAAACUUUUAUUCGAAAUACAAACCAGAGUACUUUACAACUUUUCACAACUUUUUACUCUAACUUUAUUAACAUCAAGACAAGAUUCGCAAAAGAGGAUAGGAUCUCAGUCCUCAUUCGGAUCGUACUUGAGAUGCCUCUCGAUAGUAUCUUCUUCUUCCAAAAAUCCUUCUCCUUAGGUUUUCCUUCAGAGUUUUCCUUCUCAGAUUCCUCCUCCUCAGCUCCUUAUCAGGGUCCUGAAAUGUUUUCCCCAAACCGGGAUGAGACUACGUCUCAGCGAGUUCUACCCCACUAAGACUCAAUGAGGGAACCAAUACACUACUCGGUUGCCUAAGCACAGCACGAGUCAGAGGACUUACCUUGGCCUCAGUCUCAACCUGCAAUUCAAGGUUAUAUACAAACGCUUCACAAAUCAUAACGAACAAUCAAUCAAAUCACGAUAAUCUGAUCAAAUCAUUGAUCAAUCGAACUAGUCGAUUACAUGUCAGAUGGACCAUUCCUGAUCAUUGAUUCCACACCAUAUAACCUUCCAUCGAGCACUUGGUCACAGAGCCACAUCAAUGCUCUCGGGCGUCAAGUUCGCCAAUGUGACGUAAAUAAGAAAUGGUCUACGUGCGUUCUUUAAGGCGCCGUUUUUGUGCAGUGAUAUUCCUCAUCACGAAACCACGCCCGUCAUAGAUCACAGACAGUCUAUGCUCGUUCUUUAAGGCACCGUUUUCGCACAGUAAUAUCCUUAAUCACCGAACCACACCUGUUUGUACUUCGUACUUGAUCGGUCUCAGCCAAUAGAAUUUUCAAUUAGUUCUCGCCACUCUCUCCACUUACAGCUCAACAAGGUAUUCAAAAUGCUAAAUAGUCAUACUCGGUCAACUACCAAUCAAUAAUUCAAUUUCAAUCAAUUUAGGGUAAAUCUCUGAAUAUCACAAUUUAUUUAAUUCCCUACACAUAGAGCUCAUUAAAUAAACAGACUGCGCCACGACAUUAGCACGAGAUUUCGAUUGUCAGCUACCCAGCUUAAUUUCGAAAAAUAAAUAAUUCAUUCAUUAAUUUCGAAAUUAAUAAUUAAUUACAAUAAAUCCAAUUUAGCUCAAAUCGGAGCUCAAUUAAAUAAAUGGACUUCACCACAAUUAUUAGCAUAAAAUUCUGAUCAUCAGCCAUCCUAGUUGAAUUUUCAGAAAAUAAAUAAUUAAAUAAUUAGUUCUAAAAAAUAAUAUUUAAAUGCCAAAAAUUCCACUUAGGCCUGAAUUGUCAAAGCCCGAUUAGGGUCGAGAAGAAUCCGGGGCUACCCUCAAUAAAUAGUAGAUCACGUCUACUUGCUAAAUACACAUUCAAUUUAUCUAAUUUGCAUCACAAUUGACUAAUAAACACUAAUCCAUACUAAUCUAACCGCCUAAACCUAAUUAAUUAAAACUAAACAACCCUUAAGUGUAAUUAGUCCGCUAAGCAAGGAUUAGUGAGAUUACUCACCGGAAUCGCGUGCAAGUCGGACCAAUCCGACGGGGACGACGCGAGGAACAAUAAACCUCAAAGCAGGUCUCGGGUUCGGGGCCCGGAAAUGGCCCAAAAGCGGGCCCGAAGUCGCUGGAGACCCACUUCGCAACUUGCUGGGUUGCUGCAAAACAGAGGGGAAAAAGAGAUGGUUGGGGGCAGCAAGGGGUCGGGAGAGUGGGUAGAGCUUCGGUGAGGCUGGACGGUGGGCAGAGGGGGUCGGGCCACGGCCUAAGCUAGCCGAACAAGGUUGGACAGAGGCGGAAGUCACGCGGGGGAGGGAUGGUAGCGAGCGGCGGGCGCGCUGGCGUGCGCACGGUGGCAAGCGGUGGACGCACGGGUGCAGGUGGCAAGACGGGCAGUGACGACUUCGGCAAGCUGCUGCUGCUCGGCUUCUUCCGCUUCUAGUUCGCUGGUUGCACAAAGAAGAAAGAAAAGGAGGGGUUCGGUCACGAGGGGGAGAAGAGAGAGGAGAGAGAAGAAGAGAUAAGAGAGAGAAUAGAAAGGGUUUGACUAGUCAAAUGGGGAGAGAGAAGAAGCCAAAUUGAAUUUGGCAAGGCAAGUGUUCGGUGGGGGAGUGUCUGCACGAAGUGGGAGGGGAGAGGAGAGAGAAGAGAGAAAGAAAAAGAGAGAAAAUGGAGAGAGAGAAAAAGAAAUAAAAUAAUAGCCUUAUUCUUUUUUUUUUUUACUUUUCUCUUUCCCUUUCCCUUUCUAUUUUCUUUUGAUCUUCGAUUUUUCCUCCGAUAAUUUCUUUCUUGAAAUUUCGGACUCGUCAAUAAAUUGACAGACGAUGAGACGGUCCUAAAAAUGAAUUGUGACACGCUCGAAUAUUCGAUUCCCGAAACCAAUUUAAAUUUUAUGGUUAGAAUCGAUCAGACGUGAUUUUAGUCCAAUCCAACUAAUUGAGUAGCUUUUAGGGAUUUUACUGUAGAUACAUCCCUUAACGGCUUCACCCAAUAGGUUAGUUAACUCGUGAGUAAUCAGCUCAGAGAAAAAGGACCAUAGGCACAUUGACGACAUGCCCAUUUCACUUUAUCGAAACGGGGUCGAAUUUCAGGAUGUCACAACUCUUCCCCUCUUAUAAAAAUUUCGUCCUCGAAAUUUAAACCAUUACACACUUUUCUCAAAAAGGCGGGGAUACAAUUCUCUCAUCGACUCUUCAGUCUCCCAAGUCACUCCUUCAGUGCCGUAGUGUUGCCAGAGCACUUUGACCAACGGAAUGGUCUUUGUACGCAAAACUUGCUCUUUACGAUUGACAAUCUGAACCGGGCUUUCAACAUAUGACACCCGGUCAUCCACGUCCAAUUCCUCAAAAUUGAGUACGUGGGUCGGAUCAGGCUCGUACUUCCUUAACAUCGACACGUGAAAGACGUCAUGCACUUGCGCCAAUCUUGGCGGCAACGCAAGAUGAUACGCUAGGUUUCCGAUUCUUUCAAGAAUCUCAAACGGACCUACGUACCUCGAACUCAACUUGCCUUUCUUACCAAAGCGUGAAGUUCCCCUCAUUGGUGACACUUUCAGAAAAAUGUGAUCACCGACUUGGAAUUCCAAAGACCUUUGACCCUUAUCUGCAUAACUUUUCUGCCUGCUCUGUACUGUCUUUAAUCUGUCUCUGAUCUUUGUCAUGGCAUCUACUGAUUGCUGAACCAAGUCAGGCCCGUUAUCUUCCUUUCUCCGACUUCAUCCCAACAUACUGGAGUUCUGCAUGCUCUGCCAUACAACGCUUCAAAAGGAGCCAUCUUGAUGCUCUGCUGAUAACUGUUGUUGUAGGCGAAUUCCACCAGAUGAAGCUGAUCUUCCCAACUUCCUUUGAAGUCUAUUGCACACGCUUUCAGCAUGUCUUCAAGAGUCUGAAUUGUCCUUUCAGACUGACCAUCCGUCUAAGAAUGAUAUGCCGUACUGUACUGAAACUUUUUACCUAAAGCAUUCUGCAAGCUCUUCCAAAAAGCAAUAGUAAACCUCGGGUCUCUAUCGGAUGUUAUCAUAACCGGCACUCCAUGCAUACGAACCACCUGACGCACAUACAUGUCUGCGUGUCUAUCCAGACUCAGGUCCUUUCGAACUGCAAUGAAGUGAGCCGACUUUGUCAGCCUAUCGACCACUACCCAAAUUGAAUCAUUUCCUUUUUGACUCCUUGGUAGUCCAGUCACAAAAUCCAUUGUGAUAUGCUCCCAUUUCCACUCUGGGGUCGCAAGAGGUUGCAGAAGUCCUCUCGGCUUGCAAUGCUGGGCUUUUACUUGCUGACAAGUCAAACACUUGGCGACAUGCUUGGCAAUGUCUGCCUUCAUACCUGACCACCGAUAGUGUUGGCGUAGAUUCUGAUACAUCUUAGUGCUUCCAAGAUGAAUGCUAUAACUGCUACGAUGUGCUUCAGAUAAAAUUUCUUCUCUAAGCUCUAUAUCGUCAAGUACAACCAAAUGUCCACGGAGCCUUAGUACACCAUCAUUAGAAACCUGAAAAUCAGCCUUUCUUUUAUCGGUAUCCUCUUGAAGAAUUCUCUGUACAUCUGGAUUUGUCAAUUGGAGUUGCUUGAUUCUGACUUGGACAUCCGGUUCAAUUCUGAGGGUGGCCAUAAGACUCAAGAGGUGGCCUACCUCAAAUUUGAAUUCCGAAUCCCGAGCUCUCUUGAUUAAGUUUCACUCCUUAACCAAGAUCCGCACCACUGAAGACUUCCGACUCAAUGCAUCGGCGACCUUGUUCGCCUUUCCCAGGUGAUAUAGAAUAUCACAGUCGUAAUCCUUCAGCAAUUCCAUCCAUCGGCGUUGUCUCAUGUUCAACUCCUUCUGAAAGAACAAAUACUUGAGACUCUGAUGGUCCGUGAAGAUUUGAAACUUUUCUCCGCACAAGUAGUGCCUCCAAAUCUUCAACGCAAAUAUUAUGGCUACAAGUUCUAAGUCAUGUGUUGGAUAAUUCAAUUCAUGAGGUCUCAACUGCCGGGAAGCGUAUGCAACGACUCUGCCAUGUUGCAUUAACAUGCAACCCAAUCCCCUAAAUGACGCAUCACUAUAAAUCUCCAAUCCUCUAGGACCAGAUGGAAUCGUCAGCACAGGUGCGGUAGUCAGCUUUUCCUUCACCUCUUGGAAACUAGCUCGCACUUGUCUAUCCAUAUGAACUUCUCGUUUUCCUUCAUGAGCUUUGUUAGAGGCGACGCUAUCGAUGAGAACCCUUCCACAAACCGUCUGUAAUAACUUGCUAACCCCAGAAAACUUCUGAUCUCUAUCACUGUUAAUGGUCUCGGCCACUUAAUCACGGCUUCUAUCUUGCUCGGGUCGACGAGGAUUCCUUCUCCGGAAAUCACAUGACCUAAGAACGCAACACGAGUCAGCCAAAACUCGCAUUUGUUAAACUUAGCAUACAGCUGAUGAGUUCUUAAGGUCUAGAGUACUACUCUUAGAUGAUUCUCUUGCUCUUCAUCACUUCUUGAAUAGACCAAGAUGUCAUCAAUGAACACGAUCACAAAUUGAUCCAAAUAUUCCUUGAACACUUUGUUCAUCAAAUCCAUAAAGGCAGUUGGAGCAUUCGUCAACCCGAACAGCAUCAAUGUAAACUCGUAAUGGCCAUACCGGGUACGAAAUGCCAACUUAGGGAUGUCCUCCUUCCUAAUUCUCAGCUGAUGAUAUCGUGUCCUCAAGUCGAUCUUCGAGAAUAUCGACACUCCUUGUAGUUGAUCAAACAAGUCAUCUAUCCUCGGCAAUGGAUACUUAUUUUUUAUCGUUACUUGAUUGAGCUGCCGAUAGUCGAUGCACAAACGCAAUGAACCAUCUUUCUUCUUAACAAAUAGAAUUGGUGCUCCCCAAGGUGAUGCACUAGGACGAAUAAAUCCUUUAUCCUGUAACUCUUGCAUCUGCACCUUCAGUUCUUUCAACUCAGAUAACGCCAUCCGGUAAGGUGCCUUCGAAAUCAGUUCUGUCCCUGGUGCUAGCUCAAUUACAAAUUCAAUCUCUCUUUCUGGCGGUAACCCUAGCAAUUCUUUUGGAAAGACAUUUGGAAACUCUUGAACCACUGAAAUAUCUUCCAUUUUCAACUCCUCAACUGUCGUAUCCAUGACAGUUGCAAAGUACCCUCGGCAACCCUCGUCUAACAAACGAGUUGCUUCCAGUGACGAGAUUAAGGAAAUUGAAGGUCCUCCUCGAUUCCCGACAAACUCAAAGCUCUUACCCCCUGAUGGGUCAAAUUGAAUCGUCUUGCGAUAGCAGUCCAUUUUCGCUCGUUGAUUGGUGAGCCAGUCCAUGCCAAUUAUCAAAUCAAAAUCAUACAUGGCUAGGACUAACAAGUCAAUUUUCCCCACUCGCUCACCAAUCUCUAACUUGCACCCCGAACAUCCUAAAAUAGCAAUAACUUUAUCUUUCAAGGGUGUAGAUAUGCAAAUUAUCGACUUCAACAAUACAGGACUCAACCCUAGCAUCCUAACAUAUUGCUCGGCAAUGAAGGAAUGGGUUGCUCCCGAAUCAAACAAAGCAUAAGCAGGUUGGUCGUUGAGCGAGACCAUACCUGUGAUCACGCCAGGCGCAGCUUUUGCUUGACCUUGGGUAAUCGCGUACACGGGGCCUUGAACUGGAGGUCUCUGCUAUCCUCCUUGUGGUGCAUUUUGAGGGGCAUACCCUCCUAUCUGUCUCAUCGGUGGCGGUGGCGGCAACUGAGGUUGUCCUCUCUGCUUCUUUGGACAAUACCUUGCAGUGUGGCCCUGCUGGCCACAUUCGUAACAUGCUCCUGUUCUGGCUGGAUACGGAGUUGUCCCGUGUUGUCUUCCACACGAGCAACAAGAAUUGACCCUAUUAGGCAUCGGUCUAUUGAAUCCGCUUCUCUCGAAGGGUGGAGCAUUAGGCCUACCUCCAAGCAUGGGUCUCUUCCCUUGACGGAUAUUCUCUCGAUGGGAGCCAAACCUCGAUCCAAAUGAGGUAGCUUGUUCAUUCAAUCCUCGCUCUAUCAUCUGGGCUCGACGAUAAACCUUCCUAUAAUCUUUCAAGUCCCAUGGUAGCAGAGGUUGUUUCAAUUUAACACGAAGACCGCUUUUGAACUUCCAAGCUUUCUCUUUAGGGUCUUCUAUCAGCUUAGGAGCAUACUGUGAUAGUUCUGCGAACUUGACCCCAUACUGGUCAACUAUCAUGCUCCCUUGGCAGAGACAGUGGAACUCUUAUAUCUUUUGUUCCCAAGCAGUAUUCGAAAAGUACUGAUCAUUAAAGGCUCCAAGGAAGGUGUCCCACACUUGGACCCCAUACUGGUCAACUGUCAUGCUCCAUAUAUUAGCGUUACCUUGAAGUUGGUACAUAGCUAGUAACACCUUUUCGUCCUCAUUGCACAUCAGAAGUGCAAAUGCCUUCUCCAAAUCUUGUACCCACAGAGACACGGCCUCAAGGUCUCUGGUACCAAUGAAUUUCGGCAGAUUCAUUUUUAAAAACUGAUCCACUAACUGGUGAAUCGGCCUCCCAUCGGCUACAACUCCUGGUAGUAUUUCAGCGGGAGCGACGGUAGGUGGAACUGCAGGUGCUGCGACAGCGGCGGCUUGAGCAGUAGCGAUAGCUAUGACAGCAAUGGCAGCGUUGGCAGCAGCAGUGGCGGUAGCUUCAACAGCGGCAAUAAAGGUGGCAGUUUGAUCUCAGGCCUGUUGCCUCAUCAUCUCCCACAUAGCAUCUAGAGCCUGGUUGAUUCCGACAGUUCCUUGCUCACCCAAGACUGCUACCCUAGCACCAACAGGAGGUGGUGCUACUGUAGCAUCUACAACAGGUGGAAUCAUUCCACUCGUGCUAGCCUCUGCUGGCGCUCUACCUUGGCCACCUCAGGCACCAACUCUUGUCGGCGUCCUAGUCCGAGUUACCGAGGACAAGGUCCUCUGCCUAGGAGUUCUCGGCUCCUGAUCGCUCAUGGUGUCAUUUUAAUCUACUAACACCUACUUCCAAUUCAACACCGAAUUAGAAACAGAGCGAUUCAAACAACAAGCAAUUUUAGCACUCAACUAACACAAACAUGCACCAGCAUGAAUUUAAAGGCCUUUCCUACUUACUAUCCCAUGGUCAACACUCCUUAUCACUCCAAUCUUGAACUAAGCUCUGAUACCACAAAAAGGGGAUGUCACGCCUCGAUCCUCAGGCACGCGCACAUCCUUCUAGGUUGGUCGGUUUUAUAAUGCGAUAUCCCAGGACUAUGUAUCGCCGACCCUUUCAUUUUUAAGCACAUGCAGAAGCAGUUAUAAUCCCCAAACAAUAAAACGAUGGGAUAGAAAAGUAGAGCUAUAUUUUUCAUAUUGAAACUUAUGACCAAACUUUUAUACAAAAUACAAACCAGAGUACUUUACAACUAUUCACAACUUUUUACUCUAACCCUAUUAACAUCAAGACAGGAUUCACAAAAGAGGAUAGGAUCUCAGUCCUCAUCCGGAUCAUACUCGAGAUCCUUCUCGAUAGUAUAUUCUUCUUCCAAAAGUCCUUCUCCUUAGGUUUCCCUUCAGAGUUCUCUUUCUCAGAUUCCCCUCCUCAGCUCCUCAUUGGAGUCCUGAAAUGUUUUCCCCAAACCGGGAUGAGACUACGUCUCAGCGAGUUCUACCCCACUAAGACUCAAUUAGGGAACAAAUACACUACUCGGUUGUCUAAGCACAGCACGAGUCAGAGAACUUACCUUGGCCUCAGUCUCAACCUGCAAUUCAAGGUUAUAUACGAACGCUUCACAAAUCAUAACGAACAAUCAAUCAAAUAACGACAAUUGGAUCAAAUCAUUGAUCAAUCGAACUAGUCGAUUACAUGUCAGAUGGACCAUUCCAGAUCAUUGAUUCCACACCAUAUAACCUUCCAUCGAGCACUCGGUCACAGAGCCACAUCAAUGCUCUCGGGCGUCAAGUUCGCCAAGGUGACAUAAAUAACAGACGAUUUACGUGCAUUCUUUAAGGUGCCGUUUUUGCACAGUGAUAUUCCUCAUCACAGAACCACGCCCGUCAUAGAUCACAGACAGUCUACGUGUGUUCUUUAAGGCGCCGUUUUCGCACAGCGAUAUUCUUAAUCACCGAACCACGCCUAUCUAUACUUCGUACUUAAUCAGUCUCAGCCAAUAGAAUUUUCAGUUAGUUCUCACCACUCUCUCCACUUACAUCUCAACAAGGUAUUCAAAAUGCUAAAUAGUCAUACUCGGUCAACUACCAAUUAAUUCAAUUUCAAUCAAUUUAGGGUAAAUCCCUAAAAUAUCACAAUUUAUUUAAUUCCAUGCAACGUAGAGCUCAAUAAAUAACGGACUGCGCCACGACAAUCAGCACGAGAUUUUGGUUGUCGACUAACCCAGCCUUAAUUUCUGAAAAAUAAAUAAUUAAUUCAUUAAUUUCGAAAAUUAAUAAUUAAUUACGAUAAAUCCAAUUUAGCUCAAAUCGGAGCUCAAUUAAAAUAAAUAGACUUCACCACGAUUAUCAGCAUAAAAUUCUGAUCAUCAACCAUCCAUGUUGAAUUUUCUGAAAAUAAAUAAUUAAAUAAAUAAUUUCAAAUUUUAAAUAAUUAAUAUUAAAAAUUCAAUUUAGCUCAAAAUAAAGCCCGAUUAAAUAAACAGACUUCACCAUGGUCAUCAGCAUAAUAAUCCGAUCACUGGUCAUCCUAGUUGAAUUUUUGAAAUAUAAAUAAAUAAUUAAUUAAUUCCGAAAAUUAAUACUUAAAUGCGAAAAAUUCCACUUAGGCCCGAAUUUUCAAAUUGAAGCCUGAUUAGGGUCGGGAAAAAUCCUGGACUACCCUCAAUAAAUAGUAGACAACGUCUACUUGCUAAAUACACAUUUAAUUUAUCUAAUUUACAUCACAAUUGACUAAUAAACACUAAUCCAUACUAAUCUAACCGCCUAAACCUAAUUAAUUAAAACUAAACAACCCUUAAGUGUAAUUAGUCCGCUAAGCAAGGAUUAGUAAGAUUACUCACCGGAAUCACGUGUAAGUCAGACCAAUCCAACGGGGACGACGCGAGGAACGAUAAACCUCAACACGGGCCUCGGGUUCGGGGCCCAGAAACAGCCCAAAAGCGGGCCCGAAGUUGUUGGAGACCCACUCCGCAACUUGCUGGGUUACUGCAAAACAGAGGGGAAAAGGAGAUGGUUGGGAGCAGUAAGGGGUCGGGAGAGUGGGCGAAGCUCCGGUGAGGCCGGACGGUGACCGGAGGGGGUCGGGCCACGGCCUGAGCUGGCCGAACAAGGCUGGACAAAGGCAGAAGUUACGCGGGGGAGGGAUGGCAGCGAGCGGCGGGCACGCUAGCGUGCGCACGGCAGCGAGCGGUGGUCGCACGAGCGCGGGCGCGAGUGGCGAGACGGGCGGCGACAGCUUCGAUGAGCUACUGUUGCUCGGUUUCUUUCGCUUCUAGUUCGCUGGUUACACGAAGAAGAAAGAAAAAGAGGGGUUCGGUCACGAGGGGGAGAAGAGAGGAGAGAGGAGAAGAUAUAAGAGAGAGAAGAGAAAGGGUUUGACUAGUCAAAUGGGGAGAGAGAAGAAGCCAAAUUGAAUUUGGCAAGGCAAGUGUUCGGUGGGGGAGUGUUCGCACGAAGGGGGAGGGGAGAGGAGAGAGAAGAGAGAGAGAAAAAGAGAGAAAAAUAAAUAAAAUAAUAGCCUUAUUUCUUUCUUUUUUUUUACUUUUCUCUUUCCCUUUCUCUUUCUAUUUUCUUUUGAUCUUCGAUUUUUUCUCCGAUAAUUUCUUUCUUGAAAUUUCGGACUCGUCAAUAAAUUGACAGACGAUGAGACGGUCCUAAAAAUGAAUUGUUACACGCUCGAAUAUUCGAUUCCCAAAACGAAUUUAAAUUUCAUGGUUAGAAUCGAUCAGACGUGAUUUUAGUCCAAUCCAACUAAUUGAGUAGCUUUUAGGGAUUUUACUGUAGAUACAUCCCUUAACAGCUUCACCCAAUAGGUUAGUUAACUUGUGAGUGAUCAGCUCAGAGAAAAAGAACCAUAGGCACGUUGAUGACAUGCCCAUUUCACUUUAUCGAAACAGGAUCGAAUUUCAGGAUGUCACAGCUUUCCUAGAGGCAUUCACUGUUUUUUUCUAAAAUUCUCUUGAUUUCCCUAUUUAAAAGCUCUACUUAACCACUAGUCUAAGGAUGAUAAGGGGUUGCAACCUUAUGCGUGACUACAUACUUACUCAAAAGUGCUUCAAAUUGUUUGUUGUAAAAAUAUAUCCCCUUAUCACUUAUAAUUGCCUUAGGAGUGCCGAAUCGGGUAAAAAAAAUUUCUUCAAAAAUUUGACCACAACCUUAGCAUUAUUUGUUGGUAAUGCUACAGCUUCUACUCACGUAGACACAUACUCCAUAGCCACUAAAAUGUAUAAAUUUCCAUAAGAAGGUAUAAAGGGUCCCAUAAAAUCAAUACCCCAAAUAAUUCACACACAAUAAUGUUGUUUAAAGGCAUCUAAUUUUUUCUUGAAAUAUUUCCAGUUCUCUGACACCUAUCACAUGAAGCUACAUAAGAGUAUGCAUCUUUAAAAAAUGUAAGCCAAUAAAAUCUAUAUUGUAAAAUCUUAUCUGUAGUUUUGUUGGCACCAAAAUGACCACCUGCCUCUCCAUCAUGACAAUGAUGUAGAAUGUUUGUCUUCUCUUUGCCUAGAACACAUCUCCUUAUGACUUGGUCUGCACAUACUUUAAACAAGAAGGGUUCUUCCCAAAAAUAAUUUUUAACAUCAGAAAAGAAUUUUUUCUUCUAUUGAUAUGAUAAUUUAGAAGGAAGAACAUUACUUACUAAAUAAUUUACAAAGUCAGCGCACUAGGGAAUUUUUGUGGACUUAAUGAAAAAAAAUUUCUCAUUAGGGAACUCUUCCAAAAUUGGUCUUACCUCUUCUUUUGAAUUUAGAAUUCUUGAUAAGUAAUCUGCAAUUAGAUUUUCAAUCCCCUUCUUAUCUUUGAUUUUCAAAUCAAAUUCUUGCAGCAAUAGAAUCCACCUGAUCAACUUGGGUUUUGAUUCUUUCUUUUCAAGCAGAUACUUAAGAGCAAAGUGGUCAGAAUAAAUUAUAACUUUUGAGCUAAUUAAAUAAGAAUGGAAUUUGUCAAAAGCAAAAACUACCGCCAAAAGUUCAUUUUCUAGUUAUUGAAUAAUUCAAUUGUGCACCAGACAAGGUUUGACUAGAAUAGUAUAUGGUUCAAAAAAUUUUAUUCUUCCUUUAUCCCAAAACAGCUCCUAUUGUAGAAUUGCUAGCAUCACACAUCAGUUCAAAAGGUAAAUCCCAAUUUGGUGCUGCCAUAAUUGGUGCUGACAUUAACUUCUCCUUUAAAGUGUUAAAAGCCUGCAUGCAUUCAACAGGAAAAUUAAAAGUAGCAUUUUUUUUUCCGAAAGAUUAGAAAGAGGUUUAGCAAUUUUUGAAAAAUCUUUUAUAAACCGCCUAUAAAAUCCUGCAUGCCCCAAAAAUCCUCUGACAAGUUUCACAGAUGUUGGCGGAGGCAAUUUUACAAUGACCUCCACUUUGGCUCGAUCAACUUCUAUUCCGUUUUGAGAAAUUUUAUACGUGAGCACUAUUCCUUCCUGCACCAUAAAGUGACACUUCUCCCAAUUCAAAACAAGGUUAGUCUCCUCACAUCUUUGUAAGACCAAAGCCAAAUUAUUUAAACACGAAUCAAAUAAUAAGCCAAAAGCGGAAAAAUCAUCCAUGAAAAUCUCAAUAUAUAUUUCAACCAUAUCAGAAAAAAUAGCCAUCAUGCAUCUCUGAAAAGUAGCUGGUGCAUUACAAAUACCACAGGGUAUUAUUCUAAAAGCAAAAGUACCAUAGGAACAAGUGAAAGUAGUUUUCUCUUGAUCUUCUAGUGUAAUAGGAAUCUGAUUAUACCCCGAAUAUUCAUUAAGAAAGUAAUAAAACUUAUGUCCCGCGUGUCUUUCUAACAUCUUAUCAAUAAAUGAUAAGGGAAAUUAAUCUUUUCUAGUGACAUCAUUCAAUUUUCUGUAAUACACACACACACACACCACCCAGUAGCUGUUCUAGUUGGAAUCAAUUCAUCAUUGUCAUUUUUCUGAACAAUCAUACUACAUUUCUUUGGCACAACUUGUACAGGACUUACCUAAGAACUAUCAGAGAUAUGAUAGAUGAUACCUGCAUCAAGUAGCUUAAUUACCUCAGCUUUCACUACUUCUUGCAUCUUCGGGUUCAAACGCCUCUGAGGUUGGAUAAUAGGUUUAUAUUGUUCCUCCAUCAAAAUUUUGUGCAUGCAAAUUGAAUGACUAAUUCCCUUGAUAUCAGCUAUUUUCCAUCUAAUUGCACCCUUAUGUUCUCUUAAUAAUCUAAGCAGUUUCUCCUCCAUCGAAUCUAUCAAAGAAGAAGAUAAAAUUACCGAUAAUGAAGAAACUCUAUCUAAAUAAACAUAUUUUAAAUGAGAGUGUAAGGGUUUGAAUUAAAAAAUUAUAGGCUCUUCAAUUGAUGGUUUAAGCUUUGUAAUGUGCUAUCCCAUCUCCUCAAAAUUAAUUGCCUUUUACCUUGAAUAUGGUGGAAUUGCCUCCAUAAAAUUUGCAUGCUCCUUUAUCUCCCCAUUUUGAAUAUCUCCGUCCCUUGGUUGUAUCAGACAUACUUCAAGUGGAUCUUUAAAAAUAUUUUCCUGAAAAACCUCAUUCACCAACUUGUCAAUUGUCUCAAUUCUAAAACAAGAAUUAUCAUCAUAUGGAUAUUUCAUUGCUUUAAAAACAUUCAAUGAAACGAUAUCAUCUUGAAUUCUGAGAAUCAACUUCCCUUGUACAUCAAUAAGAGCUCUUCAUGUUGCUAGAAAAGGUUGACCUAAGAUAAGUGGUACCUCAAAAUCUUCCUCCAUGUCAAGAACUAUGAAAUGUGCAGGAAAAAUAAAUUUGUCAAUUUUUAGCAAAACAUCUUCCACAAUACCUCUCAGAUAUUUAAUUGAUCGAUCAACCAGUUGAAGUGACACUGUGGUUGUUUUUACCUCACCCAAUCCUAAUUUCUUGAAAACUGAAUAAGGCAUCAAAUUAAUACUUGCACUUAAAUCACAUAAUGUUUUUUUAAAGUAAGAAUCCAGAAAUAGUAAAACUCCUAAGAUCUUUUAAUUUUGGAGGCAAUUUGUUUUGUAGGAUGGCUGAACACUCCUCGUUUAACUUCACAGUUUCAUAAUCCUCUAGUUUCCUUUUGUUUGCCAAAAUCUCCUUCAAAAAUUUUGCAUAACUAGGUAUUUGCGCUAAGGCAUCUACAAAUGAAUGUUAACGUGCAAUUUUUUAAAUACAUUAAGAAAUUUAGAAAAUUUCUUAUCUAUUUUGUGCUGCUAGAGUCAUUGAGGGAAUGGAAUUAGCAGCACAUAUGGCUUGGGAUUAUCUGGAAAAAGUUUACUCUUGCUUGUCUCCUUUGAUUGUUUAUUGAUCACAUCUUCCUUGUCUCUAAUAAUCUCUUGUUUGACAAAUUCUUCUCCCACUUGUUUAGCACUUCUCAAGGUAAUAGCCUUUAUGUUUUCAAUUGGAUUUUUCUCUGUAUUGCUCGGCAAAGAACCUUGCUGUCUCCCUGACAUCAUGCUUGCUAACUGACCCACUUGCAUCUCCAAAUUUCUAAUUGAAGCCUCUUGGUUUUGAAAUCUCACAUCCAUGCUUUUGAUGAAGUCAUGAGUUGUGUUAGCAAGUUUGGUGACUAUAUCUUCCAAAUUUGACUCUGUAUCUUCUAAUUGUUUGAAUCCCGGUGGUCUCGUCACAUUCUGAUUAUUCCAUGAAAAAUUUGGAUGAUUGCACCAUCCCAGAUUGUACGUAUUGGAGUAGGGAUUAUUCUAUGAUCUGUUAAAAUUCCCAACAAAAUUAGAAUUUUCACUAGAUUGUUUAAAAGUAUUACCUACCUAACACGCUGUGCUAACAUUUCCUCCACCACAAAAAUCACAUGUCAAAUUUUGAAUUUUCAUGAUUGAAAUACUCAUAUUAUCUAGCUUUUUGUUGAGUGCUUCAAAUUGUGCAGCAAUUGCAACAAAAGCAUCCACUUCGUGAACUCCGCUAACUUUUUGCAUUAGUAGUCUCUCAGUAGGCAAAUAAUAACUAUUGGACGCCAUCCCCUCUAAUAGAUUGUAGGCUUCUUCUGGUGUUUUAUUAUUUAGAGUUCCUCUUAUAGCUGCAUCAAUCAUAAAACAGAAAUUUGUACUAGAGCCAUUAUAAAAAUUUUGUACCUGCAUCCAUAUGGGUAGUCCGUGAUGUGGGCAUCUCCUAAAAAAUUCUUUGAACUUUCACAUCCUUCAUAUAAUGAUUCAUUAUCCAUUUGCAUAAAAUUAGUAAUAUCGUUACGCAUCUUCGCAGACUUUGCAGGUGGAAAGAACUUACCAAGAAAUUUCUUAGCCAUAUCAUUCUAUGUAGUAAUUGAUCCUGUAGGAAGAGAAGAAAGCCAACUCUUAGCUUUGUCUCUAAGAGAUUAUGGAAAUAAUCUCAAUCUAAUAGCAUCAUAUGUAACUCCAUUAUAUUGAAUGGUAUCACAGAUUUCAAGAAAAACAUCAAUGUGAGCAUUUAGAGCAUCGCUUGGUAGCCCAUUGAAUUGCACCGAUUGUUGAAGCGUCUGAAUGAGUGACGGCUUGAUCUCAAAGUUGUUUGCUUGAAUUGCCGGUCUUCUAAUACUUGAUAUGGCGCCUUGAACUGUUGAUGCAACAUAAUCUCUUAAGAGUUUACGUGGAUUUUCAUUAUAACCGUCUGCCAUCUUCUUAGCGUGAUUUCUCUGUUCUCUUAGUCGCCUUUUGAAUGUACGCUCGAUUUCUAGAUCAAGCUCAGCAAGUUUCCCUUGUUGGCUGUCAUAAACUAAUGUACACCCUGAAAAAUAAAACAAAACAAAAGUUAGAUUAAACUUAUAAUUAUCUGGUAUCAAUAUUAAUUAGUAUUAAACAAACGAUCCCUGACAACGGCGCCAAAAACUUGUUCGUAAAAUUAUAAACGCAAGUGAACGUGUCGAACAAGUAAUAUAAUGAUAAGAAAAAGUAUCGUCCCACAAAGAUCGAUGAUUAAUAAACUAAUUAAAUACUAAAAUAGAUUAAUUCUAAAAUUUAUCUAACAGAUCAAAUUAUAAUUUAGAAUAAAUUAAAAAAAAUUGAAGACUAAAUGCAGUAAAUCAAUCAGAUAAAUAUGUUAGAGCAUCCGAUUUCACCAUAACCACCAGAUAUGAAUUUCAGAUUAUUGUGAGUACAAGAACGAUAUCAAAUAUGUGAUAGCGGAAUUUCUUAAUCUAUUUACUAUCCUAUCUCUAAGUAUAGCAAACCUACUUAGCUUAUUAAUCCACUAUAUUUCCAUGUGAAUUAAAAUAAACAUGAGUGCAUUAAAAACUAUUAAUAUUCCCGGCGUACAAUGAGUCUUUUGGAUCACCUUAUCCCGAAAGUUACACAAAUAACGUAGUAUAUUUCUAUCCACGUUUAAUUCACGGUUAUAUAUUAUAAUGAGCAAUUGCAUAUUAUCACUUCUCAGUCUCAAAUAUGCACAUCUGAUCAUUCAAGUGGUGGUCAGUCACUCAAAAACAUUAAGCACAAUAAUAUAUAACUCAAAUGGAUGAAAUCAAUUGCAAAACAUAAAAAUUAUGAAAUUCAUAUUAUCAUGGUUAGGCUAUAUCGUAGUCCUAACAAAAUAAAAUUAGAAUAUAGUAGAACAAAAAAUAAAAAUACAAAUUAAACUUAGCAUCUUGAAUCAAAGAACGGGAAUUCUAUCACCACUUUUGUCUUCUCUUCAAAAUACUUGAAAAUCUCUAAAAAAAAAAAUGAUCUAACAAAAAACCUAACAUCUCUCUCAAUGGCUCUCAAUGUUCUCCCAUUUCGAGGAUUUAUCCAAGCUCCAAGCAAUUGCACAUAAAAUCAGGGAGUAAAUCAGAGGAUUUUAAUUUGAUAUUUAUCUUCCACUGCUUCUUGAUUUGAAUUCCUGAUUUUUUUGCCAUUAUUUUCCUUAUAUUCUCCAUAUCUCAUUAUUCUGCAUAAACAAGAAAAAUUCAAAUAAUCAUAAGGAAAUCCAAAUAUUCUCUUAUAGAUAUCGCAUUAAUUGUUGCCUAAAAUAGGUAAAAUAACUUUAUAAAAAUAGAGUUAUUAAACAAGCGAGGGCCAGCAAGUGAGAGCUGGCCAACCCUCACCAAUUCUGGUUAGGGCACACAAGCCCUCACCUAGAAAUAACAAAGCCUGUGAUGCCCUCGCCAAAUCUAGCUAGGCGAGGGCUUGGCAACCCUCACUAGCUCCAAGCAAAGGGGGUGACCUCGGUUGGGGCCUUUGCCUGGCUAGAUCUAGCAAGGGCGACAACCUCACUCAAGGCCUUUGCCUGGCAUGCCCUCACCUUUGCUAGCAAGGGCAUCGCGACCCUCACCCAAAGCUCAUGAAGGGCACAAUGCCCUCGCCUAGAGUUGGCGAGGGUCGAUUGGCCCUCUCUUAUGGCUGGUGAGGGUUGUUAACCCUCCCUUGUGGCCAACGUUGGCCCUCACCUAUGGCUGAGGCCACCAAAUUUGAACCCCAUAAAAAAAGUAAAAAAAUAAAGAAUCAUAAAAAAAUUCAAAAUAUUAUUAAAAUAUUAUUUUUAAAGUGCCACGUCAGUGCCGGCCAUCCAUGUUAACAAUUUUCAGCCAAAAUUGGCUAAAUAGAUUGAAUUGAUAAGAAGUGAAAAAGUUUAUGAUUAAAUUACCAAAAUUGAAAGAUUUAUGAUUGAAUUAGUAAAAGUGUAAUAGGUUGAAGACUUUUUGGAUAAUUUUCCCGAUUGUGGUUGAUACGCAUUUGUGGAGAAUUAUCAUCAUCAAGAAUUUAAUUUUUCUUUUCCUUUUUCUGGUCUAGUGACUGUAGUUAUUUGCUUAUUUUAAGCUGUGGAGUUAACAAUGGCAGGUCCUGGAGACUUUCAUGAGACUAUUCCACUACAAAUCCUUGUGUGAUGAAGGCUUUGUACAGUGCGGUGCGCAUUUAAAUUUUCCAAAUGCAUGAUUUAUUUGACAUAUAUUCCUUCAAUCUUUUUUUUUAUUUGGUAAAUGGUAAUGAUGUAUUGAGCUUUAACCCACAAAUAUACAAGAUCCGGCACCACAAAACUUGCACUCAACAAGACACAAACGUCUCAUCGAGUGAAAGGGCGCCGGACACAAAACACCGCAAACUGGUCAACUCAAGCAAGUGCCGAAACAGGAAGCCCAAGAAAAUAGCCAUGCAGGGCCGAGACAACAAACUAAAAAGACAGACUAACCAAAAGGCCAUGCAGGGCCAAGAAGAACAACCCGCAAAGCUAGACUAAGGCGACCUAGGCGGUCGGCAUAGGAGAGCUGAAGAUAGACGGGUCAAGGCCCCAGUUUCUUUGUAACCUCCUAUUUCUCAGGCAAUCUUCUACGCUUUUGAAAGUUAAGGCUUUAUCCUUUACAACUUUAAUAAGAUGCUUCUUGAUAGCCGCAACUAAUAUUCCUUGAAUCUUUCGUCGCUGCUCAUCCGGAAAAACAGGCCAUUGUGGGCUAGAGACUGGUGCACGAUUAUCACAGAAGAGCUACUUUUAGGGCGCGUUUGGUAAUGAUUCUGUUCCUGAGAACAUAUUCUGAUCAGAAAUGAUUCUUUUUAUUCUGUUCUCGGGAACAAUUUCUAAACAUUUUAAGCCAUUUGGAAAGUGUCCAAAAUUUCUAAUUCUGGAAUAAAAUUGUGUUUGGUACCGUGCUCAUUGAAUCUAUUCCAAAUCAAUUUCUUUUAAUUUUUAAAUAAUUUUUUUCAUUUUUUUCUUUUUUUUUCAAUUUUUUUUUCAUUUUUUCCUUUCUCUCUCAUGUUCUUCUUCUUUCAGUGGCUAGUCACUGGACCGACGACCAGCCAAACGAGGGUCGGUGACCUCGCUAGAGCGUCAUCAACCCUCGGUGAGGUCGGCCCGGCAGCUGGGCGAGCUCGCUUGGCCACUAGUAAGCUCGCCGAUGGUGGGCUUGCCUUUGGCGAGCUCGCCGGUGUGGUUGCUAGCAACUGGCGACAAUGGUGACGGACAGCAACCACAGGAUGGCGGUCAAUGAAGAAGAAGAAAAGAGAAAAGGGAAGAAGAAAAGUUGGUUUUGAUUCUUAGAUUUGUUCCCGGAACAAGAAUCAAUUUUUUUUUCAAUCUUAAUUAUGCACCAAAUCUACUUCUGGGAACAAAAAUUUUGCCAAACGCGAUUCUGUUCCCAAACUGAUCCCGAGAACAAAAAAUCAGAAUCAAGCACUGUUUGGAUGGUUACCAAACAAUGGCUUACUUUCCAAAUAAUUCGUGGGAAACAAUAGUAAAAUUGUAUCAGUUGGUAACAGAGCCUAAAUAUGGCUAGUCUAGCCGAUUUGAGAAGGCAAGGGCAACAUCUCCAACAAGAAUUGGAGCAAUCUUGAUUGUUAAGGCCUAACGAUCCCCACCCUAACCAAGAAGAGGAGAUUAACACUUUCUAUGAUGUUUAUUUUUUACGCAGCUUGUGAAGUGGCUCCUUUGCAUCGCUGGUGUUGGAAUCGCGAUUCUAAUGAUUUCGAUGUUAAAGUAGACAUUUCAAACUUCCAAGGCACUUUUCCAAAGGAGGUAAGGAAGUCUUGAUCAAAGCAGUUGUGUAAGCUAUUCCUCAGUACACCAUGUCUAUCUUUAAAAUUCCGAUCUCACUGUGCAAAUCUAUUGAAUAGAAGGUGGCUAGAUUUUGGUGGCAAUCUCAAGGAAACAAGUCGGGCAUAAAUUAGCGAAAUUGGGACAUUCCCUUGCUUCGUGGUAGCUUGGAUGAUCAAACAAUCGACGAAAUCCUCAAAAUUCAUAUCAGGCCGCAAUACACACAAGAUCAACUAAUUUGGAAGGGGCAAUCAAAUGGUAUUUAUACUGUUAAAAGUGACUAUAAUCAAAUUAGAUCAGGAGAGAGCAGAGUUAGUCAACAUCUGGCUUCAUCCUCCUUUCAACCUCUAAAACGACUAUGGACAAGCAUUUGGAUGGUGCUGACUACUCCCAAAUUACGUAUCUUUCUAUGGUCUUUAUGCCAAAACACUCUAGCAACUGGCGAAAAUCUAUACUAUCAACAUGUUAUAACAGAUCUUAUAUGUAGGUUAUGUCGAGACUGUUGUAUUUCUACAGUCCCUAAAUCUAUAGAACAUCUACUCUUACAUUGCCCUUGGACAACUAACGUAUGGUCUCAUCUGCAGCUACAAUUCAAUGUUCAGCAAGUUCAUGCGCAUCGGUUCGAUGUCUGGCUACUGCAAAUAUUAGAUAAGGAGAACAGCUCACAGGUUCUUGUGGUAAUUGUUUAUGUUUUGUGGCACAUCUGGAAAGCCAUAAAUGAUUUUUUUUUCCACCGGAAAAUCCUCAACCCAAAUCAAGUUGUAUUUGCUGCUCUCACCCAUGCCUGAUCUUACCAGAGCUACCAUGUGACCUUGCUACAACAUAGUUCAAAGAAAUAGUAUCCAGUUGGCAACCAGAGAGGAGAUCGAAGUCAAGCUGCUAAUAAAACCCUUACCGUCACAGGCUAUGCUCGACCCUGUUCUAGGGCGCCACUGAAUCGACACCUUCAACGUCCACCUUCAGAACAAAUCUAGCGUCCCCCUAAUCCUGGUGUGUUGAAGAUAAAUAUCGACGCUUCCUUCCCUACGGCCUUAAACGAAGGUAUUGUCGCUUGUGUUUGCCGUGAUUCCUCAAGUAAGUUGAUCGAUGGCUUUGCCCGGUGCACCAUCUCUGUUUCACCCCUGCAAACAGAAAUACAAGCCCUCAACUUUACACUCCAAUAUUUGCUCAACAAAGGAAGGAAUCAACAUCAUCUCCUUUUAGCAUCCGACUAUCUAGCAAUGGUAGAGGCACUUCAAGAACCUAGCCGCACACCGUGGGAGAACAGAGCUCUCUUUGCUGAGGCUGCGGCGCUGCUUCAUCUUUUCCAUAACCUGCAAAUGCGACACUGCAGAAGAGAAACAAACUUUGCGGCCAACUGGGCCGCAAAGGGCCAUGGACAAAAUCUUCUCCCCUAUAACUGGGCCAAGUUCCCCCCUCCUGCUAUUUUCGAUCUUCUAAGUACUGAGGCGUUAAACUCCUGUAUUUUUGCUGAUCGUGUAUGAAGUUUUUCACCUUUCCGAUAAAAAAAAAAAAAAACUUCCAAGGCACUAUGCAUUGGAAGACUUCAUAGAUUGGCUCGACAAAAUUGAGCAAGUUUUUGAUUAUGAGAAUACGGUGGAGAAUCGAAAGGUGAAGCUUGUGGCCAUCAAGCUUAGAAAAGCAUGCUUUGAUUUGGUGGGAAAAUCUAAAGUGUCAAAGAACUCGUGAAGGAAAGCAGUGUAUCGAGACAUUGGAUAAAACCAAGGAGCUCAUGAGGAAGCAUGUCUCAAAAAAAAAAAUUGUCCAAAAAGUCCGAGAUCUAUUGUACAACGGCUUAUUUAGCUCUAAACAUUUCAAUUGUGCUAAUUUAAUCUUAAAUCUUUUAAGAACUUAUUGAUAUAGUUUUAAACAUUUUAGUUGUGCUGAUUUAGUCAUAAAAUUUUUGAUGAUUUGUUAAUUUAAUUCUAAAUAUUUUGACAGCUUGCCCAUCUAGUCAUUUUGACCAAUUUUGGUUGAAAAUCGCUAAUGUGGAUGUCGGCCAACCACUGGCCAUCCUAUAUGGCAUAGCCAAUACUAAUGUGGACAAAUUUUGCAAUUUUCUUCUUGUCUUUUUAUUUUUUUUCCUUUUUCUUUCCCUUUGGCUUGUGGACGAUAAUCAGCGAUGGCUGACAAUCGACCACAAGCAAGGGCCGAUGAGGGUGCUACAGCCCACAAUGGAUCUAGAGAAGGCUUACUCGUGGCCUGGGAGAAGGUUGCCCUCAUCAGAUUGAACAAGAGCUCGACCUUUGCUUGACCACAGGCCAAAGAGAAAGAAAAGGAUAAAGAAACAAAAGGUAAACAAAUGGAAAUUUUUUAUUAAAAAAAUGUAAAAAUUAUCCACGGUACACCUAGGAUGGUUGCCCGUUGCCGAGUGUCCAUGUCACUAUCGUGACCUCUCUUUUGACGUUUGGGGAAAAAAGAAGAGGUUUAGGAGUAUUCACGAGGUAGGCCAAUGGCCCUGGAUUAAGUGCAAACUCUCCCAAGCCCAUACCUCAUGCGACAUUGGAUUUUAUAUUUUAGUUCUUAACAACAUAUGUAUUUCUAGGAGUCGUCACUAGCUUAUUUGGAUCGAUUAGAAACCAAUCAAGAUGCGAGAGUGUUGUCUCGAUUCCUAUGCAACCAGAGAUUUCUAGGAACGGGGACUUAUUUACACCAAUGUUUCUAUUAGCGUUUUUGCGGUACUGCUAACUUGACUAAAAAUGAUCUUUUUAUGUGAAAACUCAAUUUUUGACCCAAAGUUGACUUUUGAUGAAAGGAUUGACCAAAAAGUUAACUCAAAAAUCAACCAUUUGACUUUUCUAGUUUUUAAUUAAAAGAAUGAAUAGGAAGGUGCUUAAUAAUGACAAGACAGAAGAAAAAAAAUGAAAACAACACUUUUUUGUUCAAAAACCAAGCUCUAUUGCAAUUGGCAACCCGAACCUUGAGUUUUUAUCUUUAUCGAUGCGUCAAGUAAAAAUCAAGUGUCAACAACCUUAAAAAAAGUUUGGUUACCAAGUUGGUGAAUAGAGGGGUAAGAAUCUCGGACAAAUUAUUAGCCAUAUGAUUAGUCAAAUCAUUUUGUGUUCUUCAUACAUCCUCCUCACGGUGGCCAAUACUGUUGAAUUUGGGUCAAAUCCCUCCCCUAAUCCUUGGUAAAGUUCCAGGGGAUAUCACCAAAAUUCAAGCUCAAAUUGACAUCAUCAAUUGGGUCUACCUCUUGGUUGGAAUUUUCAAAACAAGCGGGCCUUUCUCCCACACCUUGCAAGGACUGAUUGUCCUUGCCAAUGGUAGUGCCACUCUCCUUGUUCCUUAUUCUUGCCAUAGACACCUCCUAGGAAUGGACCAUGAUGGUUCCACCGGAUGUGCCAAAAAAAUGUUAACAACUUCCUUGACAAAUAUCUUUUACCGAAGAGGCAAAUCUUGGGCCUUUUUAUGUAAACUAGGUUUUGUGUCAUUUCAAAAAGGAAGCGACUAGUCUUACUCUAUAGACAAUAAAGAAAAGGAUAAAUAGGAGAUAAAAUGUGCGAUAAAAUGUAAACGUGCAAUAACAAGAUAGUCAAAAGAUAAAUGUUCUUGUGUUUUAGGAAAAGGGUCCUUUACAAUUGUGUUUCUUUGGCUAUUUAUAGUUAAUCUCACAAGUAACUGUUCUUUAGCACUUAUUAUCUUCAAUUUCGAAUCACUUCUGGAGACUUUGGUACCACGCCAAUAAUUGCAUCACCUUAUCCAUAGUGUCAUGGGCACCAAACUCUCAAAGUUGUCUUCAUUUUUAUCGCUUUGAGCCGGAGCAAUUACUAAUUCCAACUCCUCGGUAUCUCUUGUAACCGGCUAUUCUUCUCAUGACUUGGGCUUAAUGGGCUUUCCUCUUUUCUAGGCCCAAUGAGCUAAUUUUCGCGCCAACAUCAGUUAUCCAUUAAGUAUGAAGUUUUGACAAAUUAUACCACAAGCAAUGCAUCAGGACAGGUGAGUCCCUAAAAAAACUAAUAAAAGCAGCAAACCGAAACCGAGCGGUUUCGGAUGUGAACAAUGAAAAGAACUAUGUUCAGCAAAAAAAUCAUCGUAACGAACAAAGAAGUUCUUAAGAAGCAAUUAUAUUUUGACAAGAAAAUGCAGUAAUACUGUGUCAGAAACCGAAUGUUGUAUCAAUAUACAAGAUUGUACCGAAGGCUAGCAACUUUUGGUACUAGUUCAGAACCUAAGGAUAUAAUCCUUCAAUCCUAAGACUUAAUAGGAUCCACACAUCUCCGGUCAAUCGAAGUUCAUCAUGAAUGGUUACCGAAUUUGUUGACACCUAAAUUUUGACGAUCCUAUCAUUCAUUUAUUGCAUAAAAAUUAGGGACUAAACUUUAGCCCCUAAAAAAAAUAAUAAAUCGCAUUACAUAUAGUUAUUAGGAGCAUAUCUCAAUAUACUUGCAUAGUUAUGGACUGGUAGCGGAUGGGCUUAAGUUUUGAACAUAAUUGCAUUGAAUCGGGUUGGCGGCGAAUGAACUCGGGUAAAUGGUUUUGAGCUUUAUUGAAGUUAAGUCUGCGGAAAGUGAAAGAUUGGAGUAAGCUUCAUAAUAUAACCAAGUUUGAUACGAAUUUGGGAAAGAUUGAGCACAUUUUUCACAUGGGAUCUUAACAAGGCAUGAAAAAUCUUUGAGGAAGAAUAAAUAUCUUUAUUAAUAGAAGAUAAUCUCGGUCAACUUGGUGCAGAGAAGUGUGAUAUUUCUACGCAAAAAUCUACCAAAUUAAAGAUUGGGACACAUAUUUCUUGUUUUAAAACAAGAAAGAGUGCACCGAUAAAGAAAAUUUCAUGCGUCCUACGCAUCCAGGGGCGUGAGCAGAAAAGAAAAGAAUUCGUGGCCGAAAAUCAUGAAUAUAUGGUCAAGUGGGAGUAUUCACGCAUUUGAGGAAAGGAAGGAAUAAAAUAUAUUAUAUUGGGUCCUUUCCUUUGAAGGCCUUGGUUGUCCUAUAAAUAAGGAGAACGCUAACACUGUUGUGGGGGGUCGGCACUUCUAUUCUAAAAGGCACGUUGAGAGAUUUACACGUGAGAGAGAGAGAAAAGAGAAGGAACUCUCUCUACCGAAUCGAGGAGCCCCAUGUUGUGCGAGGUCCUUUGCCGCAACGUCACACCCGAGCCGCCUAAGUUACCGUCGCUACACCGUCUUUGCUGCGUUCCCCCCUGCAGCAACGAUGGACUCGCUGCUGUGACCUCUUUGCCUUUUCGACGAGCUGCUGAUCAGGUGCCAACCUCCUACUGUCAUGACCAAGCCUCGACAAGCCCAGCUCAACCGAGAUGUUGAUGGAGCUACUGCCUUCCUCGCGCUCAACUGUUGCUUGAUUCGCUGUUGCCCCAAUGGGAUCGUAAUUUCUCCUUGUCGCAAUCACUCGAGUAGCCCUCGCAUCCCCGACGAUCCAUGAUCUGCUGCUUUUGCUAUACCACGAACUAGCACACCCCAGGGACGCUUGAACCACUACAGCCUAGUUUGGAGUCGGCGAGGACUCUCGCAAGUUCCAUCUAGCCUGGCGAUGUCCUGAAGUGUUUUCUUUUGACUCACCAACAAUCACCAAACAGGCUUUUGCGCUUUGUUCGUAUUCAUUCUUUGCAGGUUUCGUCGGAGUCCAAAGAGGCCAACAUCUCCCGACUAGCAUGAAUACCACGUCAUAUACUGUGGCCACCACUUGCAAGCCUGGAGUCCAUAGUCAAAAGAGUCGCUAGAUUUUUGAUGAAAUAAGUCUAAGUGGUGAAUUGGUCUUCUACGGGUAUUGUCCAUAAGUGAAAAUACAAAAGCAAAAAUUGUCAAAGCUUCCUCUCUACGGCGUCACCUCGACGUCUUCAACUUUAGAUGAGUGGUCCACUAUGAUCCAUCUUGGGCGUCCUCGUUGCCGCCGGUCACCCGCCACACUGUGUUGCUCGCCGCAUGCCGUUGCUCACACUGUCGAGCAUUGCAAACCACCAUCGGUCACCAUUCGUGAUCCAUUGCCCGGCGCUCAAAUUUGGAAAGUUAUUGUCACAAUUAGGUAAUACUCCUUACUCGGUGCCAUUGAAUAUUUUAUCGCCUAAUUUGUCUAUCUUAUAUCCAUUAAGCAUAUUUGAAUGAUAGGCAUAUCUCUCAAUUAAGGUGUAUUGCCCAAUUCGCAACCACACCUGGGUUUUUUAUUUCAUCUAUAAGGCUUUAGAUGAAAUAAUUAAUCAAGCGGAAAUAAAAUUGAUAUUUUGAUCUUUAAGGCUUAAGAUCAUUUAUCGAUUAUUAUCACUUAAUCUGAAUGGUGUGUGAUAUCUUUGAUGAUUUUGAAUGGUCUAUCUUGUCUCGAUUGCUUUAUUCAUCUUGAGAUAUGUUUAAGUUAGAAUAUUGCAUGUUUUAGGGUUAUUUGCAUAUUUAGAUUAAGCAUUUUAUUUAUCAUGAAUUUUCGAAAUAAAAAAAUAAAUUUAGGAUGUUAGAUUGUCGUUUCAUUAACCUAAAUUGCAUGUUUAAUUAUUUAACAAUUUUAAUUUCGAAUUUAAAAGAAAAAAGAAAAAAGGAAAACAUAGAAUUAGGGCAUUCUUUGCAUGUCAUCACAUAUUAGGAUAGAUUGCAUGCUUAUUAAGUAAAUAAAAAUCAUGUGCAUGUCAUAUAGCAUUAGGUUCAUGAAAUGUAUGUCAUUUAAUAAUUAUUGCUAGGUCUAUUUAAUUAGAAAUUACAUGUCAUUAGAAUUAGGUCAUUUAGUUAAUAUUGCAUUGCAUAUUGCAUGAUUUUCAUUAAUUAAGUGAAAACAAAAUAAAACGAAAUUGCGUGUUAAUUAGAAACAAUAUCUAGGGUUGUUGAUGUGGAUUUUAAUUUAACAUUGUAGAUGCUUUCGUUGCUUUGAGGUAAGUUUUUGCAAUUUAUUUAUCGUUUAUCUAGGUGUUAAAUUGGUGGAUUGCGCACUCGCAUAAUCACCUCACAUGUUAGGGAAAUAGAUAUAAAAUCAAAUGGUACCGAAAGGGCAUUAGAGGAAUCUAGUGUAACCUCCCCGUACUCAUAGUCUCUGGUUCGUAGGAGUAAAGUAAAACUCCCGUUACUUUACUUGGGUUUCUAAUCGACCCAUCAAAAAUAGAUUAGUGGCGACUCCUAGAUAAAAUCUAUCUGUAUGUUAAAAAACUUGAACCUAAGUCGCGAAUUGGUAUAGGCUUAGGAGAGCCCGAGUUAAGUCUAGGCUUAACAAUCCAUUAGCCAAACCCUAGGUGGUUUACACUUGGUCGCGAUAAAAUUAGAUUGCUGCUUCUUGGCUUUCGGUAGGAAUUCCUUUUUUUUUCAGUUGAAUACCAGAAGUGGUGCACAUGGUACUCUUGCGCCAAAUUAAGAAACAGAAUUCAAUGGACUCGAAUUCGCUGAAAUANNNNNNNNNNNNNNNNNNNNNNNNNNNNNNNNNNNNNNNNNNNNNNNNNNNNNNNNNNNNNNNNNNNNNNNNNNNNNNNNNNNNNNNNNNNNNNNNNNNNNNNNNNNNNNNNNNNNNNNNNNNNNNNNNNNNNNNNNNNNNNNNNNNNNNNNNNNNNNNNNNNNNNNNNNNNNNNNNNNNNNNNNNNNNNNNNNNNNNNNNNNNNNNNNNNNNNNNNNNNNNNNNNNNNNNNNNNNNNNNNNNNNNNNNNNNNNNNNNNNNNNNNNNNNNNNNNNNNNNNNNNNNNNNNNNNNNNNNNNNNNNNNNNNNNNNNNNNNNNNNNNNNNNNNNNNNNNNNNNNNNNNNNNNNNNNNNNNNNNNNNNNNNNNNNNNNNNNNNNNNNNNNNNNNNNNNNNNNNNNNNNNNNNNNNNAUUAUGAUGUAGUGGAAUGGGCUUUGACAUUUUUUUCUCGAACUACGUAGAUGGAAGUAGACUGUUAUGUAGUAAGUAGAGAGGAUCUUGCCUCGUUUGAUCUGUGUUGGUCUUGUUACUGGCUGAGCUCCACUCUUGUAAAGCAUUACUUAUUCUCUGUUGAGAUAAAAGGCUGAAUCUGAGGAAGUGGAUCAUUCCCUUGGUUGUUUUUGUCUUCCCGUUACUCGAUACACCCUUCCAUCACAGAGCUCCCUUCACUUUGCAUUUCCUAUAGACCUCCCCUCCAAGAUCUC